rnacentral:lncRNA from 1 species
GUUUUCUUAGUUCAGUUCUCUCCCCUCGGAUACUCUGCUCUGUGAACUCAAAUCAUCUUGGCCUCCUCAGACACAACCUUUAUCUCCCUCACUCUGGGAGAGCACGAGUUCCCCCUCACUAUGCUGUGCCCUGGAAACUUGUUCAAGACAGUAAGUGGAACCGUUUUAUGGCUCACCUUGUUUGUUUCUCAUUUCUCAGGGAUCAUUGGCUUUUACUGUCUAAUGUUCAAUAACUUGAGUCAUUGUUUUAUAUAUUUUGCCCAUUUUCUUAGUUGUUUUAGGCAAGAGACUAAAUACAGUCUCUUACAAAGUGGAAGUCUAUUCAGUCUGUAAUUCUUUUUUACUUGUCAUUUAAAAUCAGCAUUGUUAAGGAAAAUAUCUUAACAAAUUACAGAAUAUGUUUUAUGUUUACAAUUCAAGGACUUUAGACAAAUGGGCGCAUACAUAAACACCACCAAAAUCAACACACAAACCAUUUCCAUCAUUCAUGCAAGUUCUCACUCCCCAUUGUAGUUAACCAUCCCUGCAACCCAACCACAUGCAACCACGCAUUUGCAAUCUCUAGUGUAGAUUAGUUUGGAUAGUCUAGAAUUUCAUAUAAAUGGAAUCAUAUAGUACAUACUCUUUUGUCUCUUGCCGUUUUCACUCGGCUAAUGGUAUUAACAUUUAUCCUUAUAUGUAUUAAUAAUUCAUUUUUUUAUUCUUGAGUAUUAUUGUAUCAAAUGACUACAACAUGAUUAUUGAUAGAUAUUUGGUUAUUUCCAGUUUAGGGCGCAACGCUAUUAUUAGUACUUAGAUCUUUGUAUGAUUAUUUACUGAUUUUACCCUUCUAGUUAUAGUUUUUAUUCUGGUACAAAUUCCCCUCUGCUAUUAGCCUGACUUGGAAAAUUUUCUAAUAUCUUAACUUUUUUUCUUGGAACAGAUUUUACAAUUAUCACUGAUAGGGUUUUUAUAACCACUUCACUGCAUUGUCAUUAACAGAAGUUCUUCAGUUAUAAUUCCUGCAUAUAAUUUAAACUAAAUUGAAUUUUAACAUCUAAUUGCAGCUCUUUUCUUUCAUCUUAGACACCAGAGGGUAGUUUAUUUUUUUCUAAAUCAUCAAUCAAAAUAUAGAAAACAAGCUAGCAAGACCUAUAAGCAAAGAUUUUCUAUAAAUGGCUACCUUUAUUUUUUUUCUCUCUUAUAAGAAAGAUAGCUUAGAAUUUGGAGGGCAUUUACAAACUAUAGCCAUUAGUCAUACACUGUUAAUUAUAUCUGCUUUCCCACUAAUAUAUAUAAUUACAUAGCAAUAUCAAAGUUCUUUAUCAACUUUCCUAAUAUAUGGUCUCUCAGGUCUUUGAGCUUUUCCUUCCAUAUACUUAUCACAAUUAUAAGCAUAUUCUUAAUACAACUUCUUUAAAAUUGUAACAGCUUUUCAUAGGCAGUCUUUGAAGUCCACAAAUGAAAGAACUAUUUUGUUCAUUACUAUAUUCCUCAUUACCUAGCACAAAGGUUAGCAUAUAUAGAAUUAUCUGAAUAUCUUGUUUAAAAAUGGUGUUGGGUGCCUGGGUGGCUUAGUUAAGCGUCUGAUUUCCUCUUGAUUUCCUAUUGCAUCAUGAUCUCAAGGUUAGUGAGCUAAAGUCCUGGAUAGGGCUCUGUGCUGACAAUGUGCAGCAUGCUUGGGAUUCCCUCUCUCUCCCUUUCUCCCUGCCCCUCCCUGACUGUGCUCGCUCUUGUGCAUGGUCUCUCUCUCUCUCUCAAAAUAAAUAAACUUAAAAAAAAUGGUCUUAACUAUAUACUUGCCAUAGCACGUUUCCUUGGUAAUAUUCAUGGUCUCUUAAAAGAGACCAUGUUUUCUUUACAAUAUUUUAAAUAUUGUGUUUCAUUAUUAGUAUUCUAUUUCGAUUCUCCCUCACCUUCCCAGGGUCCGGCAUACUAUAAAUUUACCCCUACUAUGUUUUUAACAUUACAAAUCUUCCUCAAGACAGGUAGGGUUGUAUUUCACCAAUAGAAAACACAGAGUACAUACACACAAAAGGGAAGUGUCUAAGAGGCAAGUAAGAGAAAAUAUAGAAAGAUCCAACCUCUUACCGUGACUGUGGCCCUCUGUUGCCGGCCUCCGCUACUCAUUCUUACACAUCAUUGUUCCAGUUCUUUGUAAAGGCGACAUAACCCAACUGUCUAAUAAUAUUCAGAUAAUGAUAGUGACUACAGUUUUCUUCUUUAAGCUGCAGAAAUGAAUAAGGCCUUUAGUUGUACCUGUUUGUGAGUUUGAAAGGGGAGUUUGGGGAAAGAGGGAGAGAAUUUGAAGAGAAGGAUUUCUGGUAUCCUCUAAAUUGCAAGGAAGAAAUAUUUACAAACAAUCUGUCGUGUAUUUUAAGGAAAUUCAUAAUAAGUUGUUGAAGAGAAAACUAUUUUAAUAAAGGUUAUGAAUUCAGUAGGAACAGUGUUACUCUUAGGUUGUUUUCUUUAAAUUACAUAUUAAUAUUAAAGUAUGUUUUCUGGCUUUAAAAAUCCCUCCCUAUAGGCAACUAAAUAAACUAAAGAGGGUUUCACACGCAGUGUGGCACCUGCUUAAUAUUUUCUCUCUUCCUCCUGCCCCUCUCCCCUGCUCGUGUGCUCUCUCAAGAAAAAAAAAAAAUCCCUACAGGCAACCAGACAUAUAGUAUAAUCUUAUUUGUGAUGAAACAUAUGAAAUAUUAAAUAUAUCACAUUUUACAUGUUAUAAAAAAAUAGUAAAUAAUCUUAGUUCUCCUCUUACCCAAAAUAGAGUAUAAUAUAUAAAAGAGAAGCAGUGUACAGUUACAUUUUCCACCCGAUUUAUAACUUUACAUUGGACUGAGUAUUUAAUAUACUCUAUACUCAGGUAAUCAUCUGAACUAUCCCUCGAUUCUUUCUUUUGAUCUCCGCAUCUCCAAUCUUAAUUCAUGUACUGUCACCUUCUUAUCUUUAGCUUUCUUAUUUUUUUCUUAUCUUGAUUGGAGUCUGUUUAAAAUUAAUAAUUUAUAUUUAGAUAAAUGUAUUUCUUGAAAAAUCAUUCUUUUGAAUACUGUAAAAAAGCAUCCUUACAGCCUGGACUAAGACCGUGAUAAUUUUUAGAGUCAUCUUCAGUUUAAAGUAAUUUUGAACCUCUCACAAUUAUCAGGAUUUUUGUUAUUACAUGCAAUAUUCAUAACUUGUUUGAGAGAAUCAUCAAAGUGAUUUUCACAAAAAUAAGGCAACAUUUUCUGUUUUUUAAAUUUUUUAAGUAAGUUUUUUUGGUUAAGUUGAUUUAUUUAUUUUGAGAGAAAGAGAGAGAGAGCACGACAGAAAUAGGGGCAGAGAGAGGGGGAGAGAGAGAAUCCCAAGCAAGCUCCACACCAUCAGAGCAGAGCCUGAUAUCAGGCUGGAACUCACAAACCAUAGAUCAUGGCCUAAACUGAAACCAAGAGUCCAACACUUAACCGAUUGAGCCACCUAGGUGCCCCAUUGGUUUUGUUUUCAAAAUUAGUCACCUUGAGAGUUGACUUCACUUUAUAUUGCCCUAAAACAUCAAACACUUCAAGUUUUCUAUGAAAAACAGAUACAUUUUUAAAGAAGUCAUAUUAAAUAUAUGAAGAUGGCUAAAGAUAAUAUAUUCAAAGUGAAUAAAUUAUUCCAAUUUAUAGGUGGGCAAUUGUUUAUUCAGUGACUUCUUGAAUCUAACUAUUGGGCCUAAUGACAUUUCAGGGGAGUAGAUUUAGGCUAAAUAGAAUACAUUGCCAUAUGUUAUGGAGAACAUUUAGUUUUUAUAAGAUUAUUAGACAUUAAACACGUUAUUGUGGGCUACAUCUGAAUUUCUUCAGGUAGUAUCUAGGAUAAAAAAUUUGCCUUGGCAAAAUUGAUUCUUAGAGUCCUGAUUUAUGCUAAUUUGUGCUGAUCAGUUAGCUGUCUAAUCAUGGAAGUUAUGUUUGCACAAAUCGGUUUUCAGGGACACCUGAGUGGCUCAAUCAAUUAAGCAUACAACUCUUGAUUUUAGCUCAAGUCAUGAUCUCCUGGUUCAUGAGAUUGAGUUCCAUGUUGGGCUCUGAGCUGACAUCAUGGAGCCUGCUUGGGAUUCUCUCUCUCUCGCUGCCCCUUCCCACUCUCUCUCUCUCUCUCUCUCAAAAUAAAUAAAUAAACUUAAAAAAAAAAGUGAUUUUCAGAGUGACCUAGGUUAGCUGUACAUUUUAUUUAUUUAUUUAUUUCAAAAUAAUUUAUAAAUGUUUUGUUAUUACACUGUACUUUUUAUUUUCUUUCAAUUGAUCCUCCAAAUAGGCCUAUGUAUGGGCUUUUCAGAAAAAAAAAUUUAAAAAGUUGUUUGUAUCCUGCUAAAGUGAAGACAGAGUCUUAGAAGGUAUAAGUUACAUUCAAAAUUACAAAGUCCAGGGGCGCCUGGGUGGCUCAGUUGGUUAACCAUCUGACUUUGGUUCAGGUCUUGAUCUCACAGCUCAUGGGUUUGAGCCCCGUGUCAGGCUCUGUGCUGACAGCUCUGAGCCUGGAGCCUGCUUCAGAUUCCGUGUCUCCUUCUCUCUCUGCCCCUCUCCUGCUCGUGCUCUGUCUCUAAAAAAAUAAAUAAACGAUUAAAAAUUAACAAAAAAUAAAAUUAUAAAGUCCAGAUUAUCGUCUAAGGUAGUGUUGUUAAAUAGAUAGAUAUUACAAGCCAAAGUGCAAUUUUAAAUUACCUCAUCACAUAUUAAAAAAGUCAAAAGAAACAGAUAAAAUUCAUUGUUAUAGCGUUUUCCCCCAACAUAUCCAACAUUUUGUUAUUUAAGCAUGUAAUUAAGACAAAACUACUAAUAACAUGUUUAUAUUCUUUUUUUUACUAAAUCUUCAAAAUCCAAUGUAUAUUUUACACAUAAAAUAUAUCUCAGCUUAGACUAGUCACAUUUCAAGUACUAAAUAGCUACAUGUGACUAGUGACUACCCUACUGGAUAGCACUUAGGUAAUAUUUCAGAUUCUUAAACAAUUUUUUCCUCAAUGCAAUGGUGUUCUCUUUUUUAUAUACUCUAUAUCCGUGCAAUCAUCUGAAUUAUCUCUCGAAUCUUUCUUUUGAUCUCCACAUCUCCAAACUUAAUUCAUGUCACAUCAUCUUCACUCAAGUUAGUGCAGUAACUUCCCCAGUCACGUGAACUUCCUUCCUGUACCAUUCAUCCACUCUAUAUUCUUAUGCCCCAAUGACCUUCUUUAUUUGUGUACUUGACCAUAUCAUCCUCUGAUUUACAGUAGAGACCCGUACUUUUGUCUUAAUGUGAGGUAGGACCAAGGCUUAUACAUUUUUUAAACGUUCUCUAGAUAAUUUUGAUUACUGGCUAAAUUGUGAGAAUAGACACUAUUUCCUCUCCAUAGUCACAGACUGUGGUAAGUGUCAUUAUUUUGACCUAUUUGAAUACCUUACAAUUUUCUAAUAACUGUUGGUUUUGUGAUACCCAGGGCUGAUCCUAGCACUGAAUGCCGGCUUUGGCACAUGGUAAUGUAUUGUUAACAAAUAAAAUAUAUGUUUGGAAAUCUUUUAAUUUAUUCCCGUAACAAAAUUAUUUCAGUCAGUUCAUAGUAAAACCGAUGCUAAAUGCAUCCACAUUGGUUUCUAAGUUGAUUUUUUCAAUAAUUUUUUUCUCUCAUAAAGGAUAUUAUGAUAUUAGACUAAUUGGAAUUAAUCAACUCUGAAUUUGAAUCUAUAAUUUCCAUUACAUUUAAAGUAUGAUUAUGAAGGAGUAUUAAAGUAUGAGUUUAAAGUAUGGAUAUUCAGACAAAAUAGGUCAACCUAUCUAUGUUUUUAUAUUGAAAUGCAGAAAACGAGAUUGCUGGAGAAAAGUCAUAGAACUAUUUUUUCUUAAUAAAUCACUGUUUAUGUAUUAUCAAAUUCUUUAAGAUGUGACUAACAAUUUUUGUUCUAAAGCAGAAAUAUAUCCCUCCAGACUAUAUUUUCAUGGGAUAAGGGGAUUUCCAACCCACUCUUAGUGGAAAAAAUAUACAUUUAUACACAUAGUGUCAAAAUUAGAUUAUUCUUUGGUAAAAAUUAAAAAGAAAAUUAUCACCAAAGGGGAAAAUGUUUAAAAAACACUAUUAAGUUUUCAGCUAUGAUCAAAGUUAAAAUAAAUAAAUGUGUCUCUGCAGGCAUUAAGCUGUAUCUUCAAACUGCAUACAAAAUGAGAGCAACCUUAGGGAUUUUUUCCAAUGAAAAAGACCCAGUAAUGGGAUAAAAAUGGAAAUGGACUUUAUACAUACUUCCCAAGGCUUAUAUUUGAUAUGACUUUAUAAGGAAUUUAGUAAGAUGAAAUAAAAUGGCGAGAUCAAAGCACGCACACACAGAAAAGGAUUUCCUGCUAUGAAGCAUGUAAAUUGGCAUGAUGUGGCUAAUAAAAAUUCUUAUUUCUUAGGAUCCUUAAAUUGUGCCUCAAGAAAAAAAUUAAGCAUUAGAUUUGAUUAAUGUGAACAAAUAAUUCAAACAUUUUGAUUAAAGUAGGCAAAGUACUUAUUUUAAGUCAUUUUUAAAAAAACUUCUCUUGUGCUCGCUUCGGCAGCACAUAUACUAAAAAACUUCUCUAAAUAUGAUGUCUUUUCCACAGAAUUUUUGGAAUUGUGUCAACGUGUCACUGUAUGUUAGAAGCUGCAGUGUCUCUUGUUCUGUGUGACUGUAGUCAUCUCCACUCCAUCCAUUGAUGGUUCUGCUCCUGCGACACUGGCUUUUCAAUUCCUCAAACACACCAAGCCUAUUCUUAUAUUGAGGCUUUAUAUGCAGUGUCCCUACCAUCUAUAAUAGAUUUUCCUCCAUUCUUUACAAGAUGGGUGACAUCUUAUUUUUAGGUCUCAGCUUAAAUAUUACUUUUCUAGAAAAAUUACUUUUAUCAUACAAACAGGUUAGUCUCUAUUAUUUCUUUUUCUUUCUUUUUUUUUUUUUUAAUUUGAGAGUGGUUGACACACAGUGUUACAUUACUUUCAGGUGUACAACAUAGUGAUUCACAUUUUCUAUAAGUUAUGCUCUGCUCAUCACAAGUGUAGCUACCAUCUGUCACCAUACAACCCUCUAUUAUUUCUAUCUUAGUAGUAGGUUUGUUCCCUUUUAUAGCUUUUCACAGUCUAUAACUCAUUUACUUUUGUUUGAUUACUUGCUCAUUUGUUCUUGCCUCUCCCUAUACUAAAGCAAAAUGUCUGUUCAUUAAUCAUUUCAUGUUAGUGCAUAGGAUAGUGACUGUCACAACAUUAGCACCUGAUACAUAUUCGUUGUCUGAUAUGAAUAAAUAAAUAAGUCACAAUAUUAAGUUAAUGUAAUGUAUUUCAGUGUGUUUACGAUUAGUUUUAAGAAAAAUUUAUAAUUUCACUUUUAUAAUGUGGAAAUAUUUAUCAAAACUCUAGUGAUUCAAAUGAGGAAGAUUUUAAUUGCAACAGAGUCUAAAGGUUAGUAUUAGUCAUAGUUUACCAAAAAUAACCUAAAAAUUUUUCAGAUACAGUGAAAGCAAUUUGCAUGAGGAUAAUCAGAGCACCCAUGAAAUUAAAACCUUUUUCAAAGUGCAAAUAGAAUAAAAACUUCAAAUUUUCUGUUUUCAACAUAUAGUUAAAAAAAUUAGGAAAAUGAAACAUUAGAGAUUUUAAAAGAUAAAAGAAUGGUAUGCAAGAUUGCAAGCUUUUACACCAAAAUUAAACUAUAAAGCCACUCUUAUGGUUACCUGAGAUCAUGAGAUUACUUAAUUAUGUAUAUUAACGAUGUGGUUUAAGUUUGGUGGACAAUUAUGACACUUCUGAGCUAACUUGCCUGCUUCUACCUUUAGCCCUUCACAGUCUGUUCUUUAUAUAAUAGUCAGAGUGAUCCUUUUAAAACUUAAGUCAGAUCACAUGUCCAUUAUUCUAUUCAAAACCCACCUCAUGCACAGUAAAUGCCAGGGUUCUUAUGAUGAUCCACAAAUGUUUUCUGUACAGGACCGGAUGGUAGAUAUUUUAGGCUUUGUGUGUCAUAUGGUUUCAUCAUAGCUACUCAACUCUGCCCUUGUAGUGUGAAAGCUGCCAUUGAAAAUACAUAAAUAAAUGGGGCGCCUGGGUGGCGCAGUCGGUUAAGCGUCCGACUUCAGCCAGGUCACGAUCUCACGGUCCGUGAGUUCGAGCCCCGCGUCAGGCUCUGGGCUGAUGGCUCGGAGCCUGGAGCCUGUUUCCGAUUCUGUGUCUCCCUCUCUCUCUGCCCCUCCCCCGUUCAUGCUCUGUCUCUCUCUGUCCCAAAAAUAAACAAACGUUGAAAAAAAAAAUUAAAAAAAGAAAAUACAUAAAUAAAUGGGCAUUGCUAUAUUCCAAAAACAUUCUAUUUAGGAAAAAUAAGCACCGGGUUAGAUUUAAAUGCUAGGUCAUAGUUUACCAACCCGGGCCUCUCCUUCUGCUUCUCCCCACCCACACUCCAAAUUUAUUUGUCGUUCCUUUUCCUCUCAUUCAUUCUGCUCCGGUCACUCUGGUCUUCUUACUCUUCCUUAAAUAUGCAAAACACAUUCUUCUUUUAUCUCAGGGCCUUUAAAUUGCUGAUUACCUUGUCUUGGACACUGUUCCUUGGGUCAUUUCUUAUUUCAUUGAAGUCUCUGCUCAAAUGUCAUCUCCACAGAGAGGCUUCUCUAAACACCUUAGAUAAAAUGAGGAUAAAAUGAUAUCCAGUCAAGCACCUCUAUCUGCCAUAUCUGUUUUUUCUCUCUCUCCAUAUGUGUGUGUGUGUGUAUAAAAUAUUUAUAUAUGAGGGAAUAUAUAUUGAAUAUAUAUAUUAAAUAUUUUUUUUAUUUUUUUAAAAUCCAUUUUUGAGGGACAGAGAGAGACAGAGUGAAUGGGGGAGGGGAGAAUCCGAAGCAGGCUCCAGGCUCUGAGCUGUCAACAUAGAGCCCAACAUGGAGCUUGAACUCAGACCACAAGAUCAUGACCUCCACUGAUGUCAGACACUUAAAUGACUGAGCCACCCAGGCGCCCCUGUAUUAAAUAUUUUUAAAAUUUGGUUAUCUUCUGUCUUCUUCUUUUAGAAUACAAGCCCUAUGGCAGGGGAGAAUUUGGUAUUUUAACAUUUUUUUGCUAUAACACCAUUGCCCAAUUGACACUGUUUUAACAUAUAAUAAGGACUCACUAAAUAGUUGCUAACUGAUGAUUAAAUUAACUUUUUCCCCCCAAAAUACCUUAUCUGUAAUUUGCUCUAAAUAUAAACUCUAUCCCUAAAUAUGUUAUGAAACUGUGGCUUAUUUUUCCCUUUAACAUUAAUUUUUGUGUGUGUGUGAUUUAGAGGUAUUUGAGAACAUUUAUGUAUCACAGCCUCCUGCUUUCACCCUAAUGUCUUCCUUGUUGAUUCUAUUUUCUUCCACAAUUCAUAAAGAUGAUACCUCUGGUUCAGGAGGUAUUUUAAUCUUUGAAAAUGAAAAAAAAACCCCAUAACUAAAUAAGUCAAUAAAUACAUUGCAUGGAGUUGGUGGUAAGUGUUACAAAGAAGCAAAAGGGAACACAAAGUAUUGGUAAAUGGUCAGGGAAAGUCUUUCUGGUAGAUGACAUUUAAGUGUAGACCUGGAGGAGUAGAAGAACAUGAUAGACACAAGAAAGGGCAAACAAGUGCAAGGCCAGAAGGUAUGAAUAGAUUUCGUGUGCUAGGAAGAAAGAGUGCUGUGGAUUUAAUUGUGCCUCCCCGCCCCACCUUAAAAAGUGUUGAAGUCCGAAUCCUCUAUACUUCAUAUUGUGACCUCAUUUGUAAAUAGGGUCAUUACAAAUGUAAUUAGUUAAGUCAACAUGAAGACAUACUACAGUACAAUGGGCCCUUAAUCCAACAUGACCGAUGCCCUUAUGAAAAGAGAGAAGAUGAUGUGAAGACUGUCACACAGGAAGAAGAAGGCUAUGGGAAGGUGAAGACAGAGACUGGAUUUAUGUUGCCACAAGCCAAGGAACACCUGCAGCCACCAGAAACUAGGAAGAGGCAAAGGAGGGUUCUUCCUUUACAGGUUACAGAGGGAGCAUGGCCCUGUUGCAUCACUGAUUUCAGACUUCUAGUUUCCAAAACUAUGAGACAAUAAAUUUAUGUUGAUUUAAUCUACCUCAUUUGUGGUACUUUGCUAUUGUAGCCCUAUGAAAUUAAUGCAAGCAGGUGGGUCAACAUACCUGCAGAGGAGUAAGUAAACAGAAAAUAAUUUGGAAAUGUUGUUUAUAAUUUUACAGAUGAUUUAAAUUCAGGCUAAAAUAUAUUUACAGUACUAAGAACAUACUAUUUUCUUUGUAAAUUGCUGAAGGUGAUAACAAAGAAGAAAAUCAGACAACCAUGCUAAUAUAAAUUGAAGAUAGAGAUAAUGUUAAAGAUUUUUCCCUCUAAGUGUUUAAUGCAAAAACAAAACAAAAACCCUAAUACACAGCAAAUACAUGAGAAGACCCAACAUAUAGAAAGAAUAUACCAGGAUUCUCAUUCUAGUGGGAAGGUUCAAAGUCUAGAACACAUGAUUUAGUCUUCUACAUAACUGCAGUGCUCAGGGAAAAUUCCGUAAAAAAGAAUAGAGAAGUAUUUAUAUCCUCUAUUUGAUUAAAGGAGAUAAGAAGAAAACUAAGGAGGAACAAGGAAGUAGGACCUUUUACCCCUGGAACAUUUUUAUUUAAAAUGUAAGCUCAUCCACUAGUAAAGGUCUUCACUUUUAGCCAACCUUCUUGAAACAAACUACAGUCCACCUGUAUUAGUCAGAGUUCUCCAGAGAAAGAGAACAAUGUAUAGAUUUAUUAAAAGGAAUUGGCUCACACAAUUAUGUUGACUAAGAAGUCUCAAGGUCUGCAGUCAAUCAGUCACACACCCAGGGGAGCCAAUGUGAGUCAGAAGGCCUGAGAAUCAGAAGAGCUGAUGGUGUUGUUCUGGUUGCAAGCAGACAGGCUCAUGACCUAAGAAAAGCCUGAAGUCAGAAAGUGGUAGUGUCCUGGCUCAGUAAACAGGCAAGAGGAGUUUCUCUUCCUCAGCAUUUUGUUCUAUUCAAAUCUUCACUUGACUGGGUGAGGCCUACCCACAGCAUGGACAGCAAUCUGUUUUACUUCGUCCACUGAUUCAAAUUUUAAUCUCAUCCAGAAACACUCCCACAGUUGCACCCAGAAUAAUGUUUGACCAUUUGGUCACGUGUGGCCCAGUCAAGUUGGCACAUGAAAUUUUAAAAAUUAACCAUCACACUAUCUUUAUUUUUAUUCUUAAAAAACAUAUUUUGUUGUUGUUUUCCAUUUUAAACUUCCUAUUCAGCCCAUUUUGGUCUGGUUUAUUUCCUAUGAUUACAAUGAAAUGACAUCUGUCACAGUAAACAUUGAAUUCUUACAACAAACUCUUAUCAGGCAUUUUUCUGUUCUCUUACUUGACAUUUCUGGAGUAUCUGACUUUGAGACUGUUCUUUCCUUUGAGACAUGUCACCUUGCCUUGGCUUCUGUAGCUCCUUAUUUCCAUGGCUCUUCUCUUACCUCUUUAGCUUCUCUCCCUUACUGAAUCUUUUUUUUUUUAAAUUUUUUUAACGUAUUUAUUUAUUUUUGAGACAGAGAGAGACAGAGCAUGAACGGGGAGGGGCAGAGAGAGAGGAAGACAGAAUCGGAAGCAGGCUCCAGGCUCUGAGCCAUCAGCCCAGAGCCCAACGCGGGGCUCGAACUCACGGACCGCGAAAUCGUGACCUGAGCUGAAGUCGGACGCUUAACCGACUGAGCCACCCAGGCUCCCCUACUGAAUCUUAUUUUAUUUUAUUUUAUUUUAUUUUAUUUUAUUUUAUUUUGAGAGAUUUAUUUAUUUAUGUAUUUAUUUUGAGAGAUUUAUUCAUUUGUUUAUUUAUGUACUUAUUUAUUUUGAGAGAGAAAGAGAGAGAGGAACAGGCAGGGGAGGGGCAGAGAGACAGGAAGAGAGAGAAUCCCAAGCAGGCUCCACACUGUCAGUGCAGAGCCUGAUGUGGGGGCUCAAACUUGUAAAUCAUGAGAUGGUGUCCUGAGCCAAAAUGAAGAGUCAGACAUUAACCUGGCUGAGCCACCAAGGUAUCCCUCUUACUGAAUUUUUUUUUCUGGUUUCUCUUCUUCUGUCCAAAUUCUAAAUUCUCUGUAUUCUCAAGUAUUUUUCUUUGUUUCACUUCUUUCUCAUUGUAAACUUUCCAUGAAUUAUGUAUUCCAUGUCGGUGACUUUUAAUGCCCUGUGACUCAACUUCUUUCUCUCAUUCAGAGACUAUGUUGAGUUCUAGAUUUAUCUUAAACACAACACAAAAACUAAACUAAAAUGCUGGGACAGAGUUUGAGAGGGAGAAGUCUAUGAGUCCUUUAGGUAUCAGCAAACUCAGGAGUAAAAGAAGCAUGAAUCACAGAAGUUGGGCUGCAAGACAGUGAGGAAAAGCGUCAGCUGACUCCACAUGCCGAAGCUGGCAUAAUUCAAGAUGCAGGGCAAGGGUUGGGUGUAUACACCCUGACAUCAAUCAGUCAUUGGACUCAGGACGCUGUCAAGAAGAGGAUGUGACUUUGUGCAAAUUUUGUUCUUUUUAGUCUAGGACAUUCUCUGGAGUGAAUCUUGAUUAUAAUCUGUCAGUCAGCAACUUUCUUAACCACUGGGUAAAUGAGUUCUUUCUUGAAAGGGAUGGGAGUGAUCUGGAUAACACUGUGCACAAACCAGUCUCUCUAAUGAAAUCCUUACCUCAGUAAAUAGCAUUAUCCUAAUACCAAGAUAGAAACAAGAAGUCUCCCCUCUCCCUGAACUGUUUCUUCUCUUUCAAGUUGGAAACAAAACUGCUUCAACUUUCCCCUCCAGAAUUUACUUGGGAGACUUUCUACUAUAUAAUUUUCUAUAAUAUGUCUCUCAUUGAGAGUUCUCUUGCCAAGACCUUUAUCAAGAUCAUGGUUAUAUCACGUUGGAUAAUUUGAUUUUUUAAUUGGUCUACCCUCCAAUGGUCAUUACUAACCACCAUUAAAACAUAAAUAUAGAAUUUAUCUUUUACAAAUAUACUGGAUAAUUUUGUCUCGGUUCACUAUAAAUUACAGACACUUGUUUACAGGUCUGCUUUAAAAGCACACAAUAUUGGGGUGCCUGGGUGGUUCAGUCUGUUGAGCCUCCGACUUCGGCUCAGAUCAUGAUCUCUCAGUCCGUCCGUGAGUUCCAGCCCGGCAUCGGGCUCUGUGCUGGCAGCUCGGAGCCUGGAGCCUGCUUUGGAUUCUGUGUCUCCCUCUCUCUCUGCCCCUCCCCUGCUAAUGCUCUGUCUCUCUCUGUCUCAAAAAUAAAUAAAAACAUUAAAAAAAUUAAAAAACAUACAAUAUUUACAUUAUAUUUGAAGAAACAUCUAGUAAUAAGCAGGUUGUAUGAUAAACAUCUGCUAAUUUUCCUGGUUAACUUAUGUUCAUGUUUCUUAAGAAAAGGACAGAAGAAACUAUAGAUAUUAAACAAUCUCAGCAUUUUACCCUUAUAAAAUAUAGAAAAUAACUUCAUACCAGAAACUUCGUACAACAAUUUAUUGCAAUCACCACAACAUGUCACAGAGCUGUCUGUUGAAGGUGUGGUUUGAUAGGUCCACCUUGAAACUAACCUACCUGAGAGAACUAAGAGCCUUCUGGACAAAAAAAAAAAAAAAAAAAAAAAAAGGCAGAAAAUAGUCCCUAAUAAGUGAUUGGUCUAAAAUAAUGGUUUGGUGACUAUAUGCAUGAUUCAAAAUAGGGAGGGAGAUAUGGAAGGGAGAGAAAUGAAGGGGUAUUUUUGUACCUCAUUAAAUUUGUUCACUUUUCUAUGGAAUUAUGCCUGAGUUCAAAGGAGGACAUCAAAAAAAUUAAAAAAAAUUGUUCAGAAUUGUGUACUUCUGUGAACUAAAUGUUAUCUGUUUUAAAUACAAAUAAAUCAGUAUUUUUAAUGACACAAAAUACGAAGAGAUUAAGUACAGAUUUGUAUAGUUUAAAGAAUUGUUGGGGCACCUGGGUGGCACAGUCUGACUUCAGCUCAGGUCAGUCUGACAGUUCAUGAGUUUGAGCCAUGCAUCAGGCUCUGUGCUGAUAGCCCAGAGCCUGGAGCCUGUUUCAAAUUCUGUGUCUCCCUCUGUCUCUGCCCCUCCCCUGCUUGUUCUCUGUCUCUCUUUCUCUCAAAAAUAAAUAAACAUUUAAAAACAUUAAAAAAAAAAAAAAGAAUUGGCAGAGCUAAAGAAACAGCAUCUAAGCAUCCAAAAUUAUUCUAAAAAUCAUACCACAAAACUGAAUUGCCAGGAGAGCGGCUUACUCUGCCACAACCUGGAAGCUUCCAAGGCAACUUCAGCCUUAAUGAUUAUGCUACUUCUGCCAUCAUCCAUGCCAAGAAACGUGGGCUUUCAUGUUCUGCCUUUCUCCCAGUUUCAUUUAUUUAUUUAUUUUUCUCCCAAAUUCAUUUAUUUCCAAAUCAGUGUCUCGCAUGACUUACCCAAGCUAAGUCACAUCUGGAACUGUGUCUGCAGAGCUUCCUGAAAAAUGACUCUAGUUUUCUAGUCUCUGAAAUUUGAAGGCACACUAGGGUGAAGUUAGUGUCUGGUGCAACUCCCCAUCAUAUCUGUUACAGCAUUUUUUUUUUCUCAUACAAAAUAAUCUGUGAGAUUCUGGAAACACAAACCAGCAUGGCUUUUGAUCCAAUGUGCCAGAGACAGCACAAAGUCAUAGUAAAGAGAUUCUUGUGUUUCAGUGGAAAGCAACACACAAAUUUGAAGGGAAUGAAUAAACAGUAGCAAUAGCACCCACAUCAGGAGGCUGUUGUGUAAGUGUCCUCAAAAGCACAGAAACACCAUAAAAUUUAAAAACAGACAGAGGCAAUUCCAAUUGUGGGAGUAUUUUGUUUUCUGAUGUUGGUGGUACAGGCAGAAGUGAGGUGCAUUUAUGUGGUUUCCUCUGGCAGAUUAACUCAUUCAUUAACAGGCUAAAAUGACUUGCUUUUGAACGUACCAGAUGAAGCUAUGCGUAAAAAAGAAUACAAGUAAAAAAUAAGGGAAACUUAUAGUAGGCCUACGGACUACUCUGAUAAGGUUAAUAAUAAAGAAAACACUAAUUCUUAGUGGUUUGUACAUGUUCCGGAAAUAGAAAUUUUCCUAAUUCUUCCAUGCUUUGUGGCCAACAGCUUACAUAAGAAUCAAUGGCUUCAGAAACAUUGACAAGACUUUAAAAACAAAUGAGAGUCAUUUGACAAGUAAAGCUAUGAGUUAUUUUAAACAACUACUGGAACCUCAUAUUAAAACUUAAGAGAAGGAAUGGAAGAAAGAAAGGAAAGGAGGAAGGAAGGAAGGAAGGAAGGAAGGAAGGAAGGAAGGAAGAUGAAAAGACUACAGAAUCUCAGAAGAGGAAAAGUCAUGUACUUUUUAAGUAACUAAUAAUGCUAGCAGGUAAAAAUAUAGUCAGUAAAAUGCUAAGAAAAUAUAUAGUUCAAUAUAUGGAAAUUGUUCCAUCCUCAAACAGUAUAAUAAGGUGAUAUAUUGAUGGCAUGCAACAUAUGCUGAAGAGAUUUAUGUGAAACACCUCUAUAUUGAAGAUGAUGAGUGAACAGAUUUCCCCAGGAAAUGUCUUGCAUUUACAAGAUUUGUAAAUCAUGGUUAAAUUCAAUAAAAUAUUUUCUGCUGUGAAAGCCAGUGGAAAUAAAUAAUGACCAAGAUAUAUUUAAAAUGUGGCCUUCAUAUCUGGAAAUAAAAAUAUGUGUCAGCAUCUGUACAGAUAGUACCACAUCAAUGAUUGGUUUUAUUAAGGGUUUCACUUCUCUUGCAAAAAACAAACGAAAAAACCCUCACAUCACAUUUUUCACAGAGAGGUGCUAUUGUCAAAAAUUCUUGGAAAUGAAAUAUUUCUUGAGGAUGUUACAAAAUGGUUUUUUAAACAAAGAUGAGUUCACUAAGAGCACUUAAAGAAGUACAUGAAAACUUUGACCAAGAACAUAUAAAUCUUGUGCAGCACACAGAAAUUUGGUAGCUUGGCCAAAGAAGAGUUCUCAAUGAGGUGUUUGAGCUGCAAGGUAAAUUGGAGAAGUCAUUUUCAUAAAAGUAACAUCAGGUUUUGAUGAGUAUUUUGAAGAUGAGGCAUGAUUGCAGAAAUUAGCUGACUCUCAGAUAUUUUUCAUCACAUGAACUUAUGGAAUAAGGACCCAGUGUCAUGUGGAAUAUGUUUUGCCUUUGAAUGACUACAGUCAUUGCUUUAAAAGGAAACUUAAUCUUUGGGCAAAUCAUUCUUCAAAGGAAAUGUUGAAGUGUUUCCAGUUUUUCGGACUUGAUAGGGAGGGAAAAUAUCAGAAUAUUCUAAAUAUUAUUGAAAACCACCUGAAGGAGCUACAUAUCAAAAUCGAAGAGAAUCAUUCCCUGCUUUCAAUACAAGUGAGUGACUGGGAGAGGGACGUCUUAUCUAAAUCUUCUGUUCAAUCAGACAGUGGACUUUAGCAAAGAGGAAGAACUUUGUGAGCUGAAGGGUCCUCAUUCACUGGAGAUGAGAUUUGCUGAUCUUUCCUAGACAAAGUCUGGAUUUCUGUUCUGCCAUUAGUAUGAAAGCAGUAAACAUUUUGCUGAAGUUUUCUGCAACUUGUAUAGGCGAACAGGCUUUUUUAUUUUCUUUUAUUUUGUUUAGUAAGAAUCAUGAGCAAGGACAGAAAUCAUUUCAUUUAACUUGAAAAUGAAAUCUGUGUGUGUUAACCCAAAUUUGACCCCAAUUGAGUACUUGUAGAGAAAAAGGAAUUUCUUGUAGAGAAAAAUGAAUAAUUCAUAUUAAUAAGUUUUAGUUCAUUUUUAUUUUUAGUUUCAAAAAUAACUUUGAAUUUAUAUAUGCAUCUAUGAAAGGCUACACAUGUCUAUAAUAAUUUUGUACUGCUAAAUUGCUACUUGAGCCCCAACAUGUCCCUUAGUAUAAAAAUAUUGAUUGGCAUAUGACUUGUGUCAAAUUUGCCACAGUCUAUACAUUUUAAUUGAAGCUGCUUUGGUUUAGUUUUUGUAGUUCUGCUAUUCAAAAUGAUAAAAAAAUGUUAUAAAUAAAAUUAAUUAAAAUCAAUUUAUGAUUUUUAUAUAAAUUUAUUCUCUUGAGUCUUUCAAAAAAAUUAAAUCCCAUUUUGACUUACCAUAGCCAUUAACCAAAAUGUGUUGUUUGCCUUAUGCAUUUAUAAAAUUUAUGAAAAAGAAAGAAGUUAAUAAAAAAAAUAACUAUAAGUGCCUUGUGGGGGAUGUUCUUGAAAAAUUGACUAAAACCCACUUAUUUAAUAUAAAAAAUAGUCCAAAAGAUACCAUGUAACAUAUGUCAUGUACCACAAUAAUCUUGUGGAAUAGAAAUUUAUAAUAUGACAAUUAGGCCUAUUUGGAUGAGAAAAAUGGAUUUAAAAUAGAAAAUUUGUUUGAAAAACAAAAAUUAAGAAAAAAAACCCUGAAGAUAUUUUUACCAGCAUUUUUGACUUUCAUUGGAAUUGAUGUCCAUGGUGGGAAUAGAGAAUCAUAUAAAUAAAGUAUGCCAAUAAACUGGCCAAAAUAAACAGAUUCACAGAAAAAAAAAUUCCCUUCACUAUUAUUGUUGGGUUAUAAUCUCUAUAAUUUAUUGAUCACACUAAUGCAUAUAGGCAUUAUAAUUUUGUGCAAGGGCUAAAAAUAUUUAAAUGGCUCCUUCAGGGUAAAAAUAUUAAAGGAAGCUGAUAUCCAAUAUGUAAUAUUUAUUCUGAGCUUUAGUCAUCCAUGAUUUUUUUCAAUUAAAAAUAUUACUAACUGAGAAGGUAAAGCUCAUGAAUACAUAAUCAAUAUAAAUAAAUAUAUUACAGUAGUUAUUUUUUAAUGUUGCAUAGUAUAUACCCUCUUGCUAUAUAAGAAAAAAAUUGUAUUUUAUUUUUUUAAGUGUAUUUAUUUUAUUCUUGAAAGAGAGAGAGCACAUGUGGGAGGAGCAGAGAGAGAGGGAGAAAGAGAAUUUCAAGCAGACUUCUUGUCACCACAGAGCUUGGCGUGGGGCUCAAACCCACGAACUGUGGAUCAUGACCUGAUCUGAAACCAAAAGUUGGACGCUUAAUCUACUGAGCCACCCACAGGCCCCAGAAAUGGAUUUUAAACAAUCUUACAUGGAAGACUAGUUAGCAUUUCGUAAGUCUAUAAUUUCUGAAUGAGAAGGGGAUCUAUAACCUGUUGUAACAAAGAUGAAAAGCUUCCAGAAUCUCUUGUGUUAAAAAUACACAAUCAAACAAGUAAACAAAUAGUACUUCACAGUGUGAAAUUCGCCUCAAAACAAAUAAGACCACAUAUGUUAUUUUUGAUCCAUGAAAUUAGAGGAAGAAAUGCCAGUAGACACAGAAAUCAUGUUUGAAAGACAAAUAUUGCCUAAGAUUUCACAAGGAUUAAAAAUAAAAACAAAAAUAAGAAAGACCAGACAGGAAAGGGAGUGGGUUGUCUGAAAUGGCACAGCUGUCUCCAGAGAAGUUGCAAGUUUUUCAUUAUCACACAGUCUUUAACAGCCAAAAUGUGCAUCUCAACAUGAAAAUCACACAGCCCUCUAAAUACAGGAUGGGAAGCAAUUUCUCACUCCAAAACUCUGCCUUUGAAAAGCUACCUAUUAAACAAUUUGAGUUCUAGAAAUAGAGAAUGUGUGUUUGUUGUUGGCUCAGGCUCUGCUUUAUUUCUCCAAGGUCAGACUUUAAAAAAAAAAAAAAGGAUUAAAGGGACACUGAGGUGACUCAGUUAAGCAUCGUACUCUUGAUUUUGGCUCAGGUCACAAUCUCAGGUUUCGUGAGUUUGAGCCCCGCAUCAGGCUCUCUGCUGUCAGCAACAGAACCUGCUUCAGAUCCUCUGUCCCCAGUUCUCUCUCCACCCCUCUCUGGCUCAUGCUGUCUCUCUGUCUUCCUCUCUCUCUCUCUCAAAAAUAAACAAACAUUUAACAAAUAAAAUUUUUAAAAGGCAUUAAAAUCAACAUUACAGCCAUGGAACUUGAAAAUCUGUUACUAUAAGAAAGUAGUAUACAUGGAAGAGAAUCCUCAUGUAUAAAUCCAUAUUAAUUCUAUUAAAAUAUGUACAUAAUUACAUGGAACAUAAUUUUACAAGUUGUUUGAGAACCUAUUUUAUCUUUGUCUGGUAAUUAAUUCUUUGGAAGUACCACAGUCAGAGUUUUUUCCUCAAUGAGAAAAGCUUCAUCCAUACAUACCUACCACCUUUUCAUUCUCAUGGUUCCAGGUGACUAUAAAAAUCACAUAUGGCUGGUAUUGUAGGAUUAGAAUAUAAAGGGGCAGAUACAAUUUCCUUAGCCACAUGGCUAAUGAAAACUCCUUCCUCAAAAUGAAAUUAUACUCCUCUUCCUCCAGUCUUAAAGUAUUUACUUGUUCAGUUGGUGUGAGUAUCAACCACUAAAAGGCAAACGGGAGUGGAGGCAAACGGGAGUGGAAAAGUGAGAAAUUUUGAAGAGAAAGAAUAAAGGAAAAGGAAGAAAUAAAAAAUGGAGUGGAAUAUUUGCCCCCAUUGUGACAAACGUCAACUAACAAGACUCUUUCCUUUAGGAUUACUAACAACUACUCUUCAUUUUUAUUUUAGAUGCUGUUUAUUACUUGCAUCCUGGUAACAUGGUAAUCCUAAAACUUCAAGAAAUAUUCUCCAAAAUGCUGAAUAUGUCUGGAAUUAGUAAGUAAAACCAAAUGUUAUAAAUGUGUAGCUCAUUAUCAUAUAAUUUGCAUAAUGGUGAAGAUCAAAUCUGAUGACAUGUAUCCACAUACCAUUAAAAUCUGCUAUGAUUAGCUUAACUAUUACUAGUUUUAGUAUCAUUUCAUGCCUAUGGCACUAUAAAGAUGACCAUAACAUAUAAAUAUACUCUAUUCAUUUGAAUGCCCUAAUCAGAAUAAUGAAAACAACCCAAACUCAGUAGAUUUACAGUGGGGGAUAGGAGAGAAUACUAAAAACUCUCAGGCAAUAAUGAUGCAUCUUAGUUUUUGAACGUUUUAUUAAGAUACAGUUUAUGUACCAUAAUAUUCACCCACUUAGCUGAACAAUUCUAUGGCUUUUCGGUAUAUUUACAGAGCUGCACACCAUAACCAUAAUCUAAUAUUAAAACAUUUUAUUUAUAACACAAAGAAAUCUCAUAACCAUUUAGCUGUUGCCCCAUUUCUACCCCUACAGAAACCCCAGGAAAGGACUAAUAUACUCUCUGUCUUUAUAGAUUUGUCUAUUCUGGACAUAGGAUCAUAUAAUAGAUAGUUUCCCAUCAGCUGCUUCCACUUAGCGUUAUUUUUGGAGGUUUAUCUAUGUUGUAGACUGUAUGUGCACUGUAUUUUUUAUUACUAUAUUCUUUAUUAUUAUUAUUAAUAUUAUAAAUUAUUACUAAACAUCCUUCCCUAUCUAUUUAUGUGGAUUAUUUUCACUUUUUAGCUAUUAUGCAUAAUCCUGAAUAACAGUUACCUUGAAGAAUGAAACAAUAGUAAAUUGAUAAAUAGACAUAUGCUGGCCAUCCUGGAACAGAACCUUGUUUCCCAAGAAAACUGUUACAAAGACACAAAUCAAGGUUAUAUUAAGAUAUAGUUGAACUUUCACUUGAUAUGAUCCAGUUUCUCAUUUUAUAAAGCAUAUGGACAUAAUGUUAUUUGUCAAAGUCUUUAUUUUCUUACCAAUUAUUUGGUGUUACACUGGACAUCUGAGAAUUUAACUUUUAGGCUAGAAUCUAAUAUUUUUCUGAAUCCUUGAUUCUAUUAAUAGUGUCAAAGUAUAAUUUUCAAAAGUUAAAGACAUCAAACUCAUACAAAUAUAAAACCUGUGUGUGUCAAAGUUGUACUUUACUCAUGAAUGAGGGAACAAUAAAAUAGUAAAAGUGGUUCUAAGGGCAUUUUAGAAACAUAAUUUAUAGGCAUUAGGAAAAGAAGAAUGUUAGAAUUAAGAUUCUGUCAGAUACUAAGCUAAGGGCAAUAAAAUCAUAACCUUGGGGAUUGUUACUUUUUUUCCACGACAAAAAUCUUUAGGUUAACGAAACAAAUCUGUUAUCUUGACUUUAAUCAGCAUGUAAAUAAAAAGUCAAACACUGGUAAAUUUUCCUGUAGAAUAAAAUAAUUCAUGAAAAUGCCAUUGUAGGACAUUAAAAAAACAUCCUGACACAUUUUCCACCCUUAUCUAUUUUCUGACUUUUGGAAAAAUUUUCUUAAUAACACUGUGCUACAGGAAGUUGGUAGAUGUAGCUAAUGUUAAAAACUUUGUUAUUACUGAAAAUAUUUUUUCAUCUUUGUGUUGUAUGUGUUUUGGUAAUCACUGAAAGAGUAAUAUUGGGGCACCUGGGUGGCUAAGUUGGUUAAGUGACCAACUCUUGAUUUCUGCUCAGGUCAUGAUCUCACUUCACUGUUCCUGGGAUGGAAACCCACAUCUGGAUCCACCCUGGGUGUGGAGCCUGCUUAAGAUUCUCUCUUUCUCUCUCUCUCUUUCUCUCUCUCUCUUUCUCUCUCUCUCUUUCUCUCCCUCUUCCCCCCGACCACCCGUUUACACACAUGCUUAUAUGCUUACACACGCUCUCACUCUCUCUCUCAAAAAAAAGAGUAAUACCAUAUUACCUUGAGGAAAGCAUAAUUUUAUUUGCUAAGUUUCCAUGACUUUUUUAUUUUCUAACUUUGUGUGUUUGAAAAUGUUCCUUUUAAUAGUUAAAUUUAGUUAAUAUAAUAGAAGGUUUGUCUUAUCUAUAGCUAAGCAACAAAUCUCAGCAUAAAAACAAACACAUGAAACUAUUGAAUAAAUUGGACCAUGGCAUGGGAAAAUCUCUCUAUACGUUUUAAUUGAUCUCUCCAUUAUCCAGGGCAUUAUUAAAGACCUAUCCUAUCAUGUCUAUUUAACAAGAGAAUCAGACAAAAUUAAUAACCUGUGAAAGUAAAAUGCCAAGCAUUUAUUAAAUCAAGGUACUAUGUGUGGUUACUUUUAUAUUCCUGCCCUGAAGAAUGAUAUAAAAAAUUAUAGGAAAUUUUAAGAUGUACACCUAAAGAGUUAUUGAUUUGGAAAGUACAACUGACAAAUUAUAGUUUGUAAGUCAUAUGGAGUCACAUAAAAAUCACAUGGCAUGAGCUACAGUCUCCUGUAUGGAGGCACACUUCUCCACACAGGCUAUGCUCUAAUACUAAUAGAAAUUCCAAAUACUGGCCCUGAUCCAUUCUCCACUUAUCCUGAAAUUAACAAUAAUGCAAGCAAUAAUGGUGAUAUGCAUUGAUUUAGCUAGUUUUCUGCUCUUUUUUAAAUUUUUUUUAAUGUUUACUUAUACUUGAGAGAGAGAGAGAGAGAGAGAGACAGACAGAGACAGAGACAGAAUCUGAAGCAGGCUCCAGUCUCUGAGCUGUUAGCACAGAGCCCAACCUGGGGCUCAAACUCAUGAACUGUGAGAUUAUGACCUGAGCUGAAGUUAGAUGCUCAACCAGUUGAGCCACCCAGGUGCCUGGCUAGUUUUCUUUUCUUAAAUUGACAGGCCUACCCAACUAUAUUUAGCAGAGGAAGUAAACUUACUCUUUAGACUCCUCAGCUAUUCUGACAACUUCAUUCAUUUGACUACAAACCUUUUUUAAGUAAACUUGAACAAAAAGCCAAUUCCUCAUGAAAAGAACUACAAAAGAAAGUCUUGGAGCAACACAUGUAACCUACUCUUCCAGCAGCCAGACAAAUAGACACAUCCCAAUUAGUCCCCAAGGAAAUUAGACAUUACUUAUAUAUGGGGCUGCUGAUGUACCAUCCAGAAUAGACAGUAGGAGCCUGUGCUUAAACUGAUAUGUUAUUUAAUGAAAAAUCAUAUAUUUAAUAUGGAGACACACUGUGUCAGAGAAUUAAAUAGAAGCUAUAAUUUUAUUACUUUACUUUUUCCCCCUUUUUACAGUGGUUUUAGGGAAUUAUAAUUUCCUCAAUUCCUUUUUUCCCCCAAAGUAAUAGAUUUAUAUUAAAAAUGAAAAAAAAAAAGGUGUGAAAGGUUAUAUUUUUCUCCCUUUGGUACCACCAUUUUGUUGCUACUGAGGGACUAUAGAAGAGGGUGGCUACUACUGUUUCAUUAAACCAGGAUCUCUGUGAAGUUCAGCUGCAGAACAUGUGUUCUACUUUUCUUUUGAAAAUGUGCUCCAUUAAAACCACAUUCUUUUGCCAGUCCAAAUUCAUGAAAGUCUACAUGUCUCUGUUUGAAUUAUCCAAAUUCUGCCUGUGAGGCAAAGGAUGUAAAGUAAAAAUGACGAAGCCACAACACAACAGUCUUGAAAGUUGCCAGUUGUUGUAUGGCUGAUUGAGAUUCGGCAACUGCACCAGUUGAGAAAAGAGCCAAGACAGGUGAUAGUGACCAGUAUACAGCUGUGUGGAGCCAGCACUCAUAGGCUGGUGCCUGUUAAAGGCUUGAAAGAGCCUUCCAGUAAUUUUAUUGGCCUCAAAACUGGAAGUGGCAUCUUGUAUUCUUCAAUAGAAUCCGGAAUUGAGGCCUGAUGAAGGACUUAUUACAAAUAAAUAAUGAUAUAAUAUAAAGAAUAAUACCAUACAAUUAUAAUAUAAUAAUAAAUAAAAUAAUUUGUCCCUAUCACAGGUAAUCUUUCCAAUCCCCCAGAACAAAUGGGAAGAGAAAUAACUAUCGUGUCUAAUCAGAAAUCACUUGCAAUUUCAAACAACUAUUUAUCAGGACCUCUUGAAAUAAGACAUUCUAAUCCUGGAAAUUUACAAAAGAUGCAAUGAGAGAGCAUCUACACUACUUUCUGAUAGAAAAAUUAUACAGGUAGAGUAAAAUUGAGUACUUUUUCAGUGGUAUAAAAUAUGUUUGGUCAAGGGUCUGUGGUAGCGGUGGUGGAAAGAUGUGGCAGGAAAUGAAAGGGAAAGGUAGAUUGCUACCAGAUCACAGGAUUUUUGCUUUCCUGAAAAUUUUGGAAUUAUUUCUGGGAAGUCAGAAGGAUUUUUGAAAAGGGGAAAUUACAUGAUCUAAACUAUAUUUCAGGAACAUAACUGUUGUGCAAGGAAGAAUAAACCACUAGCAAUAUUUCAGUCAAAUGGGCACUCUUUCUCGUAAGCAGCAUUGCAAAUCGCUAAGGCAGUUCAGCUCGACUACUGAAAAUAAGGAAAGCAUUAAAAAGUUGUGGGUAGGUCCCAUCUGAAGAGAGGAUUAAACUAUCAAAGGAAAACAAAAGGUUCUAAAAGCUUUGAUCUAAAGAAUGAUUUUAGAUCAUUCUCACAAUGUCCCAGAGAUCAAUUAAUGCAAUUCCCCAAGAAAACUCAGAACAGACCUGGCAAUCUCCAGGGAGUUUUGGAACUUUCACCCUCUGGAGUUUCGGAACCAGCCAGAUUAGAAUCUAUACCUGUGCAUAUGGACAUCUGUGAUGCCAAAGUCAUCUUUACCAUACAUUUUCACAUUCUACAAGCUUAACAACUAGUAAAAAUAUAAAGUUUAAAGACAAUACCUCUUCAAAGUCACAUUUAAUUGUUAAACAUUUAUGUAAGCUGGGAAUUGAGUAGGCCACCUGGCAAUUUUACAAGGUGAAAAAAUGCUUUACUCAAAAUGACAGUUUUUGCUUCUAUUUCCCUGGUGUGAGAGUUCACUAAUUAUUUGCCACUGUAAGUAAGUUUCACAGUGUUAAGAAACUGAACUUAAGAUUAUUAUUGUUCAUGUUGGACAUUCAGAAUCAUCCCUGAAGUAUUUGUAAUCUCAAACACAUUUGUUAUACCAGUGUGAAACAUUGUUUAUUCAUGGCACUAUAUGUAUUAGUUAGGUAAUCUUUAAUUUUAGAUUAAAAAAGCCAAAAAAAAAAAAGCAUAUAAAAGUGCACUUUAAAAGCCAAGUGGACAAUGACUUGAAAAGAAGUUAAUUUCAAAGAUUUCAAGUAAACUAACAGUUACAAAAAUGUCAGAAACACUAACUAAACCAGAGUGAGAACACUUUUGUUCUAAAAGUAGAAUAUUUAAACCAAGGCUGAUCCUUAGAUAGCACAAUUUGAAAAAAUAAGUUAACAAGACACAAAAUGGAUUUCUAAUACUAUUAAAAUUGCUCUAAAUUCUAGCUAUGAGAGUUAGAAACAGGAUGGUAAUAAACGUUGGAUCGUUCAAGUUGUCCCAGUGUAAUUAACAGUUUUUGCUUUCACUGUCAAAGGCAUCCCAGUUUGAAUAAUAAACUAUAUGAACACCUGAGUCAUAACACAUCCCUGAAAAUUAUCUUAAUUAUCCAGGAAGUGAAAUGUAAUUGAAGAAAUAGGCUUAUCAAAAUUGAUUUUCAGUAGAAGCGGAAAUUUUAAAAAUAUAUGUAUUUUAUUAAAACCUGACCAAAAAACCCAACAUAUACAUGCAACCAUAAUUUGGUAUUUCUUUAUUUACAAAUAAGUACAUUCAGUGUUAUAAAACUACUUUAAGGAUCACUUAGCUGCCUCUUACAAGUUUAAUAUGCUGAAAUCAGCACAUUUUUCAUUAGCUAUGUGUUGUCUGAUAUUGUAAUUUUGCACCAGUUUUCUUUUGAGUAGGUUUUGUAUGUUCCAUGGCUUUUCAUCUUCCCCCCAGCCUCAAUCUCUUUCUAUAAAUUAAAAGACUAAACAAAAUACCCUUGAAGUAUUCAGAUAGAUUUUUAUUUCAGUAAUCUACUAGUCUCUGUAUAUCUAUGGAUUAAUCAUCUAUAAUUUUUAUAUUUAUUUAUAUAUUUCUACUUAGUACUAUGAUUUUUUUUUUCAGUUUCAUCUACCAUUUUUUCCAUCGUUAUGCCUUCUAUUGCAUUGAGAAAGUUUUCACAUUUACUUCCUUCAGAUAAUUUUGAAAUAACAGACUUGAUUUUUAUCAUAUUCUGAAUAUUGUUUUAAACAUAAUUAGUGUCACCUAACAAAUGUGCAUUACUGUAGCACGUUUACCUACUUCUAAAAUUCCCUGUCCUCACAUUCAUCUAUUUACAUGGUAUAAAGCCUUGAGUUUAAACCCUUUUUCGCCAAACUCGAAAAUAAUAAUUUUAAUAUUUAACAGUUGUAUUUACUAAUAUUUAAUCAAUUACUUUGAUCAACUUCCCUACAUUUCUUUCAUACCAUAACUGGAUUUUACUUUUUCCUUCUAAAAUAAAUUAUUUUAAAGUCAUAGUGUGUUUUUUAAGCUUCAAAAUCUUUAUGUAGUCUAAAACUAGUCUUAUUUUGCUUUCACCUUGAAUGAUAUGGUAUGUCCACUAAAUAUUAAACUUUAACUUGACUAUGAUUUACCUUCAGUACUCUGAAGAUGUCACCAUCGGUGGUACAAAGUGUACUAUAUGUUUCCAUCAUGAAUUUUUCAAUUUACUCUUUUAUCUUUAUUUUUCAGUUUCAAUCUGUUGUGACCAGAUAUAAGGUUAUAAAUAUAUANUUUAAAAAAAAAAAAAAAAAAAAAAAAAAAAAAUAUAUAUAUAUAUAUAUAUAUAUAUAUAUAUUUUUUUUUUUUUUUUCUUACAACUUGCAUUGAAUUUUGUAUCUGGGAAAUUUUAUCAAUUCUGAAAACAUCUUGGUGAUUCUUCAAAUAUUGACUGUGUUAUUUUUAUUCAUUUGAAUCACUUUUAUAUCUCUGGUGGGGAUUCUGAAACAACGCAUCAUGUUACAUAUAUAAAAAUUUCUUUAUGCUGGUUUGGAGUUGACUUUCUUAUAUGUAGGUCACACAAGGCUGAUACUGACUAUAUUUAGAAUUUUCCUUUCAGUAAACAAUGUUUAUGGAAAACAUUUCUAAUUUAGUAAUUUAUUCUUUCACAUAUUUACCAUUCUUAUUUAUGACUGCUUAUUUUUGUUUCAUGCAUUUAUUUGUGUUGAGUAUAUCACUUUUUUUGAGCAUCCGGCACUAAUUAUUUCAAAUUCUCAGAUGGAUUAUAACUGAUUUCUCCUGGAGUGAAUGUGUAUUUGGUUGUUUAAUUUGAUACCCUAUCAUUUAUUAUUUAAUAGUUUGAAUGAUCUAAUAAUGCAGAUUGUAAGUACGUUUUGAACUGUAAGUACUUUGGUAGGAAAGUUUUAGCGAUUUUGAUUUUGUUUUGUUGUUAUUGGUAUGUAUGCAUGUAUAUGCAUUUGCUUGCUUUUCUUUGAUUUUUUAUUUUAUUAUUUUUUCCCCUCUUCAGCAAUCCUGUUGUUUUGAAGUUGCUUCCUUCUAAUCUAGAUAAGAUGCAGUUAUUAAAAUAGAGUUUGACAAUUUCUAUUUUUAUAAAUACAUCCAGCCUAUCAGAGAUCCAAUCACAGAGUCAGAUGACAACUUGGCUCAGUAGUAGGUUGAAAGUUGUGGUUUUUGUCCCUAUUUCCUUAGGUCAGGAGCUUUAUAAUGCUGCUGUGGUAUCAUAAUGCCAUAUCCCAAGCAGCAAGUCAACAGCCAUUUGUUUCAGCCCCCUUUCACAAUAGAGGGGAAGGGGAUCUAUUUCUUCCUAGUCCCAAGCUUUAACCCCGAGAGGGAACAGGGAGAACCAAGUCACAGAGGGCAAUCUUAGUACUUUUCUUUUCAGGAGCCCCACCUCCUUGCUUCCACUCCCAUCUUCCAAUUGUUCAGCUGGCCAGUGGCAUACACCAUAACAACUUUGCAAUUCUGGGGACUCACUUACCAUGUAUGAAAAUAUUUAUCACGUCAUUGGAUCUCAGCUACUAUAUAUGAAUCCAUGGUAUAUAUGUCCAAUACUUGUGUGAACAUAUAUAUUUGGUAGUUUUGGAUUAAUGGGUCUGUUUAAAACUCAUUGCAUCUUUUGGGGCACCUAGCUGGCUCAGUCAGAAGAGCAUGUGACUGUUGAUCUCAGGGCUGUGCAUUGGAGCCCCACAUUGAGUGUAGAGAUUACUUAAAAAUAAAAUCUUAAAAAAAAAGUGAAAAACAAAAAAAAUAACUCAUUGUAUCUUUUGACCAGUAGUUCAUAUUUUCAAUGAGAGAAUUAGUGAAAAACUUACUUAUGAUUUCUAUAAUAUCUCCAUGAUAAACUAAAGCCCACUCACACUGUAAAAGCUGAGAGAUCUGUUUUAUCAUUUUUUAAAUAUCUUUAUUAUUAUACAUAUAAAAUAACUAAAAAGUAGAAAAACUUAAACAUUUAUAAAAUAAUAUAAAAUGCUAUUUAGCCCUUUCGAUCAAAGGAUAUUUUGAAGGUAUUCAAAAGUUCUAGCUUUUAAUUCAGUACUGAAUUCUUCAAAAUUUUAAGAUGCGACUAGACUUGACCUCUAUUUUGGGAUCUUUAAAUAAUGGAUUAGAAGUAUCUUAUCAUUGUUCUAUCAUGUCUAAUUCUAAGAGAAACUAUCCCAUAACUAACACUUACAGAGGGCUUAUUUUGUCCCAGGCUUUGUUGUAUGCAUUUUACAAAUAUUGACUUGAUUAGUCGUCACACUUCCUAUGAGGUAAUUACUAUUUCUGAGUGUUCAGAAAAGCUUAAGGCACAGAGAGAUAGUUACUUAAUGAUAGCAUAGUAUGUAAUAAAUGACACAGUCAGAAUCUGACUCUUGGCAGUCUGACUCCAAAAGAAGAUUCUAUGUAGUUUUGCUCAUUUGACUUUCAAAGUAGACAUCAUUAGUUACCACAUGAUAAUGACUGACUUCUUGUCUUUGUCUGGUUAUGAAUGAGCUGUUUGACUUCUGCAUUUUUUUCCCUCCCCAAAUGGCCUUUCUUCAUUAUCAAAUGAAGCUGCCUAGCGAUACAACUGACUUGCAGACCUUUGAAGAUAUCUGCUUUUGUAUUUGACAUGGUGUAUUUUAAUGAUAUAUAGCCUUAAACAUACUGGCUACAGAUGACUCAGUGUAAAAAAAUGCAUAAUAAAUUUUAAUUCCUGAUAUAUGUUGUAGAACAAUAUCUACACAUGAAAACCAGCCAACUAUAUUUCUGGUAUAAUUCUGACUAUAUAUUACUGUAAACAAACAGAUUCUAAAUUGUGACAAAGAGUACAUUAGUACACUGUAUUUGACAUUGAGGGUUUUUUAAGUUUAUUUCUUUAUUUUGAGGGAGAGAGAGAGAGAGAGAGAGAGAAUCCCAAGCAGGCUCUGCACUGCCAGCAUAGAGCCUGAUGCGGACCCACAAACCAUGAGAUCAUGACCUGAGCCCAAAUCAAGAGUUGGUCGCUUAACUGACUGAGCCACCCAGGUGCCCAAACAUUGAGGAUUUAAAAGCCAAAGUGAAAUUAUUACCGACACAUUCAUUACCAAAGUUAAAAAAAAAAAAAAAAAAACAAGAAUCAACAAAACCAACUUAAUCUUUGGAGCUCAGUAGAUGUGGCCCAAUAUAAGUGGUUUUAUUCCUCUGCUAUAGCAAGGAAAAAGAAAAAAAAAAAGUUCCUACUAUUUUGCCAUAUCGUUUAAAUUUCACAUUUCCAUUUACUGUCCUAAUUAAUGUCUAUGUGGAGAGCAUUCAUGAUUUCAUUUUACUUUGAACAGCUUUGCUUCCUUUGCUCUCACUGGACUUUAGUCAGACCACCCUUUCAUUAAAUAGUUCAGUAAUUAAUCCACUUAUUAGUUAUAGACUCUUAGAGUAAAUCUAUAUAGAAGCAAUAUUGUUUAGGAAAGGGAAAUAUUGUGUAAAUUGCAACAAGGGGCUUCCUAAUUUAAAUGAAACAAAUAAGUGUGUGUGUGUGUGUGUGUGUGUGUGUGUGUGUGCCCGCGCGUGUGUGUGUGUUUGGACGUGUGUGUGUGCGUGUGUGUGUAUACACAGUCAGGACCUUAACUUGAGAACACGUGAUAUUGAAAAAUGUAUUUAUGUGUCUUUUGAACUCAAAAUGAAUUUUUCCUUAAAACAGUAUGAUUAGAUUUCUAGGUUAGCCUAACAUAGACUUCCUGUAUUAUAGAAAUAUAUAACCUGACUGAUGAAUUUUAGGAUUUGAGAACCACGAGGAAGGAAGAUGGGGAAAGUAGAGUCAAGUACAAUACAAGUCAAAAUAUUGUGACAGGUGAACUUUUUCUUUAGGCUGACAUCAUUUCUGUAUGACUUCCUGUCUCUGGUGCACAUCUCCUCACGUGCAUAGAAAUAGGUCCAUUGAAUGUGGAAACCGUUGUAGCACUAAAUGAGGGAUAAUGAGUAAAUAUCCAUUCCUUAAUUUGCAAAGGGAUAAAGAUCAUAGACUCUGGAACCUGAUUUCUGGGGCCCAAAUUUUGUUUUUUUCCCCAGUAAGUUUUGUGACCUUAAGCAAUUUACUCAAUCACCCUGUGUCUUAGUUUACUCAUUUGUAAAUAGUACCACUAACUAGCUAAUAACUAGCUCAUAUAGUCUCUAUGAAAAUAGACUGGAUCAUGUAUUUAAAACUUUUGGAACAAUGACUGACAAAACACAAGUGGUAUGGAAUUUUAGCUAUUAGUAUUAAUAUUGUUAUUAUUAAUAAAAAACACAAACAUGUAUUAGAGUGUCAAUUUUGUGUUAAACACUAUAACAGAGGAUAAACAUGUAAGAUAAAUAAGAACAGUUCCUGCACCAAAGAGUUUCAGGUGAGAGAAAACAGAGAUUGGUUCAUUUUAAAGAUGACAAAAUAAGGAUACCAGGAGAAAAUUUUAUGGAAAGAUAUUUAAAGAAGGUGUGAAUGUUUCAAUUCUAAAGUACCUGUGUUGAAGACAAACGUGACUAUCCGGACAUUGAAGGUGUGAGUAAUUGCAAGCAACCAAAGAUUAAAAAAUCAAUUUAGAUAUUGAGAGAUGCACACAGAAGGUGGCAUUUAAGAUUUUAUUUUUUAAAGUUUAUUUUUGAGAGAGAAAGCCAGAGCAUGAGUGUGGGGAGCUGGGUGGUGCAGAGAGAGAGGGAGACCCAGAAUCCAAACCAGGCUCCAGACUCCAAGAUAUCAGCAAAGAGCCCAAUGCGGGUCUUGAACUCACAAACCUUGAGAUCAUGACCUGAGCCAAAGUGGGACACUUAACCAACUAAGCCACACAGGCGCCCCAGAAGAUGGCAUUUUAAAUGUUAAGCAACAGGUAUUAGGAUCACAGUUCGAGGGAAAGGAGUCCAAGCACCAAAAGACUUUGAAGUAAAACAAGAAGCAAGCGUUAAGAAACCAGAAAACUGAGAGAAGCAAACCCCUCUUGGAGCAACUAGAAGCCAACGUGGCAAGACUAACCAAAUGCAAUUAUUGAGCUACCUUCUCUAGAUGUGAAUCAUUCUCUAUGAUGAGGGACAUGCCUAGUCUCAGAAUCUGGGAGUAUAGUGUAGAAGUGGGAGAGUUUAGAGAAAAUUCACAACUGACAUAAGAACACUUGGCCCAAAACUAACAGGUAUACAAUCUUCCUGAACAAUACAUUGUCUAUUUACAACAUAUAAUUGUACUAAAACAUUUUUUAGUCUCUAAACAGAGAAAGAACAAGUGAGGAAAAGAGUUUUAAAGUAUUGUAUAAGCCAUACAUAUAUUACUUAUCAUAUGACCAUGGCCACAAACAUAAAUAUACUGGAAAACUGCAAUACAGGACUGAAAUAUUAGGGUGUGCCAAUAUAUUGUAGGUCCUCACUGUACUGCUUCAAUGCUACACUAGGUUCAAGACAUUCUCAAGCCUCUUUAUUCCUCUAAAAUGCUUGAAGUAUAGCAGGAAAUUAGUCAAUGUGAAUUGAUGAAUAACAUGGGGACUGGCCAAAUUAAACCACAUUAAUCUGGGAAAGAUUGUCAACACCUGACUCCUCAUAAAGCUAUUUGCAUUUUCCAAAGAAGAGCUUGUUGAUCCCAAAUUAAUGUCUAAAUGGUAGAAUUUCAAGUAAUGUGGCAAGUUUUACAUGAAAAAAGAAAAAGUGAAAAAAAUAAAAUGGAACAAUUAUGCAUGGGAGUUUAAACAACAGAUUUGGCACUUUUCCUGUUUGACAGUUCCUUUGUUUCUUCCAAACUUGAGCACAAAUGUUCUUUCAGAACUCCAUGAUUUAUUUUGGCUUGUAUCUCAUUUCAUAGCCAUUCUUACGCUAUUUACAGGAGUGGGGAUAGAGGUAAUUGGUCAAGAGUAGCUUUAUAUGUAUGGGUAAAAAUCGCUUUGCAUAUUAGACAGGGUGCCUGGGUGGCUCAGUCAGUUGGGUGUGGGACUCUUGAUUUCAGCUCAGGGGUCAUGAUUCCAAGGUCGUGGGAUGGAGCCCCGAUGGAGCCCUGCAUCCAGCUCCAUGCUCAGCAUGGAUUCUCUCUAUCGGCCCCUCUCCCCCACCUGUGCAUGUGUACACACACGUACACACUCUAAGUAAGUAAGUAAAUAAAUAAAUGAAUUGCUUUACAUAUUGGAAGUGAGAGCUUAUUUGUAUUAAGAGAAAUAUUGGAAAUAUUAGAUAUGAAAUAAUAACAAAAUCUACAGGAUGGCAGUUCUGAUCUAAAUAUUUGGUUCAUUUAAUAAUAGACAUAGUUUACCAAACUGAUCAGCAUUUUUUCUCCAGAUAAAUUUAAGCAAUGAAAGAUCUUUCACCUGAAAUGUUAUUUCCCUGGAACUUAUAUCUUCUUAAAUGCUCUAAAAGUAAGACAUCUAACAUAGUUAAUAUGUAACAAAUAUGUUGCAGUUCAGGAGUAUGUCAACACCAUACACUUUUAAAACACCUUAAUUAGGUUUUUAAACUCUUCAGCCUAGGGGCGCCUGGGUGGCUCAGUUGUUAAGCGUCCGACUUCGGCUCAGGUUAUGAUCUCACGGUCCGUGAGUUCGAGCCCUGCGUUGGGCUCUGUGCUGACAGCUCAGAGCCUGCUUCAGAUUUUGUGUCUCCCUCUCUCUCUGACCCUCCCCUGUUCAUGCUCUGUCUCUCCCUGUCUCAAAAAUAAAUAAAACGUCAAAAAAAAGUUAAAAGAAAAAAAAAACAACUCUUCAGCCUAUAUUCUAUGUGUAAGAUGCUAAUUGUUAAAUGAUACAUUCUAGAAUUCCCUCAAAUUCCCUCAACUAGGUGAUUUCUAGAAUUUUAGAUUGGGUUUAUUGGCAAAAUAUGGAUCAACAUGAGAUUUUUUAUUUUUUCAUUGUUUAAUCUGGACAGAGAGUCAAAAAAAAAACUCUACCAAUUAAUAAUUAAUUUUAUUUUUGAAAAAAAAUUUUAACAUUUACUUAUUUUUGAGAGACAGAAAGAGACAGCAUGAUCAGGGGAGGGGCAGAGAGAGAGAGAGGGGGAGACCAGAAUCUGAAGCAGGUUUCAGGCUCCGAGAUGUCAGCACAGAGCCCAACGCGGGGCUUGAACCCAUGAACCAUGAGAUCAUUAUCUGAGCUGAGGUCAGAUGCCUAACCAACUGAGCCACCCAGGCACUCCAUAACUAAUUUUAUUUUAAAAAUAUAAGUAAUUUUUCAACAAAAGAAAUUAAAAUCCCAUGAAGUAUAGGAAUUAUAAAAAUCAUUGCUUUUUCUAAUAUAAUGGAUAUUGCCCUAUAAUAAACUCACUUAUAUAAAAAUUCAUUCUGUUUUAAUAGCAUUGCAGACAACACAUGGGAACAACAUUCCUCUUCCACUGAAAGCAAUGAAAAAAUUAACGUGAUUCUAGUUAAUUUUAGCUCUAUCCCUACACAAAUAAUCUGGUAUUGACCUUGUUAAUAAAAUAAAAUGUAUCUUUGGGUUACUGAAAUAAAUUUUUGAAAUAUACAUUUUUUUUUUUUUAGCAAGGGAGAUGUUAUUUCUGAGGAGCUAUUUGCAUGGCACUUUUAUUGUUAAAAUGAUUUAUAAUUGCUUAUUUAAAUUAUUCUGGUGCCAUUAACUAUCAUCUUUGGUGCUACAUACAAAAACAAAACUGAGAUAUAUCUGAAAAAUAUGUACUUUUCCACUUUAUUAGCAUCUGUAAAACACAUUAUCAUAGAUUUAUUAUUAACUCAUUAGAAAGAAUUCUAAACAUGGAGUUAUGAUUUUACUCUAGAUAUUUACAGUAUGCAUAUCAUAGCUCUAGUAAUAUAAAAUAUAAAGUAACUAGGGAUAUUAGCAUGGAAAAAUAUACAGCUAUAUAUGCCUUAUGUGUAAAAGUAAGCCAAAUAUAACUUUAUCAUGUGGUAAACAAUUUCAUGUUUACACUAGAUAUAUACCAUGAGUCAUUUGGAUCAACUUCUUGAGGCAUUUAAGAAUUUCAAAAGAUGGAUAAUUAGUGGAAAGAACACAGCUAAUUCAAAGGAGAGGUAAUGUUGAAUAAAUGUCUUAAUCUAAGGAAGCUUUAAGCGACCUCGAGCAAAAAUGUAGUUAGCCUGGUCAAAGUGAAAGGUAGAAAAGAUAAGUAACAAGGGAACAAAGGUGUCACUGGAAAUAGCACAGAAAAUUCACCGGAGAGGAGAAUUAAGUGGAGAGAAGGUUGAAAUGUUCAAAUGAGAAAUGAAUAGUAUUUGACCUAAUCCUAUCUUUAUAGAUUGGAGAGUGUAUUAUGUUUCUUGGAGAUUCCACAAAAAAAUUACCACAUACCUGGUGACUUAUACAAACAGAAAUUUAUUCCCUCACAGUUCUAGAGGCUGGAUGUCCACAGGGCCACACUCCCGCCCAAAGCUCUAGGAGAAAAUUAUUUCUUUCCUUUCUCAGCUCCAGGGGGCUUCAUCAGCUGGUAGUAAGUAGCAUUACUCAAAUAUCUCCACCUCAUCUUCACCCAGGCUUCUUGUGUCCUCUGUGUAUUCUUUUCUGUCUCUUAUAAGGACUCUUUAGAUUUAGGACCUAUCCUAAUUCAGCAUGCUCUCAUCUCUAUUCAUUCCUUAAUUCCAUCUACAAAGACUACAUGUAAGUAGUCACAUUCUGAGAUUCCAGUGGACAUGAAUUGAGGGAGGGAGAAUGACACUAUUCAACCCACUAUAGAAAAUAAAGAACUUUUUGUUAGCUUGUGAAAAAGAAUGGUUAAAAGAAAGUAGAAAUAUUGAGCACAGCAUAGUCACAAAUGUAACGUAAGUCUUGGUAAUGCCAAUAUACAGAAUGACAUUUGUUAUGAGGACCUGAGACAUAUGUAUCAAGUAGCAGUGAAAAUAUCAGUCAUCAGGAAAGAAUGAUGAAUAAUAUCGGUCACUGUGUCCUCAGUUACAGGUGGUAGAAUUGAACACAUGUACUGUCCCUGUCCCUCAUGAUCCCUAUAAAAUGACAGAAAAGAUGUAAAACUACACAAACUAAAAGAUAGAUAACAAUAGGGUACCCUGUAAUAUAGGCAGCAAAAGAUACCAAUGAGGAGCAAGUUAAUUCAUGCCUCAAAAUCACAGAAAAUAGGUGAAUGGGAGCUAGAAAUGACAGAUCAUAAGAUGAGGUGUGGGACUGGAAACAAGCAAUAGAUAAUGUCUAAAUUAAAUCAAAUAGAAAUAAAAGCAUAUUAUUUAGAAGUCAGAAAUCACAUACCAGAAGAAACAGCAAAGUAUUAAGGGCAGGCAGUGCAAAGAUGAGGAAGGUUUCAGCAGAAUACUGCUGAUUUUCAUUUUACACCUGUCAGUAUACUUAAUUUUUAAACUAGAAUUACGAAUAAUGUUCAUAAAGACUUAAAUGUCAUUAAAAGCAAAUACAAAAUAGCAAUGAAUAACUGCAUACAUUCAACAUUAACUUGAGACAGGCACAAUGCUUAGCACUUUAUCUGUUCUGAUUCAUUUGGCAUUUACAACAAUCCUCAGAGGUAGAUGACAUUAUUUUUGUCUCAAUUUUAUACAUGGGGAAACAAGAUAAUUUGCACAGAUCACACAGUUCUUAAGUGACAAAGACGGGAUUCAAACCUAGGGCUUUCUGCUUCCAAAUGCUCUUAAUUGCUAGACCAUAGAAUACUGUGAACUGAAACCUUUGAGGACACUGAACUCAGAGGUUGUGAUUGGGGUAUAUGGCAAAGCAAUCCUCUGGCGGCAUCCUAUUAACACUAGAUUAGAAGGGAAGGAGGCUACGUCAAAAUGCCCAACAGGAUAUUCCCAGUUAAGAAACAAUAAAGAUGGAGAAACUUUAAGCCAUAGAUCAUUAUGCUAUAAAAUGUAAGUGUAUCUUAUAUAUUGAAUAUAAGAUUCUAAAAUACCCAAUCAUCAUUGUCUUAGAAAAGAGAAAGCAUGACUAAUAAAUACUCUUCCUGUUUCUUCCUAAGUGUGACCUAAUAGGGGAUCCUUAGUAUUUUCCAGUUUUCACUGGGCAGCCCCACUUUAUGUUUCUUAUGCUAUAAUUCUUACCAGUUUAAUAAGUUGAUGUCCCAGCAUAAUUAUUAAUGCAUCCUCAUUCAUUCUCAAUAGUGUCAUAAUAUAUGAUAAAUUAUAUAGCUCCCUAUAUAAUUUAUGGAAGCUGCAAUCGUUGGCACUUAAAUAUUGACAAUUUUGGAAUUCUAGAAGCAAGGCACUUGUUCUUCCAAAUCAUCUGUAUAAUGUAGAACUUCUACCUGUUCUGACAAUCUUCUGGCUCUUUAAUUUAAAUUUUUGAUAGAAAAUGGGACUUAGGCAGCUCAAUCACCUCUCCCCCCCCNUUUUUUUUUUUUUUUUUUUGGUAGAGGGUUUAAAUCUUGGGAUCAGGCCAGGCAUCUUCCUACUCCCCCUUCUGACUCCCAAUCUAAUUAGGUUUCAAACAGAGGAACACCUAGGUGUCUCUUAGCUUUAAAUAUUUAAAUAUACUCUUGGGUUUCCCAGCAAUUUACACCCCAAACUUCAGCACAGACUUGUAAAUCUCUAAACUGUGUGACAUUCCACCCCCCUUCCCUUCCUGUGAGAUUAGUGGCUCCUGUGGGGAAAGGGACACUUGUAAGUUCUAAGAUUUACAAGAGUGCUGUGCUUUCUAAGGUGUAAAUUGCGAGGAAACUCCAGAGUGCCAUUAAACAUUUAAACUUGGUAAGCAUCAUGCCCCUUUAUCCUCUGGGGCAGCAGUUACUGAGAAAGAGCAAGGGGAACAAACAGUUGGGUCUCCAAGUCUGUCACUAAAGUGUGAAACCAGUAUUGGAGGCAUCCUGGAUUCAGUAGCAGAAAUACAAGCAUAUCCUUAAUGACUUGUUCUUUUAGUUGUCAUGUUAAGAAUUUAACAUGAUCAAUUAUUUAACACAUAACUGGCAUGAGCCUAGUUUUUAAAUGGUUGAAGCACAUAUAUCAUUUAAACAGUACAGUUAUUAAAAAUGUGCUUAAUGUCUAUUCCCUCGCCAUUAAUUUCAUCCAUAUUAUUAUAAGUACAUGUAAUAACUGAAACUUGAAGCAAAUUUAUAAAUUGCUUUGCCUUAAACAAUAUAUCUAUAGAUUGAAAAUAGAGAGGACCAUGGAGAGUGGCUUGCCAAAAGUCACAAAGGUAGCGAGCGCCAGUUGCAUUAAAUAAAUAAAUUUCAUAAGGGAAGGUCUUUCUAAUUUAUUUUGACUUCUGGAGUAGAAUACGUUCUCUGCACAAGAUUUUCACAGCCAUCCAAGAGAAUGUUGAAAAGGCUGUGGCCAAAAAUACUGUUCUUGACCCAAAGAUAUUCAUAUAAAGACCAAAAUGCAGGUGUUAUUGUCCCAGUGCCCAUUUUGUGCUGUGAAGCUGGGCCCCAGGAUUUUCUCUAGAAGUCAUAGUUCUACUUGCCAAAUUUAUCACCUAAGACUCCCAGGUGCAAAUAUAUACACACAGAGAAAUAACCAAUUUCAGCUGAAAUGUUUCUUGCAGUUAAGUCAAUGUUGUUGCCUUUGGCUCCUAAAUCUCCAUUUCUCCUUCACCUACUUUGAAUGAGAAGGAGGUGACAAAUGGUACUAUUCCAAAUGAUGAAAUCCUAACAACACAAUUUCUCCAUUCUGGAGAACUGGAUAGAAUGACUUUAUUUUCAAAUAAUCAUACCCCCCUUUUCUAGGCAGGAUUACCAAGGCAUAGGACAGAAUUUACUGGAGGUUUGGAGUUUCAAAUCCAGCAGCACUAGAAGUAAAGGGAAAUGGAAAAACAGAUGUAAUUGUGAAACUUCUUGUUGCCAAAAGAAACAUGAAACUACUGACAUGUUCUCUCUCUUUCUUUUCUUCCUUUGUGUCUUGGUUUGAUCCAGGAUCUCCUCAUGUCAGCCCUGGGGUCUUCUAAGAUCUUGGUUACCUUCAUGUGGAAAGUGUGUGUGUUCCAUAUUAAACCCUUCUUUGUUCCCAUAUUGUCCCUUCCCAUGCCUUAAUCUCCAAACUAUUAUUACUUCUAUUUGGAGCUUCCAAUAUUUAUUUCAGUUUUCCUCCCUUCUUUUCUCCUUUUAGUUUAGUUGUUUAUGCAACUUAAUUUUUUUUUCUGUUUCAUUGUUAUUUUUAACUUUUACUUUCUUAUCUCCUGUUUAUGCUUUUUGGAAACUGUUUGAAAUAAAUUUUAAAAUAUGUAUUGUAGCCUUUCUAGUUUAAUUUACUUUUCUACAGACUACCUCAUCAUUUUUUCCUUACGUAUCUUUCUUUCCAUUUUCAUUUUUCCAGAUGUUUUGGAGGAUGUUUGAGAACAUGGAAUUUGGAGUUGACUAGUGUGGUUCAAAUCUCUUAGCAUUCUCCAAUUCUGUAAUUUGCUUAACCACCCUAAACCAUAUUUUCUUCAUGUAUUAAAUUGAGAUAAUGAUACUUGACAGUGCUGUUGCAAAGAUUAAGUAUAAUAAUGUUUGAAACAGUUGAUCAGAAUAGUUGGCUUGUAGUACACACUCAAUAAAUAUUAUUACUAUAGUAAUCUAUAAGACAGAGGGAAAGAGGGAGUAUAUCUUUUAUUUCCAAGGGAAAAGAGUGAAAUUUGGGAAAUGUUAACAUUUAACUGGAGAUGAAAAAGUCUUACAGUAUACAUGCAGUGUAAUUUUACGAACAUGCCUUGAAGGUGUGCUUGGAAGAUAACUUGCAGAAGGUAUCACAGUGCUAAAAUAAGAACUUGAGUUGGAGACCCAGGAAAGUUUUUGUUCAAGUCACUACUCUCUCCCUUAAUUUGUUAUGCAGAUGUAAUCAGAUUACUUAACUUUUUGAUCCUCAAUGUUACAUAUGUUAAAUAGAUAAUAACACGUUAUCUUGUGGGUUGUAAGGAUUACACACAAGGCUUGCAAAGCUUCUAUCACGUUGUCUGAUCUAGUAUGUAUAUUAUUGACUUGGGAGUGAGUUUGAAAAGUUUUCACUUGUAUUAAGAAAAACAUACAUAUACAUACGAAUUUCAUUGAGCCAAAAGGACACAUUUUCUUUCUAUAUGCAUUGACAUUGGUAUUCCUUCCACACAUUCUGUAUAGAGGCAACUGAAAUGAAUGAGUUAUACUCAAACUUGGAAGAACCGUUUAAUAUCUUUUUAAAUCACGUUAUUCAGUAAAUGCUUCAAACUGGGCAUAAUCUAAGUGUAUAUAUAUAUGGACAGUCAAAAAGUUAUACAAUGAAUCACUUCUAGUGGUUCCUUCCUGUGGGUUUCUGGUUUAUUUUCAAGAGAAAUUUCUGUGGAAGGGCCCGACAGGUAGGCUGAGCUUUCUGGAUUUGUCAAGCAGAUCACUGGUCUAUAAACCUAUAGACCAAGUCUUAAGUGACACAUUUUAAGACUAGUCAACACCUAAAGGAUGAGCUAUUGUCUUGGAGGCAUCUUAAAAUCACAUAGUAGCAUGUAAACCAUUGGACACUAAGUUGAACCACAAAUUUUUGGUUUGUUUGUUCUUUUUUAAGUCAAAAUUUGGCCUUCACAUUUAUGCUGAAAAUGACUUCACACAUGUCUUUUCUUGUACCAAUAUUUUACUGCCAUAAGAAAAAAUAAGUAUUUCUGAAAUGGGUGAAUUAAUAUUUAAGAUUUUGUGAAGUCAUUCUAGUUCUGCUGAUUUUGUAUUAAAAGUAUAAUUAGAUGAUAAAAUUGGCUUUAUAGUGACAAAUAUUAAAUAUCAAUCUUCUGUUUUUGUACGUACUGGGAAUUCAAGGAUGACAUAAAGAUUUUAAGGUUUUAAUUUUGAAAUGAAGUGAGCAAUAUUAUUACUCUAUGAAAAAGUAAUCACACGCCCGCCCCUCUUCUAAAAGCAUCAGUUAUUUUGAUUAACCCUCAAAAUAUUUUAACUACCUACUGUGUCAAAUUCGUAUUAUCCCCAUUUUCACAAAAGAGGACACUGAGGCAAAAGAGUUGAAGUAAUUUCCCCCAUGAUUACACAGAUGAAAAGCAAUAUAAGGGGAUUCCAAUCCAGUCAGUCUGGCUCCAGAAUUCAGGAUAAUAAUAAUAUAAAUUUACACAGAGCAUAUUCCUUAAAAUUAAGAUGAAGAUAGUCCUUUUCAUAUACAUUUAAGAAAAAUAACAUUUAAUAUAAAUAUAAAUCUUGCACAGUUAUAUGCCUUUGAAAUGAGAGAAACCUUAAAAGAAAAUUGAAACAAUAUGCCUCCCAGGAUUGAUAAAUUAAUGCAACACAUGAUCUCUAGGUCUCUUAAGCCUAAUUAGACAGUACCAAUAUCAUUUAUCUAGUAUUAAAAUCUCUAAGACUGCUAAGAAAGCUUGUUAGUGAGUGAGUCAGGCAACCCAAGAUCAGCAAGAAAUGGUACCUCAUUAGUUGGUACCAAGUAAGUUAACAUACCUGUUAUUACUGCAGCAAGGCAAUUAUUCUUCUUGGUUAGAGAAAUGCCCUUACCUAGAAAAUUAUUACUGAUGUUUCAACCCAUAGAUGACUUAAAACCUCAUUAGGUCAUAGGCUGGUUUAGCAGCAGAUAUGAGAAGGUGAGAUAUGCUGGUUUGGAAUUAUGAAAGAAGACAUUUUUAAAAAAAUAAUAGCUACUAUGCCAACUGAUUUCUGAAGCUUAAGAAAGCCAUGCCUCUCUUAUUCUUUUAUAAUUUAUUUAGGAUUUGUGAACUAUUUUAUAAAAGUGUUUCAUACUUCUACCUGACUGUCAUCUAUCUGGGCCUUAAUUUUUUCUCCUCCCUUUAAUGAUUAUUAAUGAAAAUCUCCUAUAAAGGAAGUGAAUUCUUUUCACUGACAAAAUCUGAUAUAAAUAAAAACAUGACUGAUGAUAGAAGAGGUGUAGAGAUAAUUUUCAUAUAUAGUUAAUUCUCACCAUACUUUCCUCACCAUACUUUCCUCCUCCUUAUUCCACGGAGAGCAGGAUAAUCCCACAGUUCUCUUCAUUAUGGCCCUUAAAUUCAUCCACUAUUGUGUGCAUAUGAUGCCUGCAUGUUGGAAGCACUUUCUGAUAUAAGAGAUUUCUUCGUGGAGGAUGAAAAGAGGUUAUAUCCUUCAUUGUUUUCAUCUUUAUCCUGAGAAAAUAUGGAAGAUAUUUACCAUGAGAAAGAGCAAAAGAGACCGACUCAUGUUUCACAGAUAAAUAUCUAGUUUCCCGAGCUAUUAUAUUUUGCAUGACUAUAUUUUUUACCCUCUGGAAGUAUAUCAGGAUUUUAUACUGCAUGUUUUGGGAAGAAAGAGGGUUGGCACAUUGUGCUGUGGAAGGAAGUAAAUGUCUUUAACAGUCACUGUGGGAAAUCAAAUAGCUGUGUCCUGAGUUAGGAGAUUAUAGGGGACACAUUCCAAAGCAGAACACUGCUUUCUGGCCUUGCUGAAAACAGUGGGCUGUGUUUUGCUUAUCUAGUUAAUAUAUAUCUAGCGGUUGAGUCCUGCCUGUGCUCAUGAAUUCCUUAGACCUUGUUAUGUAUGGAAUAUCUUAUCUUGUUUUCCACCCUGCUUUCUACAUCUGCUCUAUUGUAGUCUUGGGAAUGCCUUAACUUGUUUCUCUGCACGCUUUCAAUACACUCUUACUGGCACAUAGCCCUCUGAUGUACUGAGGAUUAUUUCCAUAAAUAUAUGCUUAAUAAAUAUGGGAGCUUGAGAGCAGCUCGGGGAGACUUCCCUUAACCUUCCUCUCACUUCUCUUGACUUGCAGAGUCUUGAAUAAUCCUUUCUGCCACUCUCAGCUUUGCUGGGGAAAGCUGGAAGCCAAACCCACAACUCACCAUCCUGUAAUAUUGGAUAGUUAAUAUGAUAGAUAUAGAUGGGGAAUAUGAGGAGACCUAGGCAUACUUUAUACUCUAAGGAUGCUCAUAUUUAAAAUAUUUUCCUGACUUCCUUUGUCUCUGUGAUAGCUGUGUAACACUGACUUUCAUUCCUUCCCCUACCCCCCAAACUAAUACCUGCUAAAAUAAUGCCCACAUCAACUAGGUAAAAACUGUUUUUGGGGUGCCUGGGUGUCUCAGUUGGUCAAGUGUCUGAGUUCGGCUCAGGUCAUGAUCUCACGGUUCGUGGGUUCAAGCCCCACAUCAGGCUCUGGGCUAACAGCUCAGAGCCUGGAGCCUGCUUCAGUUUAUGUGUCUUCCUCUCUCUCUGCCCCUCCCCUGCUCUCCCUCUCUCUCUCUCAGAAAUAAACAUUAAAAAUUUUUAACAAAAGACUGAUUUUGUUUAUACAAAAUUAUGUUUACACAAAAUUUUUUAUACAAAAUUGUUGAUAAUUACAUUUGAGUCUCUAUAACAGUUUCUGGUAUAAAAGAAGCAUAAUAAAAUUAUUGUCAGUAAAUGAAAAUUCCUAGAGAAAAAACUAACAAUAUCAUUUAUCCUAACAUAUCUUACAAUUAACAGACCACAGUACCAGAAAUUUUUAGAAGUAGACCAUCUUCUUACAUUAGGUUCAUUUUGUUUGUUUAUUCCUAUUUGUAUAUUAUAAGAAUAUAUCUAUCCCAUGUUAUUGGAAGAGUGCAAUUCAUGAGUGAAAUUCAUUUUGACAAAAAGCAAAAAUAUUGAUUCAUGUGAAACUAAAGAGUAACAACCAACAAAAUUCUCAAGCUUAGGUGGACUAGUGUAGUUGAGAUACCAAAGGACUAACUCUGGCUGGCAGACACCAAGCAAACUUUCUGUUCCUGUCUAAAUUUUACUAGAUUUCAUACAUUUUGCCUGGUUCUAGAGUCUAUAUGAUUGGCAGUUGCCCUGGCUGGAUUAGUUGUUAAAUGCUUGACCUGUUACCACUAAGGAGCUGAAUUGAUAGCAAAGAGAAUUAGACACUUAGGGGUAGGUGUAUGAAAGAGUAGGGUGAGUGGUUUGAAAAAAAAAAAUUAAAAACAUUGAGACAGAUAUACUUCUACUACAUAAUAUUGUUAACCCUAACACAAGGCUAUGAUAAAGCUGUGCUUUUUGGUAGACAUUUGAUUUUUUACAAAAUAACCAUCCAUUAGUACCAUGCAUGGUGUACUAGAUGUGGUUCUCACAUAGUAUAAGAUGCCUAGAAUUCCUCUAAAGACUAAGCUUGUGAAAAUGAAUUCAAAAGAUCAGCUCCAUCAGAAAGUCUUGGGUCAGUAGUUACAAUGCAAACUUCUCUGUCCUACUCCAGAAGUAUUGAAUCAGAAUUUUGAGGGUGGAGUAAAGAAAUCUAUAUUUUAAUAAUUCCCCAAAUAAUUUUUACACACUUUGAAAUCUUGUUCUGAGAAAGGUCAAACAUACUUCCUGGUUCCUGACAUGUGUCAGGCCAAGCACUCAAUACAAGUUGAAAUGAUACAGUGUUUUGGUAUUAUCCAAAGUGUGAUCAUACACCUAGGCAUUGCCUGAAUCUAUCAUAUAUCAGAUGGUAGCAAAUGUAUACUUUCAGAACGUGUGCCUUCAAAUGUCUACAGAGUUAGAUCAGAUGAUCUUACUUAAUGCUAACAUAGAAACAACAUUUACAAUUGUUUCUUAUAAAUGUUCAAAAUUUGAAAUAAGUUGGUAUUUUAAAUAAUUUCUCCUUUUGUUUUUUUCUGUUUCUCCUAGGAAUUACCUCAAUUAAUAGAUCUUACUCUCAGUUGCAAAACUAAACAUUUGUAAACAUGCCAGGCUGUGUCUCUUUUCCAGCUGAAUCCAUUUGAAUCCAUGAAGUUAUUUGGCUUCUACUCCAAAUACUCAAGCAGCACAGGUCUUGUUAAAAUUGGCCCAAUCAUGUACAGAAGUUUGUGAAGCAUUCAGUAAAUCUUAUUCUAUUUUAAAAUUUGUAACCAGAUCCCUCAUUGGGUUGUCUCAUUUAAAUUGGUUAUAUUUCUAAACAAAAGUGUUAUAUGUCCCAAUGAAUAUUCUAAUAGUAUGUAAGCCAAAACCUAAAGUAUGGUGCAAAACAACCUUGUUCUCUGCUAUUUCCUAAGUAUACAGAUUAAAUUUUCUUGUCUUGAAUUUCAUAUACUUUUCUAAUAAUAAUAGAGAAACUAGCUUAUACCACAAUCAGUCCUACUUUUGAUAAUACCACAUUCUGGAUGAAAAAAAAAAGUAAGCAUUCCUCUAAAUCCACUGAAUUACAAAAUUAAAAUUAUAAUUGUGUUCCACAGUAGAUAGAGGCACUAUUUCCCUCUACAGAUAAGUCUACAAAAAUAAACAAAUAAUAAAUAAUAAAUAAAUUUUCUUAUUAAAAUUUCAAUGGAAUAUACUUAGAAAGUAUAUAUGAUUAAUGUAAAUUAAAUAUAAAGAUAAAUUUAAAGCCUUCCCUCUGCCCUUCGGAUAUUCAAUGUGACUGAAAUGCUCCAAGAACACUCAUGAUGCAAAUCUGAUCAAGAACAUAGAAUAACAUAUGCCAUACCACAUAGUUGGUCUAUGCUACUCUAUGCUACAAAAUUGUACAGCUCUCAUAUUUUAACCACACUUUACAGUAAGGGGAGAAUAGUACAUGGUGAAAAUUCACUGAAGAUAUAUGUCAAAAUCACCAAUAGGCCAAAUAUAUUGAAAAAGUAUCCAUAUAUAUAUAAUUUGUAUACAUACAAUUUGUAUAUGUAUGUAUAAUAUAUUUAUAUAUAUUAUGUAUAUAUUAUGUAUAUAUGUACAUAUUAUGCAUGUAUAUAUUAUGUAUACAUAUACAUAAUAUUAUAUAUAUACAUGUAUUUGUAUGUAUGUAUAAUAUAUAUAUACACACAUAAUUUGAAGUAAAAUGACAGAGUUUUACUGGCUGCUGUAAUAUACAGAACAAGAAAGCUUUAGAGGGUCAUGGGUUUAAAAUGUUUGAGAAACAGGGUUUCACAGGGUCAAGUUAAUUACAGGCAUGGCUCCAAAUCCACCUCAUUAAGCAUAGACAUUGGCAGCUCUCAGAGUGUGAAGUUGGGAGAUGACUGGAGUUGGCUUCACCUCCUAAAUCAUCCCUCAUUAGAGCUAGGAAAUUCAGGCUGUAUAAAAGUUCUUCCCUAGAAUACGAAAAAGUCAAAUCUGACUGUUUAGAGCAUCUGUCCACUGCCUCGUGAGAGGAAAAUUUUUCUCUUUUUCCAUUGUCUUAACUCAAAAUGCUUUUUUCACUUUUAAUAUAUCUCUCCAGUUUUUAGGGAUAGGAAUUACGCUUCACUUUUUUCAUUCUUUUUUCUCUUUCACAUAUGUGGGCUUUUUUCUUUUCCCAGUACAUUAAAGUUGAUAAUUUAAAUGCAAUCGAAAUUAUACAAGCAAAGCCUCUGCUAGUCAUUUGAGUUGAACCAAUUUACAUCAGUCAACUAAAAGAAAAAAGGUGGGGGCAGGGAAGGACAUAGAAUAUUCUUUUCUCAUCUCUUUCCUAUUAUAGUUGACAUUUUCCAGGGAAUGAGGAGUAAUUAUAAACUACACUUCAAGAAGAGUUUAGGGGAAAAACCGCUUAAUGCUAUAAUUUGUCAGCUCAGAACUACCAAAUUCUCAAUAAUAUGAAUGGAGCCGGCCCUUCAGGCAGUUUUCCAGGGAUGGCAGACCUCCUCUAAUACUUUUUUUUUUUUUCACAUUAAAAAUGUCAGAUUACCUAAAAGACCAACAGACAAAUGUUUCAAUAUUACUUGGGGAUAGUCUUAUCUUAUAAUCACCUAUACAAUUAUUAAUGCCAUAUUUUUAUAUUGCAUGUUAGUCAAAAGGUGGACAAGACUAUAUUUAAAAACUUGGGGGGAUAAAAUUUAUAGUGUCUUUUAUGAAAGGUGUUUCACUGAAACUACAAAAAAAGUAGAUCCUUUCCUUUCAAAUAGCACGAUGAAUAUAUCUGUGACUUUUCUCAUGGAACUUUAAAAUACACAAAGACCUGAGCUAAUAAAAUUGCUUCAGAAUAACAACUGGGCAGUGGAUUAUAAAGUUUGCACCAGUUCAUGCAGUCAUUCAUUCAUCAAGAUUAAGCACCUAUCUCACGUCAAGCACCAUGAAAGCUUUGAAGAUUUAAAGAAAAAUAAGCCAUGCACUUUUCUUUAAGAAGUGCAUGAUUUAUUGAGAUAGACAGACACAUAAAUAAUUAUAGUCACUGUUGUAAGUGCUAUAAUGCAGACAUUGGAAAGUUUUACGCAAGUCCAGAAGACAGGGCAACACAUUUUGUCUGCGGAAGUAAAGAAAGUCUUGGGAAGUUCUUAAAGAGAAAAGAGAGAUGCUACAUUAGUGGUGGGUGUGGGAAAGGGGGAAGGCAGCAAGGAGGCACAGAAACAGAAAGAUGUAGGGAAAGGAAAUAGGACUUCUGAAGACAUGUUUGUGUUUAGCAUGGCUGGCAUGUGAAGAGGAAUCUUACAAAGGUGACAUUGGUAAAGAAAAGUUGGAUGGAGCAUUCUUGUGAAUACUUGGGAGAGACUGCUAAUAUAACAGAGAUCAUGGACCAGGAACAGAACUAUGAAAGAGGCCAGAAGGCAUUCUGUCACCAUCAUUUUAGGAUCAGGCUUCCAUUCCUAAGCCUCAUACAUAAGAAAAUCUACUUUUGGAGGUUGAGUGUUCAAGAAUCUUGACCCAUGUCUGAAAAUUUAGUGAGAAAAGGAGAAGUCAAAAUAUUUCUUUUCAAAGCAAUAAGGAGAUUUUGGUUUGGUUUUAUUUGUUGAAAGAGGAAACUUGUCUACACUGUUAGAGAGAAUUGUUUCCUUGUGCUAAAAUCAAUUAAGCAGGGUAUUAGUUUGGCAAAUGAGAAGAAAAACUACAAGCUGAAAUGUAUUUGUUUGAGACUAUGUAGAUCAAAGGAGCAUUUUACUAGACAAUAUAAGGGAUGGUCUGGAAGGAAGGAAGGGAAAGAGUCUAUGAGAUACUUUUUUAAAGUAGGGAUUAAGGUUCACUUGCUGCUUUUCGAGUAUGAAUCUCAGCUCAAAGUUUUCUUUUACUUGUGUUACUCUAAUUUACUUUAGACUCUUAGCUCUGGGAUAUCAGAAAGCUAACCUUUAGUCUUUUUGAUGAGCUCCCUUCCCACAACACUAUGCUUUAUUUCUGGGGUUCUCUUCACUGUUAAAUUCUGGGAUCACAUCUUGGGUAGGAGGAAGGAGGUGCAGAUAGGAAGAUGUCUCUAGUCUUUGAUCAUUUGUUUACACAAGAUUUUAGAGAUGCCUGCUACCCUCGUCCACCAAACUUCUUCAGGUUGGUGACUGCCUGAUGCUUCCAGGUCACCCCAGAGGCCUGAAAUUCAUACACUGUGGUCCAAACUAUAUCAUAAAGCUAUUUGUUUCUAGGGUCUUACUUUCUCAUUGAUGAGUUGAUUGUCACAUUCUAUGACACAAACACAUUUUUUCUAGUUGUAACAUGAAACCAUUUCUCUCUAGAGUCUUGCUACCUCCUUAGUGAAGUUAUUGGAACCCAGCUUGGCCUUUUUUGGCUCCUGAGAUUUUUCUAUUUUGGAGAAACUCACUUCCUUAUGUAGUUGGGAAGCUCCACUCAUAAACCAAUUUCCAUAGCAAAGGUUUAAAUAAUCUUUUGUGUUUUCUCUCAAGAUCAUCUAUAGUGAUUUAUUGCUUAGACCAUUUACUUUGGCAAUUUACUACCUACCGUAUACUAUCCCUUGGGCAAGGAAGUAGUUAGCAUAUCAGUGAUCUAUUUGAAUGGGGAAAAGUGAUAGGGAGAAACCUGUGAGGUGAAUGAAUUAAAAUUUCAAAAUACUAUUUUGACAACUCAUUUCCCAGUAAAAUCCAUGCUUCCUUAAAACAAAAAUGAUAUUUGCUCCCACACCCAACCCCUAAGUUGAAGAUGGAAUUUAUAUUCCUGAACUCAAUGGAUUAUUUAGGAAAGUGUAUCCUACAUUUACAGCAUCACCUACUUUGAAAGCUGAGACUGUUCACAGGGUAAAUUAUUCAACUUGCUCACCUGGGGUGGAGGAUAAUAAUACUGCUGUAUUGAGCACACACUCUGUGCCAUGUACUCUGCUGAGUCUUUUACAUGAAUGAUUUCAUUUAAUUAUCACAGUAGCUAUAUGAAAAAGGUAAUAUCAUUAUCCUUUUUUUUUUUUAACAGAUCAAUAAAUGAGACAGAGACAGGUUACAUAAUUUUUCAAGCUCCAGCAGUAGAAAGUAUUGUAGUUACUGGUUGUGACUCCAACCAGUUAGUCUCUGGAGCCCAUGGUCUUGACCACUAUGCUAUGCUAAGAUAUGCACUCCACACCUCUCAGGGCAAAACAGAGAUUAAAAAAAAAACAAAAAACAAAAACAAGCAAACAAAAACAAACAAACAAAAACCCAACAAAACAAAACAAAAAACACAGAAUCAGUAGAAUUUUCUCUGAGACUUGAUAAGACAAUCAGCCAUCUUUAGUUUCAAUUCUGCUGUGUAAGCAUUCAAUUUUGGUAGAAAGUAGGGGUUUAAUCCCAUCAGGAGUUUUUAUUAUGCCCUCUUAAUACUCUUUGUUGUUUCUCUACAGUUUGGGUAGACUUUUACCCCUCCUGUCUAGAGGAAAGCCCUACUCUCUACCCUCACAGCUACUGAGUUUCUCCAAAUAACAUUCUCCAAACCCAUACAUCUUCUUCUCUUGGUAUUUCUUUUAGAAACACUUCACUUAAUCUCAUCAGAGUACUUAAGACUUAAAACAACCUAUUAUCCUAGAAACAUAUUACCCUUAAAACAUGUUCAGAAAGGCCUGCUAUCCUGUUGAACAGGAGGAAGUUAAAACAAAACAAAAAUAAGACAAAAACAGGAAAGUAAUUAAAAAUAAUAAUAAUAAACCCACAUUUGUUUUAGUGGAGUAUGUAUGAAAGUGUAUUUUUGUGUUGUUUGAUCAUUUAUUAAUGAGAACAAAAGGAACGAUUGUCAUAGACUCUGAGUCUAGAGUUCUCUCUUGUCUAGCAAGAGAGCAGGACACAUGAUGAAACACAAGAAAUGGCUAAUGUCUGGGAAAAGACAGGAGCCCCAAAUAAGGGUCCUUGACCCAUUUUUAUUAGGAUCAGAAGGCUUACAAACAUGACAAUGGACACGCACAAAGAGACAAUGAAUCUAUGAACAUUAACUUGUGGUCGUGAGGAAAAGGGGGUCUUGAAGAUAUUUGGGGUUAAGGGUUUGGGUUAAUAGGAAGCAAAAUCCUGAUGCUGGGCAGUAGGGUGGAAGGUUGUUUACAGUGGACAUGAGGCACCACCUCUGUUUAUCUUAGCUAGCCUAGGGGAUGAGACAGGUAGGGGAAAUAACUUCAGAGUUAACAAGGCACCUUUUCUUUCGUUAAUCAUCUCCUCUCUGGGCUGCUUUACCUGCAUCACAGCAGGUCUAUAGUACAAUUUACCUGUUUACCUAACUUGCUUGUUUCUUCCUGUGAAAGCAGCUUUCUGCUAUAGUACUAAAUUGGGGGUGCUUCCAUCCUAAAUAUCUAAUCUUGUUUAUUUCCUUUACCUAUGUAUUGGGCACCUUUGUGCCCUUAUUUUUGGGCUUUGCCCCUCCCUCUCUAUUCUGGGGGCUCUGCACCCCCUCUUUAUUCUGAGGUGCCUUUGCACCUCCCUAUUCUUGGUUUCCUUAUCUUGUUUAUCCAAACUCGGGUGUGAGCAUCCUAUGGCUUUGUAAUUCUUUAUGCCUUUUUAACCCAUUGAUGUAAGCCCAGGGAAUUUCUAAGCUUAUUCCCCACAAACGAUGUUCAGAAUUUUGUGAGAAUUAGGACACGAUUCUAAUGGUGCCAUUUCAAUUCUAGUGGUGCCAUUUCAACACCAAGAUAUCAAAGCAGCUCACCAAGUUGGAGAAGAAAGGCUUUUACAUACUUCCAGGUUGAAACCAGAAUUUCUUUACCAACCCAUCCUGUGACAAAUGUGUGUGCACAGAGGGACAGCAUCCAGUAGAGGCUGUGCCAAGAAGAGUAACAUUAUCAUAGAGAGCUCACAUCCCCAGGACAUAGAGGGGAGACCAAGCCAGGCUUAGUUCUGGAUUCAUCUGAGACCCUUCAUUCUGGAUACUCUUGAAUAUAAUGGGAGUAGAAUGAAGGAAAGUGGACCUUGAAUAUUAGAUGGAGGGUUACAGUCAUUUCAAUUUAGGCCCUAAGAUAAAAGUGGCUUUCAUUAGAGUGCAAUUCUUGUGAUGUACACAUUAUGCUAUUGGACAGAGGAACUUAAACUGAAAGUUAGCAUCUGUUAAACAGAAAAAUAGCAUCUGAUAUGAGACAGCAUUUGUGUUUCAGGAACAACAGAAAAAAAAUCUAUGAAAUGAUGAAAAUCUGUACUAGGAGAGUAGUAACAAAAAACAAAUAAAUUUAUAAUUUAGAGACAGUUGUGAGAUGUUAACUUAUUGCAUGUGGAACAUCAAGAAGAGGAAGAAACUGGAGGUGAUUGCCAUGGAACUACAUAUAUGGUGAUGCUGUAAACCAGUAUGAGCAAUAUAAGAAGUAAAGGAACAUAAUUUCCAGAGAAGACAAUGAAUUCCAUGUGGGACCCAUUUAUUUAUAUUUCCUGUCCAAUAUCCUUCAAAAGAUAGAAAUUGGCAGUUAGGAACUUGAUAAUUAAUAAAGCUCAGUAAAGAGAUCAAUGGUAGAAGAUUGAGUGAUAAGAAAGAAAAUGUCAUUGGUGAACAAGUGGGUUAGUAAGCUACCAAGUUAAUUAUAUAAUCAAGAGAAAAACCAUGUAAAAUAUAAGAAAAUGACCCAAGAUAGAAUGGUAGGAGAUGAGAACAUUCAAAGAAUGGAUUUAGGAAAGGAGGCAGAGGAGCCCUGAUCACAGAGAAAGUUGUGGGUAGGAGAAGGCUAGGAAAAGAAUUGGAAACCUGAUGCCACAACAUGAGCAUUUAAAGAAGUAGGAAGCUGCGAUAUAAUGUCACAGAGAGAUCAAAUAAGAUGAGAAGUGAGAAUGUGUGUGUUCGAUUUUGGUGGUCGUUAAACCAAUGGGAGGGAUUUUUCUAGAGUGAUGUACAUAAAUGAGAUUGUAAAAAGUUGUUGAGGUAGUAAAGAUCAGACUAUGGAUUGUACUUUUAAGAAGUCUGUGUAUGAAGAAGAAUGAUUUGGGAAUCCACCAAAAAUAAUAAGAGAAUUUUGAAAAAAAUUAAUAUUUUUGAAUAUUAUUUUUGAAAUAGAAGCUAGAAAUUUACCCACUUCAGAUGGAACAUAGAAAGAAUAAAUCCUAAGAAUAAAAUUUAUUCCAUAGAUUUAUUUGAUUGUCAUAAGAGCUAACUCUAUACCACCACUUUUCAGAGGAUCAGAAACAUCUUGCCAUAAUACAUUAUAAUGACCAACAUGUUUGUCUUUGUAGCUCUCUUCCAUUUCUCUGAGUAUACAUAUUCUUAAUCUUCAGAAUCUGUUUCUGUAUCAGAAAUUUAUCUUACCCCAGGGAAAAACCUAUUCCGGGGACAGUGUUAAAAUAUCUAAGAGCUUAAGUGACCCAGUCUAAACAACUGUAUUGCUAUUUUUUUCUACAUUGGGUUUAGCUCUAUAAGGUGCUGUAACCACAUUCUUACUUUACCUGCCUAGUCUAGUAACUGAUGCUCUUUCUUGAAUACCGGAGUGUCUAAGAACCCAUGAUAAUUUCUUGCUAGAUCUCCCUGAGUGUGUUUUGUUUGAACUAUUGCCAGCACACUCUUCAGAUGAAUAUCUGCCUGCAUUGAGAACACCUAAAUUCCUGCAUCUUUUCAAAGGGCUAGUCUCAUUUCUAAAUUCUAAGAUUUCCCAUGCAAGCCUGACUCUAGUGGUUCUGAACCUGGAAUCUGACUUGUUCAGACUCUUCUUUAUGUCUUUUUCCUCCUUUCUUAUUGUAUAAGUUUUCAGAAUGAUAGGUUUAGUGAUGAACUGGGAGUGGAGGUGGUUGUCAUAUUUCUAGAUGGGGGGAGAGAUCAAGUUCCCUGUUGUUCAUGACUGUCAUGUAAGUAAAGAACAGUUACUUUCUAGGCCACUGUAAGUUAUUUUCUUCACCAUUUUUUAAGCAUUACAAGGAAAGAGUAAAAAGUCCAAACUUGAGAAAAGAAAACCUAAAGGGUCAAGAAAAGUUGCACUUCUCUGCAAUGUAGAAACGGGGAAAUGUAGAAUAAGGAGAUGAUUAUAAGUAAGGGAAAUAGUACACGGUAUUAAGAAGUGGUAGAAUAAUAUCAGCUGUGCUACAGCAGACUUACUGUAUAUUGACACUGCUUUAUUUGGUAUGCCAUAUUUGGAAAAAUAAUCACCUAAUAUUGCUAGACUUUUGUAAAGUGAAAGGAAAAAAAAAUAUUUGCCUUCAUUUUGGAGUCUUUGAAUGAAGGACCCUAUUAUAUGCUCACAUUAUCAUUAAUGCACAGGAAAACAUAUCCCAUUACUUCAAGUGGUUUAGUGGCCAACAUGUACAUUUAAUAUGGGUUUGUCUAAAUCAGUGUCCAUGUGCACUGUUAAACAGGAAAAAAAAAACAAAAAACAAAAAACAUAAAAACAAGAAAACAAAACUUCCAUUAGUUUGGGCUAGAAUAAUUGAGCCCAUUUAUACUCAACAGUCUACUGGCAAGUGACCUGUAUAGCCUGCUGAGAGAAAUCAGUUUGAUGUGGGCCUUCUCCCAAUGUCUGUAGUUAUUGGAAAUACUUCCCUGUUGUUAUAUCUCUUAGUUUUACAUCCCAUGUAGAGCUUACUCUCUCUUAACUCUGCAUGGGCAGGAUGAAUUUUGAAAAAAAAAAUUAGUUUGCAAUCUGACUAUCCUUUGGUGGAUAGUCAUCAUAUCUUUUUCUGAUUUAGUCAUUUUAUUUGUCUGUUGUCAUGGUACUAGGGUCGUCUCUAUCUUCAUGGAUGAUUAAAAGUAUAAUCUUCUCUGAAAACUGUGUGCUAAAUUUAUAUCACAUUAAUAAUCUAGUAAUUAUUGCGGCACCUGGGUGGCUUCGUCAGUUAAGUGUCCAACUCUUGGUUUCGGCUCAAGUUAUGAUCAUAUGGCUUGUGAGUUCGAGCCCCUGUGCUGACAGCACAGAACCUGCUUGGAAUUUUCUUUCUCCUUUUGUCUCUCUCUCUCAGAAUAAAUAAAUAAAAUAAAAUAAAUAAGUAAUUAUUAUUUUAAGGCAAUUCCUGUAUCUUAAAACAUGAAAUAUUCCCUUCCAUAGAAGGGUGCAAUUGAGCAAAAAGUUAAUUAAGAACAAAAAUGAUGAAGUAAUGAUUCAAUACUUCAAUAUUUUAAUCAAUGCAGGCUCUUAAACCAAAUGAUCAGACCCAAUACAAAAUUUUAAAGCUCAACUUACAUGAUUUCAUAAAGAAAUAUAUUAAUGUUUAAUGAGUCACAUACUUUUAAUUGUCUUACCAAAAGAAAAAUGUGGUAGUCCACAAUUAAGUGAGUAGAUCAUGUUUUUACAGAAUGCUUACAACUCACACUGGGGAGGCUGUUUUGAAAGGAUUACCUAAUAAAAAGGGAGAAAGAACAAGCGGUUACUAAUGUAUAUCAAUACCAAACAUAACUCAGUUACCCUGUCUGGAAGUCAAAAUCUAUUACACUGUCAUGAAACAGAUGGAUUUUCUAUUUUCCAAUUAUAGUCAUGAUUUUUACUGAGGUCAAUACACACAAAUGUUAUGGGACUUUCAUAAUAUUUUUUCCCAGAGAAAUAUAUGGAUUUUAAGUGCCACACAGUACAUUCCAGUAUAUAAAAAUGGUAGCAAAGAUAAAAAUUUAUGAGAAUCAGAAGCAACAGUCGCACUGAGGAAAAAAUGUUAUGCAUGGAAUUACAUCUUCCUACAUUUAAUUAUUCCUUAGGCAUCCUAAUGAAAUCAGAAUCUUCCUCUCAUAAUUUAUGUCUGCUUUCUAAAAAUGCUUUCUUCGGUAUUAAAAAAAACCUAUUGAUUUCAUAUCAUUAUUUUAAAGGUUAAUCUUAGGCUUUUAAUUAUUUACGUAUUUACUUAUUUAUUAUUUGUGUUUUGCAUUGUAGUUUAGAACUAAACAAAAUACGGUGCAAAUUUUCAUGAGCUUAUAAUUCUAAAAUCACUUUUUUAGCUUUUAAUUUUUUUUAAUUUUUAUGACAAUUACCAACCUCUUCUAAACUGAGAAGAAAAGUUCAAAAUUAGUUUUGAAAAUAAGUUGCUGACCUAAUAGCCCACCACCAUCAAACAAUUUGAGUGUUUAACUCCUACAGACAAAGCCAAUCUGCUAUAUAACCACAGCACAGAGCACACCACCGCCAAAACCAGAAUACUAUUUAUGCAUGACUGUCAUUGAAUCCUCAGAUCCCAUGCCAAUUUCUUCAGUUGCCCUAAUAAUGACUUCCACAGAAAACUUCCAGCAUAUCAUCAUAGGCUGCAUUUCAUUGGCAUGUCUUUUUAUAUUCCUUGGUCUUUCUUUGACUUUUCAUGACCUCGAUAUUCUGAAGAUUGUAAGCUACUUAUUUUGCAUAACGUAUUUCAAUUUGUGUCUAGAUUUCGGUUAUGGAUUUGGGGUGGUAAUAUCACGCAACGAUGUUGUGCUUUUUCUCACUGCCUCUUAUGAAGUAACACACAAUUUCAGUCUGUCCCAUUACUGCCGAUGUUCAGUUUGAUCAUUUGAUUAAGAAAAUGUUAGCCAAGCUUUUCUACUGUUAAGUUGUGCUAUAACUCUGUAAUUAAUACAUGCUUUAUGAGGAAGUAUUUUGAAAUGAUAAAUAUCCCAUUCUUCAUCAAGUUUUCAAUAUACCCAUCAUUUUAUAUUUCUAUUGACUCGCCAUUUGCUGUUUUGUUCAAUGAAUUAAGUCCAUUAUUAUUGCUGUGUAUUUUGAUGAUCUAAUCCUUAUUUGGUUAGCAGGACCCCAUUUAAGCAGACUUCUGGGGGUUUACCCACCAUUUUUUGAGCCCUUUUUGACACUGCAUACAUUCCAGACUCAAUUUGUUCUUUCUUUGCUAAAUUCUGAUUUAAAAUAUAGGAUGCUUCACACUACAUCUAUUUAUAAAUGAUUUGUGCAAGGAAGAGAAAAGUUUUCCUAUUGAGAAGCUAAACCUCCAGAGCAGAUUCACACUUUUGAUAUACUUCAUUUUUUAAAUUGUUUUUAAUGUUUAUUUUUGAUUUUUGAAAGGGAGAGAGAGAGAAAGAGGACAAGAGGGAGAGGGGCAGAGAGAGAGGGAGACAUGAAUCCAAAGCAGGCUCCAGGCUCUGAGCUGUCAGCACAGAGCCCUACACAUGGCUCAAACUCACACACUGCAAGAUCAUGACCUGAUCUGAAGUCGGAUGCUUAACCAACUGAGCCACUCAGACCCCUGAUAUAAUUCAUUUUUCUCCAUAACACACAAGCUGUAUAAGACACCUAAAUGAAAUUUGAAUGAGGCAUUUUUUCUAUCUAUCUGGAAUUAACGGUGGAAACAAAACAAAGCAAAACACAACAAAAUAAACAAACAAUAUGUUACCGAAAAGAAAAGGUCAGAUCAAGUUCUAAAUGCCAAAAUGACUUAUGAAAACUGUUUCAGAACUUUGUGUAAAAGAUUAGAAACAUGAAUAUAUGUUUAAUUUUGAAAAAAAAAUUACCCAGACACUGGAAUAUGUAUAUAAAGAUUGUAUAAAGAAUUAGUUUCAUGUUGCAAUUCACAAAUAAUUUAGAGUAACUGAUUUACAUGCUACUAUUGUCAAGAAGAGUCAGCCAAAAAGGACACAUUUGGAGAAGACAUCAUGCAAGUAAAAAAUUUUGCAAAAUAUCUUAGUUUACACUAAAAUAUUAGACCUAAGUGUCCAAUAAGCCUGUUAUUUAGUUUAUGCUUGCUGUGUCAAAACACACUUCUCAAGAAUUGGCAAACCUAAUCUGAACCUAAUCCAAUAUGCUAAUCUCUGAGAGGAACCGGUUUACUGAGUGAUGAGUAAAUCCCUGAGAACUGAAGUCUGAAUGAGCCUGCAAAUAGGAAGCCUAGGACCCAGGGCUCCACAGACCAGUGGCCAGACCUGCCACGAACAGAAAUAACCAUUAUGUACUCAUCAGGCUUUAUGAGACCGUUCAGAUAUAAACAGCACGAGUAGCAGCAAAUCCAGUCUUUCCACACCUCUCUUCUCUGUAUCUGUGGCUAAAACCUGAGCCAAUGACCACUGAGAUUUGUAACACCCUUGUGCAGUAACAGAGGCCAGACGGUCAUUAAAUUGGAUAUAAACAAGGCAGGAAUUAAGAAUGGGGCAUGGGCCCUCUGGACCUCCUAUGAAACCAUCUGGAGAAAACCCAGAUUUCCCAGAUUGUAAUCUUAGGCCCUAGAGUUCAUAUCAGCAGCUCUGCUCCAAAAUAAAUGAAGAUAAGCACAUUUGUGUGAGGAUGGGGAAAAAAUAAAAAAAAUACCACUAAGCAAUAGGACACAUACAGUACAUUUCGAAUUUCCCAGGCUCACUCUAACUUUGCAUACAUUUAUGUGGGUAUCUCUCACUCUCAUUUUGUCAAUAUAUCUGUAUAUUUACUCACACAUGAAGUUGACGCAAAUUAAUUUUAACAAUCAGUAUAUUUUUAUUAAUUAAAUAAAUUUUAAUUUUAUGCAAGAAAACUAAAGAAAUCUACCUAAAAAGGACAUUAGCUCUCAUAAAGUUUUAAAAUCACUCUUCAAGUUAAGUCCCACUGUGUUUAAUGGAAACAAUUCCUCAGGGCACACCUCCUCAGUGGAACCCUCUGUGAUCUCAUCUUUCCAGGUCGGUCCAGCCCAAGGAGAGUCGUUCAGGUAACAGUGACCUAAAACAGAUUAUAAAUCCAGCCACAGAGAAGACCUCAGUGCUGCUCCAUUAUUACAGUACAUUAUCAUAGUAUUAAACAUAGAAGCAAAAUUUUCAUAUAAUUAAUGAAUCUGAGGCUUUAGAGACGCUCAUUUCCAUGGACCACUUCCACAGCACUGAGAGGCCCCACAAUUUCAUAUUUAUAGUUUAUUAUAUAUCUUAAAUGAGACCCCUCAAAUUGCAUAAUUUUCAAGCUCCCAAAAGCAUAUGUGAGUAAAAUUAUCCUAUUACCUCCUAGCCAAAUUUGUUUCUAGGCAGGAUAUACAGUUGUUCUUUCAUACACUCAAAUGAUGUCUAAUCAGCACUGACCUUGUAUUAGGGAGUGAGGCUGUAAGCUAAAAUGUGUGAAAAAAAGAAAAAAAAGUCACAAUUGGCUAUCAAAGAGUUUAUAUUUUGGUAGAAGCAGAAACAAAACAUAAAGAAUAGGAAGUUAAAUUAUUACAAACAGUGGCCCCUUACCCAACACAUUCAGGUUUGCAGAAAACUAGAAGGAGAGUUCAAUACAAAAAGGCAGUAGGUCAUUGAAACACACGUCGGACUUCGGAGUAUGCCAGGACUAUAUUUAUAUUGUUGUUAAGAUAUCUUUUUUGGAUAGUGCUGUCUAAAUUUACUAGAGGUCUUUAGGGGGAUGUAACAUAAUGGGCAUAAGACAGGAAACGUUUGGUAAACUAACAUCAUUUAAACAAGAAAAAAAGUUAUUAUUCAUACUUGAAUGCCACAUUGUGUAUUGAAAGCAUAAUGACCCUUCUUAAUCAGGUUGUGGAAAGCCAUAAAAUGCCACCCAAAUUUAACUGUUACUUCAAAGCUAAAGAGGAUGUGUGGUGUGUGUGUGUGUGUGUGUGUGUGUGUGUGUGUGUGUGUGUGUCUUCAUUAGGUAUAUAGACUUUUCUCUGGUAGUCUGAAAUCUCAAUUCACUCUAGUGUAUACACUUUUCUUGAUAAUUUCUAUUGAGUUCUUAAGAUGAAGUUAGAAAUAGAGCAACAUAAUAUUACACUUCUUUAAAUGCCAUGUACUUUAAUUUUACUAAUAAUUGAUUAACAAUUUCACAAAUGUGUCACAUCAGGAUUUUAUUCAAACAGUGUGUGAAUUGCAAAUAUCUUCUAAAAUAACUUAUAUGUGAUACACGCACAGUAUUUGGCCCUCUGUUGACAUUAAGAACAAAUUUAAAUUAAAAGCAAUUCCAAUAAAAGUUGAUAAUUUUUUAUUUCUGUUGUGUUGGUUGUGAUCUCUCCUCUUUCAUUCUUGAUUUUAUUUAUCUGGGUCCUUUCCUUUUUCUUCUUGAUCAAACUGGCCAGUGGUUUAUCAAUUGUGUUAAUUCUUUCAUAGAACCAGCUUCUGGUUUCAUUGAUCUGUUCUACUGUUUUUUUUUUUGGUUUUGAUAGCAUUAAUUGCUGCUCUAAUCUUUACUAUUUCCUGUCUUCUGCUGGUUUUGGGUUUCAUUUGCUGUCCUUUUUCCAGCUUCUUAAGGCGUAAGGUUAGGUUGUGUAUCUGAGAUAUUUUUUCCUUCUUUAGGAAACCCUGGAUUGCUAUAUACUUUCCUCUUAUGACCGCCUUUGCUGCAUCCCAGAGGUUUUGGGUUGUGGUGUUAUCAUUUUCAUUGACUUCCAUAUACUUUUUAAUUUCCUCUUUAACUGCUUGGUUAGCCCAUUCAUUCUUUAGUAGGAUGUUCUUCAGUCUCCAAGUAUUUGUUACCUUUCCAAAUUUUUUCUUGUGAUUGAUUUCAAGUUUCAUAGCGUUGGAGUCUAAAAUAUGCACAGUAUGAUCUCGACCUUUUUGUAUUUGUUGAGGGCUGAUUUGUGUCCCAGUAUGUGGUCUAUUCUGGAGAAUGUUCCAUGUGCACUGGAGAAGAAUGUAUAUUCUGCUGCUUUAGGAUGAAAUGUUCUGAAUAUAUCUGUUAAGUCCAUCUGGUCCAGUGUGUCAUUCAAAGCCAUUGUUUCCUUGUUGAUUUUUUGAUUAGAUGAUCUGUCCAUUGCUGUGAGUGGGGUGUUGAAGUCUCCUACUAUUAUGGUAUUACUAUCGAUGAGUUUCUUUAUGUUUGUGAUUAAUUGAUUUAUAUAUUUGGGNGAUAGCAUUAAUUUCUGCUCUAAUCUUUAUUAUUUCCUGUCUUCUGCUGGUUUUGGGUUUUAUUUGCUGUUCUUUUUCCAGCUCCUUAAGGCGUAAGGUUAGGUUGUGUAUCUGAGAUCUUUCUUCCUUCUUUAGGAAGGCCUGGAUUGCUGUAUACUUUCCUCUUAUGACCUCCUUUGUUGCAUCUCAGAGGUUUUGGGAUGUGGUAUUAUCAUUUUCAUUGACUUCGAUAAGCUUUUUAAUUUCCCUCUUAACUGCUGGGUUAGCCCAUUCAUUCUUUAGUAGGAUGUUCUUCAGUCUCCAAGUAUUUGUUACCUUUCCAAAUUUUUUCUUGUGAUUGAUUUCAAGUUUCAUAGCAUUGUGGUCUGAAAAUAUGCACGGUAUCUCGAUCUUUUGGUACUUACUUAGGGCUGAUUUGUGUCCCAGUAUAUGGUCUAUUCUGGAGAACGUUCCAUGUGCACUGGAGAAGAAUGUAUAUUCUGCUGCUUUAGGAUGAAAUGUUCUGAAUGUAUCUGUUAAGUCCAUCUGGUCCAAUGUGUCAUUCAAAGCCAUUGUUUCCUUGUUGAUUUUUUGAUUAGAUGAUCUGUCCAUUGCUGUGAGUGGGGUGUUGAAGUCUCCUAUUAUUAAGGUAUUACUAUCGAUGAGUUUCUUUAUGUUUGUGAUUAAUUGAUUUAUAUAUUUGGGUGCUCCCACAUAUCUACUCCUGAAAUCAAUGUUUCACUAUAUGCUAACUAAUUUGGAGGUAAAUUUAAAAAAAAUAAAAAAAUUAAAUUAAAAAAAGAAAUUAUCAAUUGAAAUUGAAAAAAAAGAUAAUUUUUUAAAUAUUUGUAUACAAUUAAACUCAACUUUAAAACAAAUUGCUUACCACUGCCUCAGCUAUUCACAGCAAAUAUGGCAUUCAUAAACUUCAACUAUGUGAAGAAUACGUUUGUCUCCCUUAUACGAGUCAUGUUCUUGUAACAGAGGUAUACUCUGGGCUAAUUACUCAUCCAAGAAUCAUACAUUCAGUACCUAAAAUGCAUCAGGUAAUAGGUUAGGCUCCUCUCACAAUAAACUUGAAAACCUGUGGAGAUAGACACAUAAACACAAAAAUUAGAGCAUGGCAUAGAAAGUACCAUCACCUAAGUAAGAACAAAAUGUUGUCACAGAAUACUGAAGAUAGAACCAGUCACUCCACCACUGGCCACGAGGUGAAUCUCCAAGAGGAAAUGUCAAUUUCUAUCUUUUAAAGAAAAAGUUGGAGCUUUCAGCUAAAGAAGGAGAUGGAUUUUUCAGGCAGGGGAAACAGAUGGCAAAGUGACAUGAAGUCAUGGCAAAACCUGGUGUACUUAGGGAAUGACAGAUUCUGUGACUGGAUUUAAGAAAUGGCUCAAACAGGUGCUGAAGAGGUUGGUAAGAUAAACCGCAGUCAGACUGUGGAGGGCAAGACACAGUCCGCUGGACAACAGAAUGCCAGGAGAGGUUUGAAGCUGGAAAAUGACAUAAUCAGACUUAUUUUGUAGAUCUGCAGUGCUUUGGCAAUGUGGGUAAUGAAAUAUAAGUGGGAAGGGGCGCCUGGGUGGCUUGGUUGGUUAAGUGUCUGACUCUUGGUUUUGGCUCUGAUCAUGGUCUCACGGUUCGUGAGUUCGGGCUGAAUCAGGCUCCACAAUGACAACACAGAGACUGCUUGGGAUUCCUCUCUCCCUCUCUCUCUCUCUGUCCCUCACCACCUCUCUCUCUCUCUCUCUCUGUCUCUCAAAAUAAAUAAAUAAAAAGAAGUAUAAGUGGUAAAAAGUGACGAAAGGCAUGACCAGAUGAGAGGCAUCUGACUCAGACCCUGUAAGAGAUGGCAUGGCUUUGACAUAAAGGCAGUGGAAAUAAGGGCGGAGAGGAGACGUUAGGAUUUUAAGACGAUGCUGAGGUAGAUUCUCUAGUAUUUGAUGACAAGUUUACACCAGUCAUGAGAGUAGUGGAAGAAUUCAUUUAGAUUAUAUCUGCUUGCUCAAAACAUUUAGAAUUCUCUUAAUUGAGACAUAGAGGGCAAUAAGACUAGAAAGAAAAUCUAUUUUGAACAUACUGAGUUUGAGGUUUCUUGAAAUAUUCCGGGUAAAACAGAAAUUUGUCUCCAAAUUGAUAGGCUGAUAUGAUAGCCUCCGGUUCCUAUGCAUACUCCAUCAGAUCCAUUUUCUGCAUUGCUGUCAAAAUGACUUUACAAAGUUUCAGCUCUGAACAUGCCAUUCCUUUCCAUCUUUCACUGGCUCCAUAUUAACGUAGAAAAAAGAGUUUCAGGUUCUAUUCAGAACAACACAAUCUGGACCCACUUGCUUCUCUAGCCUCUCCUUUGCUGGGCUCCUUAAAAAAAAAAAAAAAACAAAACAAAAACAAAAAGACAAAAAUAAAAACAAAGAAACAAAAAGCAUUUGCUUCAGGUAAAGUGAUUUAAUGCUCUUUCACACUUUCCUCACCUUAGUUUUUCUGGCUGUUCAUUCUGCCUGGAAUGCCCCAACAAACAAAGACUUUUUCUAAGACUCAGAUCAAGAGUUGUCACCAUCACACCUUUGCUAAAGUUAGAACUGAGCAUCCCUCUGUGCAGUGGAGGUGCCCAUUCGUGCACUUCGCAUGCCUGUAACCCCUUAGUGCUCAACAUGUAUUCCACUAGGACACCAGGUACAGUAAAACACUGUUUUUACUUCUCCAGUGCAUUGCACAGUGGUUGCGUUUGGAAGGAAGGAGAGAAAAAAGAUUAAUAGAAUGAAGGGGAGAUAUUAAAGUGCACAUGUCUUCAAAAAUAAUUCUACUCUGAAAAGUGUAUUCUACAGAGGGGACAUCUGUGCACAGACACAUGCAGAAAAAUGUUAACCGUGUUGGUGUUAGUGGUACCAAUCAAUGAGAAACGAGCUAAAUGACCAUCAAUGGAAUAUUGGUUAAAUAAAUUUUGAUACAGCCAAAUAAUGAAAUACUUUUAAGUUAUUCAUAGAAUGUGGUGUAUGUAUGUGUGUCAGGUAAAAACAAAAAGAGUAUGAAAUGAAUAGUGAAAAUUAUUGAGUACAGUAUAUUCCUGUUUUUGUUUUUUUUUUAAUAUUUAUUUAUUUUUGAGAGACAAGGAGGCAGAGCAUGAAUUGGGGGAGGAGCAGAGAGAGCAGUAGAUACAGAAUCUGAAACAGGAUCUAGUCUCUGAGCUGUCAGCACAGAGCCCCAUAUGGGGCUGGAACUCAUAAGCUGUGAGAUAAUAGGCUGAGCCGAUGUCAGCCACUUAACUGACUGAGCCACCCAGGCACCUCUAGUAUGUUCCUGUUUUAAUUAAAGAUCAGGACUGUCAUAAAAAAAAAUUACUAUAAAUGUUGUGGCUUAAAACCAGAGAAAUUUAUGGGGCACCUGGGUGGCUCAGUCAGUUAAGCAUCAGAUUCCUGAUAUUGGCUCCGGUCAUGAUCUCACACUUUGUGGGAUCAAGCCGUGUGUUGGGCUCUGUGUUGACAGCACAGAUCCUGCUUGGGAUUCUCUCUCUCCCUCUCUCUGCCCCUAUCCCACUUGCACUCUUUCUUUCAAAAUAAAGAAGUAAACAUUUAAAAUAAUAAUAAAGAAAACCACAGAAAUGCAUUGUCUUCCAGUUCUGGAGGCCAGAAGUUUUAAAUCAAGGUGUCAGCAGGGCUGCGUUCCUCCCAAAGACUCUAGGGAAAAUUAAUUAAACGUCUCUUUUAUCUCUUGGUUGUUACCAGCUCCCUUGGCUUGUGGUUACAUUACUCACUUUAAUUUCCCCCUCCAUCUUCAAGUCUCCCUUUUUUUGUGUGUAUCUCUUAUAAAGACACUUCUCAUUGGAUUAGGUUUCAACCAGAUAAUCUAGGAUGGUUUUAUCUCAUGGUCUUUAACUUAAUUAUAUCUGAAAAGUCCUUUUUUCCAAAUAAAGGAAUAUUCACACUUUCCGGGGUUUAGAUGUGGAGACAGCUUUUGGUAGGCUGCUGUUCAACCGACUACAAGCAGCUUCUUGUAUUUGUUUAAAUAUGGAAAAUUUCUGAAAGGACAUGUAAGAAAUAACUGAAGGUUGGAUUUUUUUCCCCUUCCACUGAAAGGUGAGAGUAGCAUGGAAAAGAAAAAUUUCUUUGUAUACAUUAAUUUAUUGUCUGAAUUUUAUUUUUCACUACGCUUAAGUUUUUACAUUUGCAAUGAAAUGUAAUCUAAAUCUUAAAACAGUUACAAAAAUUACCUGAUUUGAUGUUAAAUCAUUUAAGAAUUUCAACUAUGCUGAAAUCCUAAUGCCCAAUGUGAUAGUUUUAGGAGGUGAGACUUUUGGGAGGCGAGUAGGUCAUGAGGCUGGAGCUCUUAUGAAUGGGAUUAGUGCACUUUUAAAAUAGAACCCACAUUGCUUCCUAAUCCCUUAUGUCAUGUGAAGAUACAACAUAAAGUGCCCAGAAUAGGGCACUCAUCUGACAUGCUGGCACCCUGAUCUUGGAUUUUCAGCCUCCACUACCGUGACAAAUAAAUUCCUGUUGUUUGUAAGCCACCCUAUGUGUGGUAUUUUGGUAAGGCAGCCCCAAGGGACUAAGACACCCCUUAUAUGAACAAACUAAGUAAAAUAGAGGCAGAGUAGCCGAGGGGUUUUGUUAAGGCUAACAUACCCUAAGACAAAGACAAUCUAGAUAUGUUGAGUUUUACUGAAUAAAUACACUCUUAUCAUUGGGGGGUAAAAAAAAAAAAGGAAAUACUAAUUCCAGAGGAUCAUAUUAUUUAAAUAUAUUUCCAUCUUAGCUCCUUAAAUAUUAGAACUCUAAAACACAUUCAUACUCUAUCAAAAAUAUCAGUGUUUUGGCAUCACAAAGGAGAGCAGUCAUUCUCCCACCUUAGUUCACUACAGAGUCACUGCUCUGGCCCCUUGUACCUUAGGGUAUCCACCACUGGAGAUGUACUGUAACUGUGGAAUUCUAAGAGUUGCUGUGGAGCAGCAGGAAGUACUUCUAGUAUCAUCUGGGGUGAUGAAAGUGAUUUGCAGAAUGACUUUAAUUAAUUUGGUGGAAAUGACUAGCUCUUGAACACAUAUGAUAUUUGUUAACUCCCAGACAUAACCAAUGUAGUUUUUUUCUCAGAAACAGGAGGUCUUCUAAGAGAAUGAGCUAAUAAGUUUUCAUGAUUAAUUAUAUUGUUGACUGGUUAUAUUUUGCUAAAACAGAUUGAAAAUAUUUUUUCUGCAUUUUAUAUACUUUGCAUAUGUACAAUUAAUUAAAAGAAAAUAAUACCAAUUAUUAUGUGCCUGCUUCCUAAGAGAAAUAAAUGGUUCCCCACUAUCAACUCAUUAUAUAUAGAUAAAUUUUUAGAGCAGUUUUAUAUUCAUAGCAAAAUUGAGAAGAGCUUACUGAGAUUAUCCAUAUAUACCUGCCACCACACAUGCAUAGCCUCCCCCAUUAUCAACAUCCUCCACCAGAGUGAUAUAUUUGUUAAAAUUGAUGAACCCCUAUUGAAACAUCACCCGGGGCGCCUGGGUGGCGCAGUCGGUUAAGCGUCCGACUUCAGCCAGGUCACGAUCUCAUGGUCCAUGAGUUCGAGCCCCGCGUCAGGCUCUGGGCUGAUGGCUCAGAGCCUGGAGCCUGUUUCCAAUUCUGUCUCCCUCUCUCUCUGCCCCUCCCCAAUUCAUGCUCUGUCUCUCUCUGUCCCAAAAAUAAAUAAACGUUGAAAAAAAAAAAAAACUUUAAGAAACAUAUCACCCAAAGCCCAUAGUUUACCUUAAGGUUCACUCUUGGUGCUGUACAUUCUAUGGAUUUUGACAAAUGUAAAAUAAUGUAUAUCCACAUACCAUAGUUUCACUGCCCUAGAAAUCCUCUGUACUCUGCUUAUUCAUUCCUCCUGCCUCCUUAAUCGCUGGCAAUCACAGAUCUUUGUAUUAUCUCCAUAAUUUUGCCUUUCAAAGAAUGUCAUAAACUUGGAAUCAAGACAGUUCUUACCUUCUACAGACCGACUUCUUUCACUUAGUAAUACAUAUUGAAGUUUCCUCCAUGCCUUUUCAUGACUUAAUACCUCAUUUCUUUUUAGUGCUAAAUAAUAUUUCAUUGUUUGGAUGUACCACAGUUUGUCCAUUCACCUACAGAAGGACAUCUUGGUUGCCUUUAAGUUUGGACAAUUAUGAAUAAACAUCCAUGUGCAGGUUUAAUUUUCAGAUGGUUGUGGUAAAUAACAAAGAGCAUGAUUACUGAAUUGUAUUUUAAGAGUAUGUUUACUUUUGUCAGAGACUGCCAAAAUGUCUUCCAAAGUGUUUGUACCAUUUUGCAUUCCUGCCAGCAAUGAAUGAGAAUUUCUGUUGUUCCAUACCUUCACUAGUGUGUGGUGUGGUUUCUGUUCUGGGUUUUGGUCAUUCUACAAGUUGUGUAGUCAUAUCUUGAAUUGUUUUAAUUUCCAUUUCCCAAACACCAAAUGAUGUAUAUCUUUCAUGUCCUUAUUUGCCAUUCAAGUAUCUUUGGUAAGGUGACCAUGGCUUGCCCUUUGACAUCAUUUCCCUGAUGAAUCUAAGAGGAGUUAUGUAUUUUUCAGUCUGUUCAACUUUUUACUUCUUAGAAUAGAAUGGGAACUUGCCAGCUUCUUACAUGAUUGGAAAACAGAAAAUUGUAUUUUUUUUUUUAUUUUAGUGUAAAUUUUUAUUCCUUUCAGGGUCUAGCCUUCUGCUUAUUUGUAUUAAACUGUAACUAAAGUAAAGGUUACACUGUAUAGGGAAUGCCGAUUCUAUGAGUAAAUAAUUAUACAAUUCCAGACCUAUUUUUAAUUGACAACACUACACUAAUUGGCUGGGUAUGGGCCACACGCUUAUCUGUGAACCAGAGUAUAGUACUCUCUGGCCAGUUUGGGCCAUGUGCCCGGUGCUAUUGUGGUGGAUACAGAGGAAAUAGGGCUAUAGGCCACUGGGUGGGGAAAACAAAAGAGUCUGGGCUGACUAAACUUAAUAUCACUACAGUUAAAAUAAAUAAAUCAAUCAAGGGUCCUUUACCAAGGUAAAUAUCAAACAGACCCUGUGAUUUCAAAACUAUAAAAACUAUUCUAUUCAUAAACAAAGUGAAUAUAGCAGCACAAUAAUGUGUGAAAAAUAAAAGCUAAAAAAAAAAAAAAAACUUGACAUAUAGGAAGAAUAUGUGAUUUUGUUAUGUGACUCUAGAUACUUAAAUUAGCAGCUUUCAUUUUUGGAGAAGCUGUUUAAUUUUCCCCAGUCUUAAGGGAAUCUAAGAAUAGAAAUGAAAUAUAAAAGGACAAAAUUAAGUGAACACAUCAUGAUUACAAUACUGAAGUGCCAGCUGUAACCCCAUAUACUCAUGCAUUAGUUCAUUUCCCUUUGAAGCUUUCUGUACACCCUGCUUUCGUCUGUUAUCACUUUUGAUGACAUCCUCAUUCACUUUUCCCCAGCUGCUCUGUGCAUGUGUAAUAAUUUCGUAUCUUGGGAGUAAAGAUUGAUCUUUUAAAGUCAAAGAAUAAUUAUUACUUUAAGCAGCCCUCCUUUUUUAGUGAGAAUCCUUUGGGGUCAGUCUAGCUUCUAGCCUUUAUGUGAAUGAGAACAACAUUGUACUUAUUGGUGCUGAAAUUCUGUAAGUUGCAGUGAGGUUUUGGAUUCCAUUUGUUCCUUCUGCCCUCACUUCUUCUGCUCUUCUAUGUAGAGCUCUUUCUUCUACACAUUAACUUGAGUAUGUGGCGGUAAGAUACCACAUAUGACAUUAAAACUGCACCUAAUGUGAUCUAUAAUUUUUUUUAUCCUACAUGAGCUGAAAAUUUGACUUCUAAAAACAAAAUUAUGCCUUUCAGGUAACACUGACCAAUUUCUUAAAGCUUAUUUAUUUUUUAAGAAUAUUUAUAUUUUUUUUUAAUUUUUUUUUUCAACGUUUAUUUAUUUUUGGGACAGAGAGAGACAGAGCAUGAAUGGGGGAGGGGCAGAGAGAGAGGGAGACACAGAAUCAGAAACAGGCUCCAGGCUCUGAGCCAUCAGCCCAGAGCCUGACGUGGGGCUCGAACUCCCGGACCGCGAGAUCGUGACCUGGCUGAAGUCGGACGCUUAACCGACUGCGCCACCCAGGCGCCCCCAAGAAUAUUUAUAUUUUAAAAAUACUAUUCUUAAAUAUUAUUCUUCCUUGUCAAGAUAUUGGCAGAGUUUUUGGAAAUGCUGAAGAUUUUUUUCUUUUGAAUCCUAUAGUUUUUAUCAAUAAUAGGAAAUAUUAGUUAAGGUUGGUUCAAGAUCCUUUUUAUAUACGUAUGUAAUUUUAAAUACAGCUAUUUGAAAAACCAGAUAAGCACUACAGUUUGUGAUUUUUUCUCCAUAAAAAUGUCUAAUUUCAGUGAAAAAGUAUUUUUUAACUCAACAGCAGCAAUACUCUUGGUAAACAAAUAUUAUUUGAUUAAAUAUUUUAAAUUAUUUACCUGCAUUGUGUUAUCAGUAUUAUAAAAUUCUUGGAAAAUCCUUUAUGUCAGCUCAACUGAGAGACCUCUUCUAAUAAGCUAUGAAUAAAUGAAGUCUCUGCCAUGGAUAUAAGGUUUCCUAAAAUUCUGAGCUGCCAUUAGAUAAUGAAAGGAAUGACUGGAAGAGAGAAGGAACAAAGUUUUCUGCCUAUUGGUAGGAUGUGCCAAAAUCAAUCAACAAGUGGGAUUGAAAACAAACAAACCAACAGACAAACAGCAAUUACAUAUGCUUCCUCCAAACCCAGCAAUGAGAUUCUGAUAUAAAGGUCCCAUACCUUGAAAAUCACUGUCUCAAUGAGCCACUUUACUGCUGGGAAUGUAUAUUUCAUUCCUCAUGUUGUUGAGAUGAUGAAAAAUUUGAGAACAACUAAGAAAAUCAGGAAAAUAUAUUAAACCCAACUAGCUGUUUAAUGGUUAGUAACUAAAACACUCAGGUAGAUUUUUUUUUCUUUUUUCACUACAUAUUUUCUUGUGCUACAGAGUAGUCUGUAUUCACACUUGCUAUUCAUUUUAAAUUAUAUACAUUAAUGUUUUCACAACAAAUAUCUAAGAAUGAAUUAUCUUUCUUAGAAUUUUAAACAUUUUAAGUUAUCUUCUUAACAGAGUAUGCCAUACUGAUUACAGAAUGAUUUAUUUGCUCAAAACUAGUCUCCAGUGUAGAUGAUAAAUUUAAGGGGUCUCAAGAUCGUGUGUGCUUUAUGUUCCAACCUCAACACUGUGUUUAGUACAUUAGGCACUCAGUGAAAUUUUUAAAUCAAAGAAGAUGUUGAUUGGUGGAAAGAGAGAACUUCAUAAUUUGUUUGGAAUUUACUUACAUUCGAAAUAAUCACUUAUUAUGUAGACCUUAGGAUCAUUAUCAAAAGGAUGGCUUAACCUAACAAUAUUUUUUAAAACAGACAUAUAGGAGGGGGGAUAGCUAUAUCCCCCUAGGGGAUAACUAUUAAAUGGAAAUAGUAUGAGGAUAAUACCCAAAGAUCUUAUAUAACACUGAUAACAAAUAAAAUGCAUAUAGAAGAUUUUUAAAAUAUGUAUUAAGCCAAUAAUCUGUUAUGAUGAAAAGCCUCUUCUCCAGAAAUACUUUCUACCAGUUUACAGAAAUGUAUUAUUUCCUUCAAACUGCAGUUGUAUUUGUGGAAAAGUAAAACACUAAGGCCAUAAUCCUUACCUGGUAGAAGUAACCUGUAAAUACUUUAAAACAGUCAAAGAUCAUAUUAGUUAAAAGAUGAGAAAAUCUGAAACCAUUUUAUUAAACAUUAUCAUCAUUUGUUAUCACAAAUUGUUUUUCAGGGAAAAUGACCAGAAGCCUGCUGCUAAGUCAAGGAAGGACUGUUUCUAUCAUCAGAAUGGCAGUAAACAAGCAAUACAAAAUUACAGUUGUGUAAACAAGCUAAAGAUUAAUGGUUCCCACACUGUUUUCCUUUCAUUGGCCCCUUUGGUAGGUCAAAUGACCCUGUAGACCACCUACGCACAGUCACACCACACACGGACAGUAGCUCAAGUUUUCUCACUCCCUCACCCCUCAGCUUGAUUUUUAUCAUUUAAUGUUACAGGGCAAUGAAAAAUAGAGGAAUCAAUUAAUGGAAAGAAGGAAAGAAAAAAUCCAGCAUCCUGACAUGUGUUCUGUUGCAAGUUGCUAAUCAGAUACCUAACUUGUGUAAUGCUUCAACCUUAGUUCUCAAAUCACUAAAUGGAGACUACAGAAACACUAACACUAAUGAUACUACUUCUCCAAAUGCCAUUGAAUUUUUCCUUGCAAAUCAAUGACGUUGAUUCAUACCAAUAAAAUGAUACAGUAGAAAUUGAGGUCUAUGGUUUGAUUUCUAUGAUAUCUGUGAUUUGAGAUCUCAGAAACUUAGAACUUUAAACAAAACACUGGUACAUAUGAUUCUAUGCUUUCAACUCUACCCUUCUCCUCAUCUUUAGUGAUAUUUUCUGAAAAGCUAACUGAAACUUUGAGCUGAAAAAUGAUUGUUUUAGUUCUGUCUUUUAUUUCCUAAAUUCAUUCUCUUCUUUUAAAAUCUAUCCUCUUUCCAGACAAAUACUAUCUAAUUUCACUCAUAAAUGGAAUUUAAGAAACAAAAGAGAUGAAAAAAAAAGAGAGAGGAAGGAAAACCAUAAGACACCCUUAAAUACAGAGAACAAACUGAAGCUGGCUAAAGGGGUGUUGAGUGGGGGGAUGGGCUUAAUGGAGGAUGGACAUUAAGGAGGGCACUUGGAGUGAGAACUGGGUCUUGUAUGUAAGUGAUGAAUCACUAAAUUUUAGUCCUAAAUCAAUAUUACACUAUAUGUUAACUAGCUAGAAUUUAAAUAAAAACUUGAAACAGACAAGAAAACAAAAAGACUUCUCACCCUUACAAAGAAACUGAUAAAUCUGCUUUCCUUUUUUUACAAAGAAGAGUUUCUGACCUUUAGCCUUAAUUUAUACUUCUAACACUGACGUUUAAAAGCAAAAUGGAACACUUUUGCUUAAAGAACAUGUAUUUCAAAGUUAAAAAAAUACAUUAGUACACUGUAUUGAUUUAAUAUUUGGAAGAUAUUAUAUUUUAAUAUUUUGUGAACAUUUAUGAAGCUUGCUCUACUGUUAACAUAUUCAAAAUAGCAUUUUGUUAGAACCCACAGAUCUGUACUUUAUGGGACAUAUUUGAAAAUACCCUCUAUCUUUUAUAACUGUUAGGUAAUUUUACUAAGCAAGCAUUUUUAUUCAAAUUCCAAAAAUGCAUUUUUCCUUUAAAGGUAGAGAAUCAGCAACAAUUUAGUUUAUUUUGCAAAGUUCUGUGAGCCCUCUGUAAAGGUUCCUUUCAAAGGCAGAGGGCUCACUAAAGGUGAUAAUCACUAAAGGUGAUAAUGAGUGCAUCCACAUGCAGAUAUGUCAAAAGAAAAAAAAACAUAAAAAAAUAUCUCUAGACUGAAAGGUAUUUCCUUUUCUAAUCUUAGAUGUGUUAUAAUUUUACAGAUCGUUUUCCCCACAGCAUCUUUUAUCUGGUAUCUUUUAUUUGGGAAAAAAAAAAGUCUGAUUCUAUCCAUUACAAAAAUCAAAUAGUUUAUAGUACUUGUCCUGCUUUUAGGAGAUUUACAAAUAUGAAAUAAUUUUUGUUUUCUACCACACAGAAAAUGUGUCUUUUUGAAGAAUCCUGGAAGUGUUUUACAAAUGCUACAUGACAAAUAAGAACAAAAAAAUGUGCUAAUAGAUAAAUAGUCCAAAACACCAAUUUGGGGUGUUACAGGAGUAUAUUCCUUUUGUAGAGGAAUCUGACAAGCCUUCCCCCAGAGGUAUAAGAAGGCAGAAAAAUGGAUGUUACACAAAGAAAAAUGAAGUCAGUUGGGAGCAGAGUAGAGAAAGUGAAGCAAGCCAAGAUAGGCCAUUAAGUCAAGGAAGAAAGAGUAUUAAGAUAAAUAUAUGUAAUAUUGAAUACUAAAAGUAGAAAACUUAUUUAAUUAUAAUACCAAUGUUUGAAAUUAAUUUUUCAUAGCAUUCAAUAUUUCAAAAUUUGUGAAGGAAAAAGCAUUAAUAUGUAUAUAAGGGAAUGAAUUAUUCAAAAUCUUUUGGAAUGAUCAGUUUUAUUCCACUAUAAAGGAAGCUCAGAAACUAGUUUAGUGAAAGGAAAGGACAGAGUUGUGCUUUGGGCCUUCUAUACACGUCUUGACAAAUAUACAAGUUAGUAUUUCUAUGAAUAUUUAUUUCUCAUAACUUCAGAAACCUUAUAUCCAUGGCAGAGACUUCAGAGUACUCAUAGCUUCUUAGAAGAGGUCUCUCAGUUGAGCUAAUAUGGAGGAUUUACCAGGACCCGGGCCCAUGACUUGAGCUGAGGUCAGAUGCUUAAUCGACUUAAGCCAUCCAGGCGCCCAUAUGAAUAUGUAUUUCAAUAGAUGUAUGCAUGUUAAUUCUCCAUGUUAGCUACAGAAGUUAUGAAUGAUCUGCUUAAAAUAGAUUGAUACAAUCAAAUAUGUUCUAACUUACAUAUUGAGGAUCAUUCUAAAUGCUAUUUUGGGAGAAAGAGUAAGAAUGGAACCUGUUACGGGGCAUCUGGGUGGCUCAGUCAGUUGAACGUCCAACUUUGGCUCAGGUCAUGAUCUCACUGUUCAUGAGUUCGAGCCCCGCAUCAGGCUCUCUGCUGACAGCUCAGAGCCUGGAGUCUGCUUUGGAUUUUGUCUCUCCUUCUCUCUUCUUCUCCUCCCCUGCUCACGCUCUCUCUCUUUCUCAAAAAUAAAAAAAAAAAUGAUAUAAAUAGAAUAUAAAUGGCUUUUAAAAUUAUGAGACCAUCCAAGAAGAAAGAACAGACAAGAAAGAGUUCUAAAGACCACGCUUGGGGCCUCCAGCCUCACACAGCUGGGCAGGACAAGAAGACCAGAUAGAGGCCUCAGUGCGUGGAGAAAAUCCGAGAGUAUAAGGCCCCACCAGCCAAAUGUAUACUAAAAAUUAAAAUAGAGUAAUCAGUUUGGUCAAAUACCAGCGAUGAGUCAAAGUAACAUGAAAGUCAAAGUAACAAAGUAACAUAACAUAAAAGCAGAACCAACUGUUGAAUCCAGCAACCUGGGAGACAUUUAAAAUUUGUCAUUUUUCCAUUAUAAAGUUAAUACAUGCUUGAGAAAGACUAGCUGAAUACAUUAGAAAAAUUUCAAGAAGACCUCAGGGAAGGGGGCGGGAAAUACAUCUUUGGGUGGCCCUGCCACCAAAAGCAACUGGUUUAACAUCUUACAAGAGACAAGGGAAGACGCACAUAGACAACUCUUUGCAGGGAUAUUACUGAAGAGGAACAGAAAUGAUGCAAAAGUUUAUGGCCAAUUUUUGCAGAGUCAUUUUCAGUUUGUUUCUCUUAAGAUUGUGAAAACAAUAGUAUGCUGCCAUGCAGACGAGAAUGAUUGAUUAGAGGGAAAGUUGAUGAGUUAGGAGAGAAAGUGGAACAGUGAUAGAAGGAUACAGUGGAGCAGGUUAGAGUAGGAGGAACCUGUUAAGCAGGAGCAUGGAGAAUUCACCGAUGUUAAUGGGCAAAAAGGCAGAGAAUAGCUAACAGGAAGGUGGAUGUGUUGUUGGGAGCUUUGGGAAGUUGAUUUCUGGUUGUUUUUUAGGCUCUCACUAAAAUAUUCAUCAAUAUCAUCAGCUGAAAGUGAGACUGAGGAGAGUUAUUUUGGGUUUGAGCUUUGUGGCCACAAUUUGAAGUUGGUACAAUGCACCUAGUUGAGAGAUUUUACCCAGCUAUUUUCUGCUACCCAUAUCAUUUAUAUUUUCACAAACAAUGUUGUCAUGUCUUUUCAGAAUUGCUUUUCAAAAUGAACUGUUAAAAUGAAUCUUCACCUACUCUCUUUCACUUUAUCCUUUGAACUGAUUUUGUAAUGCCUAUAGUUCAGUUAUAUAUAUUUUUGAGGUUAACAAUCAGAGCAGCAUUUAGUUCUUUCAAAUUUUGUAAAACAAGGUAGGAAUUCAGUAGAUUGCUAGAAAAUAUCCAGAAAAGGAAUGCCACGCAUGCCGAGUAUUUAUCCAUUUACUCCUUAAUUCAGUGUUUCUAUGUGUGUGUGUGAAAGGGAUGUAUGUAAGAAGUGUAUGACACUCAUAUGUAAUGGAAUAUUUCCAUUGGCACACAAUUUUAACCUAUUUAUCUAUAUAAUCUUAUAAGGCAGAAUCAUUCUAGAAGCCAAUGAAUUCCUACUUAGGCUGGAAGUAUACUGACCUCUGGAGUAGAGGUGAGGCAUAAUAUUCCUCUAGUGGAAAACAAUAGCGAGGUAGUCUUCAUUUACUCCUGUAAGCUCCUAAUUGCCCCAAAUUCAAUCAAGGAGAACUCCUUCAAAGCAUAUGAUAUUAAAUAGAAACUAAGUUCAUGGGGCAUGAGAACAAGUGAUCAUUUGCUAUUCAUUUAUUGACUUGCUCUUAACUUUGACAAAAAUUAAAUUUAGAAGUUAUAAUUUUCCUCCUUUGAAAUACUGAGGUAUUUUGAGCAAAAUAUGGUCACAACUUACAUUUUUUGCCAAGUGUUAAUAUUUAUUUUAUCCAAGGGAGUUUUCUUAGCCAAUAUUUAAAGAGCACAUAUGGUCUUUUUCUGUGGAAAAUAUUUAAUAUAUGUUUUUAGAAAUUUGAACAUAAUAACAAUAAAAGGCAUCGAUCAAUCGUGUAUUUCCAUGUGCUCUGACACAAAAAAGAAAACAAAAUACAGGAGUUUUAUUUUCUUAGAUUUUACCCAGCAGUUGUGAACUCCAUAUUACAUUUAAUUUUGGAAUUUUUGUUUUACCAUUUUGAUUCAUUAAUUUUCUUAGUUGUUUGGAUGUUCUUACCUCAUUUCUUCAUUCAAAAAAAGUAAUUAUAAUAUUGUUUUUAGUUGCCAAGAUAAGCUAAGAUUAACCACUACUUUUUAAUACUUAAGUUAUUAAAUAUAUAAAAUGCAUUCACUCAUUAUAAAUAUCUAGGUUGCAGAUAGUGUAUAUAUAAAACCAAAUAUUUCAAGUUAUCAAAGUUAAACUUUAAUAAAAUACAAAUUAGAAUUACAAGGUUUUCUACAGUUUUUGCCAGUUUUUUUGUUUAUCUUUUCAUUUUUAAACAUGACAUUUUAUUUAUCUCCAGAUGUGAAGAACUGGGGACCUUAUUGAAUAGCAUCAACAUAUUUAAUAUUUAUUUUUGAGGGAGGAAGGGAGAGAGAGAGAGAAAGAGAGAGAGAGAAAUUGCGCAUGAGUGGGGAGGACCUGAGAGAGAGAGGGGGACAAAGGAUCUGAAGCAGGCUCUGUGCUGACAGUGCAGGGGGCAGAGGGCUCAGACUCAGGAACCAGGAGAUCAUAACCUGAGCCAAAGUCUGAGCUUAACUGAUUGAGCCACCCAGGUGCCCUAAUAGUGUCAUCAUUUUUAGUCUAGUCUCACUUCAUCAAAUUUCGUUGAUAACAGUGGAAAGAAAGAUAAUUCAACUUAGAAGCACAAGACCUACAAAGAUUAAUAUGAGAGCAUUUUCAAAGAAGUAUAUCAUAUGCAUAAGAAAAUAGAAAAGAGUUAGGGCCUCUCCAAAGUCCUCUGCAUAAAAGAUUCCCUAUUUUGGAAUCUUACCUCCUUGAUUCAAAUGGACCAGAAAUUCCAUGAAAUUUUUUAGGAUCUUAAACAUGUUUCUUUGUAAUAAAUGAGUAUUUCUAUUAAGUCAGUGCAUUACUUCAGGAACGUAAAUGUAAGAGGGCUUAAGUGUUUAAGGAAAACACAUGUAAAUAAAUUUUAUAUAUGUGCACUCUGGGAAAAAGUUUAUAGCAAGUAAUAAUGGCAGAAAGUAGUUAGGAAUAAAUGUGAUACUCAAUCAUGCAUAACAGAUUGUAAAAUUCUCUCAGCAAGACUCUAUGCCUCAUUCUGCAUUCUGCUUACCAUAUCCUGAAUGCUUUUUUUGAUCACUUCUUUCUACAUAAGAUCAUAUUGGGACAAAUGCUAGAAUCCUUAGAGACAGCCUAAAAUGGAUUAAGAGAGGAAAAAAGGAAAGAAAGAAAGAAAGAAAGAGCUCACACAUUGUUUGUAUUAAUAAAUAAAGGCUGGUAACUGAUGAGAUUACCAUUUAAAUAUAUUACAUUAUUAUUUCAAUAAUUUAACAUAAAUACUAUAAAAUCUUAUUUAAAUUCCAUUCAUUUUCACAAACAAUAUAAAAAUCAUCAUUUUGCUCUUCACUGUUACAAAAUCUAUAAGGAAAGAUUAUUUUCAUAGAGUGUCUGAAUAUGUAUUUAUUGAUAAAAAUAAAUAGAAACAAAAUAUUGUGAACAAGAUCAUGUAACCUAGUUUGAGCAUUGGCUUCUUAGACAUUUUAAUUUGACAUCCUAAGUAUAAAUUUAUUUUUUAAGAUUUAUUUAUUUAUUUAUUUAUUUUGAGAGAGAGAGAAAGAGAGAGGGCUGGGGGCCAAGAGAGAGGGAAGAGAAAGGAUCCCAAGCAGGUUCCACACUGAGGGGCUCACACUCACAACAUGACCUGAGCCAAAACUAACAGCCCAACGCUUAAUGGACUCAGCCACCCAGGCACCCCAAUAUCCUAAGUAUAAAUUUAAAUAGAAAAGAUAUCAAUAGUUUAAUGUAUACAGUAGAAGUCAUAUUUGAAAAAAUAAAAUAUUAAAAGAUUGUUAUCCUGUGCAUUUUCAUGACAUGACCUUCUCCCUAGUCAGCCCAGACACAUCUGCUUCAAAGUGAUUAAAACGUUAGAAUAGGAGUAUAAAAGGAAAAUAAAACACCAAUAUUCAGGUUAUAUUAUAAAUAAGAAUUUUCACGAAGAUAUUAGGUUUGCAAGUCAAGAAUUGAGGAGGAAGAAAUUAGUUUUUAACUUUUUUUACCUCCCAUUUUAACCAAUCGAGAUUCAAGUUCUGUGAGCCAGACAGCAGAAGGAAGUCUCAGGCUGGCAGGAGUAAAUUAGCAGACACUCUGAAUCUGGAUUAUUACAGGGAAAGUACGAGGCAAAGAAGCUGUCAGGUAGAUGUCUUCAUUUCUUCUCUCUGGGUUUGGCCUUCAGGAGUGAAUGUAUCAAUUAGUUUGAUCAGGUGAGGACAAGGACCUCUUGUCCAGUUCUCCAUUUGGGACACUUGGAAAAUACUGCCAUGCCCAACACUGUGCCAGCUUGAGGUGCAGCAUUUUGGUUCCGAACAUGGAGAAAAAAAAAAGCCAUAAGGAAAAAGAGUCUGGAAUCAACUCAUAUGCUUAUGUUGGUCUCCACAUAGCAAGACCCUUCUGUGGUGGAAUGGAGUGACUGGACCAAGGAUCCAGAUAGAAACACUGCCAGAGUCCGCACCACACAAUAAGAGCUGAGUAAGUAGGGAGCCAUUGAUCAAGCCGGGAAAAUUUUCAAUUUGUGUUCAUCAGCCCCAGAUGUCAGCAACAAAUACCAGCUGAAGAUCCUGAAAAAGACCAAGCCAAACAAAUACUGCAGCAGACACAGAACACCCACUCUGCAGCAGACUGAAAACCAGUAAGUAACUGAUCGAUGGAUUCAAAGACUCUCCCUUUUUCCUCUGUGUGUUUACAAAGGUCCCCAACUGGCUCUGUCCCUGAGCUCAAUUUAAUGCCAUCCUUAAGAAUAUCGAGUGCAUGGGGAAAGUGGAAAUACCAGUCAAUAUCUCAUUUUCCAAGGACUACUUUCUUAGAGGACUGUUAAAAUUAUUGGAUUGGAUUAAGUUUUAAAGCAAAUUGGACUAAAUGUAGCUUUUUAUUUUCAAGUAAUCAUAAAAGAAGUCAGAGCAAUUACAGACCAAAUAAAACAAAGAAACUACUUUUUUUUUUUUUCUCUUCUGAUUAUAAUGUGAGCAACAGUGGCAUCUCUGGGACACAGAUAUCAAAUGAGCAUAAAAAGGUAUUGAUAUUGCAGAGGUUAAAGAUUAAAAAUACUCUAUAGGAACCAGAAAGGAGAACUAGAGAGUAACAAUUAUCAAGUUUUUUGGCCAAACUAAAUCCUGUUUUAAGUAUUUUACAUACAUACAUUUUUUUUUUCUUUACCCGGUUACCUUUACUCAGUUUUACAACUGAGGCUAAAAGAGUUUAAGUGACAUACUUGGUCUCAAGCUUCAAAAUAUUGACCUCGAUAUUCUUCUUUAUAUACUAGUCUGCUAAGGGAUUAUGUGGUGUCAAUCAAACACUUUAUUUAUAUUCAUAUUUUAGUUGCUAUAUUAUAUCGUUAUUUAAAUAACUGUAUAUAUAGGGCCACCUGGGUGGCUCAGUCGGUUAAGUGUCCAACUUCAGCUCAGGUCAUGAUCUCAGUGCUGGUGGGUUCAAGCCCCGCGUCCGGCUCUGUGCUGACAGCUGGGAGCCUGGAGCCUGCUUCAGAUUCUGUCUCCAUCUCUCUGCCCCUCCCCUAUUCAUGCUCUGUGUCUCCCUUUCUCUCUAACAAAUAUGAAAUAAAAAAUAAAAGAAAAUAAAAAAAAUAACUGAAUAUAUAAUUCAAGGUGUAGGAUUCAGUUAUUUAUAGAAUCUUCUUCUAUAAAAAAGUAUACAAUUGGAAUGAAGUAUCUCUGCCUAUUAUGGGAUUCAAAUAAGUAGAUGCGUACAGGCAUGAGAAGUUGAGAUUGUAAUUUGUUAGGAAAUGUGAGUUGUAAUUAUUUUAAACCUAAACAACUAUAAAACUAACUUUCAUAAAAUUAUGUGAAAACAAAAAACACAUUUAUCUCUCCCCGAAGUUAUAAGAUAACUAUAUUGGAGGUUAGAGAGAUGAACCAAUUUAUUUGGGAGAACUUCAGUUCCCUGCAGUAUUAGGGAAAUAAUACAAUAAGCACACCAAACUUGCAGUAGCAUAAAUUUAAGCUACAUGAUGAAAAUGAAAAUAAUUCCUAUUGACUUUUAUCAAUCUUAAUCAAAUAUUUAAGACUGGUGCCUCAGUCGGUUAAGUGUAUGACUCUCUUAAUUUAAUGUUUAUUUAUUUAUGAGAGAGAGAGACAGGAAGGAAGAGGCAGAUGGAGAGGAAGAGAGAGAAUCCCAAGCAGGCUCCACACUUUCAAGCACAGAGCCUGAUGAGCUGUGAGAUCAUGACCCGAGCUGAAAGCUUAACCAACUGAACCACCCAGGCUCCCGCAUCCAACUUUUGAUUUCAGCUCAGGUCAUCAUCUCACGUCAGGUUCUGUGCUGACAGCAUGGAGUCUACUUAGGAUUUUUUUCUGUCUCAGGGCCUCUCUGUUCUUCCCCUGCACCCCCUCUUUCUCUCAAAAUAAAUAAAUGAACUUUAAAAAAAGAGAAUAUUUAAGACCUCACAAAACAGCUUUUGAUAUACUCUUCAUUCACUGAAUCCUAUCCUAUCAGUAAAAGGUUUCCUUAAGUGGCCAUCCCAAAGUUAUCUAUUGCACAUGCACACACAUACUUUCAAAAUAGUAAUCAACAAGUAAAAGUGUUUUAUUAUGAUCAUAAUUGCAACUGUAGCUGGCAUACAUAGGUUUAGGAACAAACACAAAUUACUUGUUAAGCCUUUAACUAAAUUUAUGGAAGUAGAAGUACUCAGGCAAAUUUUAAACUGGCUACAAAGCAUUCAGAGUGAAAUGGUCAAAGGUCAAUGCUUUUCCGGGAAAAGUUAAUCAUUUUGGUUAAGAGUGUCUCCUAUAGCUUUCUAUUAGUUUUUAUUAUAUUCAGUGCAUAUAAUAAGCUACUGUUAUUGAUAUCUUUCAUAUUCAGAAGGUAAGGUACAAACCGAAUUAUUAUAGAGUAUGUAAAAACUGUCUUAUAAAUAGUUAAUAGAAGACGGUGUUGAGAUUUUUCAAAGUUAGGGCUUUUGGAAGUUAAAUCAUCUGAAAAAAAUUGAAAUAUAUUGUGAAAAUUAUUAGUUUUUAGAAGAAUGCAUGUUUAGUAAAAUAACUAGAAGAAACAAGAUAAUAUUAGAAAAAAAACCUACUAGCUAUGUUAGAAAAGUAACUUGUAGUUAGUUCACAAAGAUUAUUUUCCAAUGUCAGGAAUAUAUAUAUCUACAUAUAUAUAAAAUAUAUAUAUAAUUCUUUUGUAAAAGAACCUGAUUCCGAGUGAAAGAGAUUAUAUAGGAAAAUAUAUUGUUUCUAUUCUAACUUUAACUCUAAGUAAGUAAAAAGUCAAAUGUAAAGUUUUUGGAUUGAGACUUUGGAAACUGAGUUCAAGUUCUGAUUUAGUCACUGAGUAGCCCUGAGUAAACAACUUAACCUUUCUGUGCCAUGCUCAGCAAAACAAAAGUGUUUCGUAAGAUCAUCAUCAAAGUUGCUUCCAACAUUAAACAUCUAUGACUCUAGGACUUCCAAAAGUCUGGAAAAAAUGUAAAAAUUCAGCCUAAUGAUUUAACAGUGAAAGCAAAUAUAUAAGAUAAUGAUUUUACUAAAGAAGAUUUCUAUGACUUCUGUAGUUUGCUUAUGGCAGAGGGUGUGGGUUAAUGGUGAAUCAGCAACAUUUAAUUUAAUCCUCUCAGACAAACAUGGGUAACAAAGUGCCAAAUAAUUUCCCCGUCUCAUUUACUGAAAUUUUGUCCAGAUGCACAGUUUCAUCCAGAUGUACAGAACAGACAGUUCAGUUCUGGCUGUGCAGAGAGCAGUUGGUGACGAGAAUGGCACAGGCCCUGUAGCCCAAUCCUGCACAGAACAGCUUGGAACACUGCGUGUGCGUUGAGUCUUCCCCUUUGCGGUAGGCAUGCUCCCAUUUAAUAUUUCAACGGAACAGAAACUGAAACUUUCUCUCCCACAACACACACACAUACACACACACACACACACACACACACACACACACACGCAACUUUGCUUUCCCUGAUUCAGAUUCUUCUGAAAUAUUUUGGGCCAAUUCAGCUGAACAUUAAGAAUCAUUCCAUUAUCAUCAUCAGAAAUUAGAUAAAUGUCACUCUUGUAAACGACCAAAGAAUGAAUUAAAGACAUUUGUGUUCAUUAUUAUUACAUCAAGCAAGACAUAAUAGUUUUGUUCUCUGUAUUCUUUAGUCAUUUAUUGAGAAUUUACUGCAGUCGAUAGUCUGUUGUAUGCCUGUAGGGAAGAAGACCGAGGGAGAGAUGGCCCCUACCAGCAGAGAGUACCCUACUCAUGCAUUACAUAACAUGUAUUAGUAACACACAUGCAUUCAUAACAAAAAAGUACUUAGUAAAGUAGUAGUUAAGAUGGAAGUGAAAGAAAACCUGAACCUAAUUAAAGGUAAGCACACACAAAAAAAGGAAUUUAGAGUUUCACAAAUUCAAAGCAUCCAGGGACAUUGGACUUCAGGUAUGAUUUGGUUCAAGGCUCAAGCAAUGGGACCUGGACUUGGGUUUUCUCACUCUGUUUCUCUGUUUCUGGCUUUUUGGAUACUGGUUCUGAUCUCAUCCCUCAGUAUAAGAUAGUUGUCAAUAAAUCCCAGGGAGUAGAAGAGUUCCUGCCCCUUACUGCAAAACAAGUACCCAUGGACUGACUCUCAGUUGCCCAAAUUUAAAUAUGCCCAUAUUGGAGUAAACAAUUGUGUAGCUGAUUAAUUCAAUACCAAACAAAUGAUUAAAAUUGAGAGAGAGAGAUAUGCCAAAGGAAAUUUCUGGAAUUCCUAUACAAGGAAAAUUGAUGUUGAGUGAUGGCAAAAAAAAAAAAAAAAAAAAAAAUCCAAAUGCCCCAUUUAAGGAGCAGAGUAAGAGAUAAGGCCCUCGAUCUAAAUCAGAUUGUCUAGAGUUAAAUGUGCUCCAAACUAAGAAAUAUUUUAAUCUUGAUAACCUUCUUUUCUCAUGAGUUGAAUGAUGAUAAAAACAGUAUCACUAGCCUAAAAUCAUUUGAGGAUUUUAUAACAAUCUCUGGUAAGAGUUAUCACAGACUUGGUAUUUAGUAAGCAGUUCAUAAAAGUAAACUAUAAUUAUUCAUUUCAUUUUCUAACUGCUUCCUUUUCAACAGAGUAAAUUCUGUCCUUUAUUGCCUUCAAUGAUAACUUAAAUUCAUCUAUUGAAUUUUAAUUCCCUUAUCAUUUCUCCUUAUCACAAACACCCCUAUUGUCACCUAAUUUUGAGAUCUCUUUAUCUUACUCUUGCAUCUCAACCUUAGCCUGCAUUUCUUAUGACUGCUACAUCAUAUUUCAUAGAGUUUAUAGCUGCUCAGACUAGAUUAUGCAACAUUAAAAAUCAAUCCUAAAAUACUGAUGGCUUUCAACAAUAAAUGUUUAAAUUCACAUUGUACGAUCACUUGGCUUUGCUUGGAUCUGAAUACUCUUCACAGUGGGAAACUGCUGGCUUGCAGUCAAGGAAAAACAGAAAGGUGAAGUUAGGAAAUAUCUUUCAAAGUUUCUUUCCAGAAGUGGCAUCCAUCACUGUUCAUGUUUCAUUAGCUAAAACAAAGCAUGGUUAAGGCUGAUGUCAACAGAGCAGGAAUAUAUAAUCCUUCUAUACAGAAUAGAGUUAAUAUUUUGAUAAUAAAAUAUGAAAUCUGACACAGCAAGCAAGCUUUUUUUUUUCCUUCUUUCUCUCACCACCUGAGAAUCAUUUAGGGGUAUUUUUCAAUCUAAAUUUCACCCACAAUACCUACUUUAUUAAGGUUCAGUUUGUGUGUUGGUUCACCAACUGGCCCUGUACACAGAGGUCAAGGAGAGAAUGAAGACAGAGACAGGACACUCUAGAUUGAUAGGUGGCAGUUUUAGUAAGCGAGGACACUUACUUAUGAGGCUUAUCUUGAAUGGCCACAAGGUAAGUAGAUCUCCACAUCUACUCACCAGAAUCUUACAAAUUUAUAUAGAAGACUAAUUGGGUUAAGUCACAUAUACCAUCCAGAUGGCCUCAACACCUUACUCUCUCAAGACUAUAUCCUUGGAACAGCUCCCACUGUGGUAAAAGUAAGCAAAAUGUACAUUCCAAGAAUAGAGGAGGGGGUGAGGAACCUUUGAUUGCCUGGGUCUAGCUGUAGGUGAACAGGUGGUCACCUUUUCUGAUGACUUCCUCCUCCUCCUUUAGUAGGUUUGAUGAGAUCAAAACUAUUUUCAUAAUAUUCUAUGACAUGAACUACCUAUUUCACUGUGUUGACAUUUGUGCUAAUUGUCUAAAAGCAAUGGUGGAUAAAAUGCCCAGUGCUUUAUUACCAAUCAAGGCAGUGGAAUCAAAAUAUUCUAUAUAUUAAUUCUUUUAUUCUUCAUUACCACUCUUUUUUUUUAAUAUUUAUUUAUUAAAGGAGGAGCACAGAGCCUGAAGUCUUGAACUGAGAUCAUCAGCUGAGUCAAAAUCAAGAGUUGGACACCUAACUGAUGAGCUACACAGGCACCCCACUACUCUAAUUCUUUUUAAAUCAAAUUACACUUUAAUAUACCCAUAAUGAAGUAGUAAAUAUUAGUAGUUCUAUUUAUUUAAUUAAUUUUUUUAUUUCAUUUUCUUGAAGUUCUUCAUCUGAACUUGAGCACACAUCUAUGUAAUAUUUUUUGGGAUGAAAUGGAAAGUUCACACAAGCAUUUCUGCACAUUGAAGUAUGAUGGCCUUCUUGAGGAAAAGCAUUUGCACAGUUGAGUUGUGAGCUGAGCUAGCUGUUUUUUUCUUUUUCUUUUUCUUUUUUUUUCUUUUUCUUUUUCUUUUUUUUUUUCUUUUUUUCUUUAGUAGAAUCACCAUUUUUACUUGAACAAAUAGCAGAAAAACAAUGGUUAUUGAGAUUUGCUUAUUUGGCAGACAUUUUCUCAGAAAUGAAUGAAACAGGACUAUAAUGUUAAUCAACUGACAACCAAUGGCAAAAUGUAAGCUUUAAAUGAAAACUCAAGGUUUUGGAAGACUCCCAUAUAUUAUCGUAAGCUUGACAGCAUCCCAAUAGUUCAACUUAUCUGAUGAGGUUGAUAGUGAUAUUAAUAAACAUGAGUUUCAGAUGGUGAAUAACAAAAUGUGUAAAUAUCUAAGGAUCUCCUCAGCUUGGUAGACCAAUGUUUUACAGGUAACAUGUUUCAUACAUGGGUAAAAGAUCCAUUCAAAGGGCAAGAUAGACCAAUGGGAUUUAAAUGUGACGGUACUAAAAUAUAAUAUAUUUUCAGGUUCUACAUUACAAAUGACUAUUAAGAAAUUACUUGUUGGGGGAGUGUCUGAGUGACUCGGUUGAGAGUCUGACUCUUGAUUUCGGCUCAGAUAAAUGAUCUCACGGUUCCUGAGAUCAAGCAGUGCAUAGGGCUCUGAGUUGACAGUGUGGAGCCUGCUUGGGAUUCUCUCCCACCCUCUCUCUCUGCUCCUCCCUUGCUCAUGCUGUCUCCCUCAAAAUAAAUAAAUAGACUUUAAAAAAUUACUUAUUAAGUUGUUAAUACCUAAGAAAAUAUCCACAAUUAUCUGAAAUGGCUAUUACAAUUCUCUUACUUUUUUUCAGUUAUGUAACUAUCUUCCUUUCGUCCUUCCUUCUUACCCUUUCCCCUUUUUCCUUCCUUCCUUCCUUCCUUCCUUCCUUCCUUCCUUCCUUCCUUCCAGUCUCUCCCUCUCAACUCCCCCUUCUUUUCUUUCUUUCUUUCUUUCUUUACUUCUUUCUUUCUUUCUUUCUUUCUUUCUUUCUUUCUUUCUUUCUUCCCUCGCUUCCUUCCUUCCUUCUUUCUUUCAGUGUUUAAAUUGAGCAACUAAAGAUGUAUAAAUAAUUAUUGCUGACUUAAAAAAAUAAUUUAGGGGUAAUCAGGUAUAUUAUUUUGUGUCUAUUACACAUUUAUUCCAUAUAUAAUGAUAAAUCUAUUUUGUAUAUUAUUUUUAUUUUGCAUUUUAAAUAAUGUUAAAAAAUGAAAGAGACUUUUAUAAUGAAAAAUACACUAAAGAAUCUGAGUACAGUUGUGGACUUGACAAAUAAGCUGAAGACUCAAAGAUUAUUUGAGGCCUGUCAAUAUGUGUCAAAAUACUAGUUGGGUUUGAUCCUGUGAAAGUUUAAACACUAGAAUUGUAGAAACCCAGUACAAGAAGGGACCCAAGUGGAGACUUGUUUCUCUUUUGUCCCUUUAUGACUAAGGAGUUUGACUGAGGAUGUUUGGGUAACUCAUUUGAGAUUACACAAAUGGUAUCAGAGUGAGGACUAGAAAGUAGUGUUCUGACAUCAAUCCAAAGCUAAUUCAUUUCCAGUCCAGCAUAGGCCUUCCUAGAAGUUAUUCAUUACACUAUGCUUCCCACUACUUUCAAGCACCCCAAAUACUUUGUAUGUAGACUUUGAUAUCUUAUCGCAGUGAUUUUGUCUGACAAACACUGGAUCAGCACUGGUAGUGUUGUCAUCUUUAGAUACGAGGGUUAUCCAACUAUUUGUAUUGGAAUGUAGUACUAUUUUGUUACUAUCUAAAAGAACAGAAUUAAAAAAAAAAACAGGACAAAAACACUACAACUAGUAAUUGAAAUCAUUGGCUCAUAAAAUUAAUCAAUUUGAAGUAAGGAAAAUUGCGCUUUUCAAUCUGCAGCAUCAGUGUUCACUCUGUUCAAAAGGUAUUCAACGAAUUCUUGUGAAAAUGAAUUGAACAAAAGUGAAUUGAACUGAAUUGAGAAGUGAGCUGCCCACACUGGAAAUUGUGGUAACUCUAUGAGGUCAUUAGGAGGAGUUGCAAUUCAGAACAUUGAAUUAUUUCUAAGAAACUACAAAUGCUGACAUUUUUCCAACCCUGAGUUCUAUUUGAGUGCUGAAAUUUAAACCCAUGUUGUACUUAGCAUUCCAGAAGAAGAGGAGAAUAUCCCAGUAUCAACUUUUUUUUUUAUUUCACUAGGUUAGGUAAAAAGAUACUCUUUAUUUUGAAUAAAAAUAUUUGGUGCUGAGGGGCCACAGUAGGUUUAUUGCGGGAAGGAGGUGAGAAUAAGGGGUGCGGAUAGUCUGGGAAGGACCUUGAGAAUGUCCUCACCAUCCAAGAAAGACAACUAUCUUUCUUUUUACAAUAUUCUCCGGAGAUGGGAAAAACCUAUCUUGGUCUGAAUUCCCUAUAAACAAAGAAACAAACAAAACCCUGCCUGCUGUUAAUCUUAAAAUGUUUUACACAACACAGAUGGUGGUAAUGAAAGAUGCAGUUGAAUGCUUCUCUAUUAUUGAAAAGUUUUAAACUGUGUAAUUGCUGUACUAUUUCAUUUCAACCAUUUCUGUCACUUUAACAAUAUUUCUAAGACAAACAAAGAAAUGUCUAUAAUAAAUUAUUGCAGGAGUAUACUUGGUUUUCUCAAGUACAAAUCUGAUGCGAAUGGAACUUUAAUGAUUCUGACUCUGUCUAUUCAGUCGUACAUGGAACCAUUAGAUCAACAAAGCCAGCUGUUUUUAAGUUCCAUUAGGAGCCAGUAUUAAAAUAAAAGUAAAUAUUAAGUCUGAACCUAAUUCUAUUUUACAAAUAUUGUCGUUGAUUUUUAAAAAUACUUUUCCUGAUUUAUCUUUUCAAUUUUAACUUCUUCAACUUGAAUGUAAAAUAUUUUUUCCUUGUCACUUUGUGUGUCAAAUAGUAUGUGUUUCUCCCUGGAACUAAGAUUCUUUGGGCUACCCUCACUACUUCAGCCACUACUUCCUACCUCCAAGGACUCCAAAAUAUCUUAAAGAAGUAUUAUGGUAGGCCUAUAGAGUGAUUUUCUAUUAAUUUAUUCAAGUAUUUUAUAAAAGUUCUAUAUGAAGUUUUGCUACUUCAGUAGCAUCCUCAGAAUUUGGGGAUGCUCCAAAACAUUUGGGUGGAUGGAGAUUUACACUCCUAUCGUAUCAGAUUUCAAAACCAGAAAGUCAAAAGUCAGCUUAUAUUCAACAAAAAUGCAGAGAAUGUGGAAGGCGUGUAUACUUAGAACUUACUAUUUGCCACAUAUUUCAUACAUAUGAACUCGUAUGAUAUCUCACUGAUAUCAUGAUAUCAGUGUUAACACCAUUUCACUUUAAAAUUCUACACCUUCGCGGGGGGCAGGGGGGGGGGACGGGUUGCGCCUGGGUGGCUCAGUCCAUUAAACAUCCAACUUCGUCUCGGGUCAUGAUCUCACAGUUUGUGGGUUUGAGCCCUGCAUGGGGCUCUGUGCUGACAGCUGGGAGCCUGAAUCCUGCUUCAGAUUCUGUAUCUCCCUCUGUCUCUGCCCUUCCCCUGCUAGUUAGUUCUCUCUCUCUUAAAAAUAAAUAAACAUUUAUAAAUUUUUUUAACGUUUAUUUAUUUGUGAGACAGAGAGAGACAGAGCAUGAAUGGGGGAGGGGCAGAGAGAGAGGGAGACACAGAAUCGGAAGCAGGCUCCAGGCUCCGAGCCAUCAGCCCAGAACCAGACACGGGGCUCGAACUCACGGACCACGAGAUGGUGACCUGAGCGAAGUCGGACGCUCAACCGACUGAGCCACCCAGGCGCCCCAAAAAUAAACAUUUAAAAAAUAAUAAAAAUAAUAAAAUUCUAUACUUUGGGAAAGUUAAGUAAUAUCUUCAAAGUCUCCCUGUUAUUAAUCAACAAAGCUAAUAUUCAAAUGAUUUUUUAUCUUCUAUUCAUGAUCUGUAUUGUUUUCUCUACUAUGCUCAUUUCUCUGUUGACUUUAUAGUCUCCAAAGAGUCUCUUAGCUCAUUAGAUUUGGUAGCCACCUGUUUACCAGCAGUAGUGAGGUCCCUACUAAGUGUUCAAAUGGAUCGAAAAGCAAAUGACUAUAGUUUUCUCUAAGAACCUUCUGACUUCUUCCUUUUCUAGCCCUGGUCUCUGAAGACUGCAAAUGCCCUUUAUAUAUCAUUUACUCAUAGACCAUCUUCUGACCUAACCUAUCCAGUUUAGCCCUUUAAUUAGGAAUUUUUACUUCAACCCCAUUGUUUUAGCAACCUUCAAACUUUUUGUUCACAUAAAGGCAAUGCAGGAAAAAAUUUUUUUUUCCAUUAAUAUUUAGAAGGCUUAAAAUUAAAUUUCCUCAUAAACACCUAGGAAAAUUAGUCUAGGCCAAAAAAAAAAAAUGGUUGGCAUUUGAUGCAUUUGAAAUUGAAAUUAAUUUAUUUGCAACUUGAGCCUGAGGAGAUUUUUAUCUUUUUGUGGUAGGAGCCAUAUAUGUGAUCAAGCUGACAGAAAGAAAUAAUGCGAGGCAACAAAAGUAGUGGCUUAGUUAAGCAGCUGACUUUGGCUCAGGUCAUGAUCUCGCUGCUCGUGAGUUCAAGCCCUCGCAGUCUCUCUGCUGUUAGUGCAGAGUCCACUUCAAAUCCUCUGUCCCCCUCUCUCCCCUCUCUCUUUCUCUCUCUCUCUGAAAAAAUAAACAACACAAAAAAUUUAAAAAGAAAAAGAAAUCUAAGUGUCCAAAAAUGUACAAUUAGCCCAUCCUGCAUUCUCCAGAAUAUCUUGAUAUAGAGCACGCAAAUCAACAAAUGAUCAAUUACAAAAAUUAAUUCCAAGGCACCUAUCUAUAAUCAACAGCAAUUUCUUGGCAGCUCUAAAAUGUCCUAAUUUUCUGAAAACUUGUAACUAUUUCUAUGAGCUUUGUUCCACUAACCCUUUAAAAAAUAUUUUAAGCUCCUAACUGCUUGUAUUAAAUACCUUCCUGCUUAAAUUACGUAUAAUACUUUCUGUUUCUCUGGACAGACCCUGACUGUUAAAAUCUGCUUGGCUUUCUUAUAAUUAAAACCACCUACUAAAUCACCACUUCACAGGUAUAUAUUUAAUGUGAUUACAUAAUCAUAUUCUCUAAUAAAAGAAUGGCAAAUUGUAGUGAGCAGACAGGCUGAAAAAAAUAGACCAGCCGAUUUUUUUUUUAUCAUUAUUGUUGUUUAUCAUCAUCUACAUUAAAGAGCUAUUUUCAAGCCCAAAUAGCAGGACACCAAAAUGGAUUAUAACUCCCAAGAUUUUAAUUUCUACUGCCUUAAUGUUAUUAUAAAAUGCCUCUGGAUUACUAAAAUGCUGUACAUAUCAAUUAAAACAAAAAACAGAAUUAAUGUUACUAACUAAAUUCAUCUAAAAGCAGUUAAUAACAUAUAGUCAUCAAUUCCUUACGAAGUAGGAUUAUUUCUAUAUGCUGGUAAGAUCAAAUUAUAUUGUUAAUUGCUUUAAGACAUACUUCUAAAAUCAUGGUUUAAAAUUUGGACAUUCUUUAAACCAAAUAAUAUUGACUACUAUAAUAGACAAAGAUGCAUCUUAAUUGCCUUCCAAAUAUUAUCCAAAAUAGAAAUAUUAUAAAAUCCUCUUUUUCACUGCUUUAUCAAACAUAUUCAAUAUAUAAUUGGAUUUUUCCCUCUGAAUAUUUCUUGAGGUAUUCUCACAACAUCUUUUAAUGUCACUCUCAACAGUCUCUUUCUUUACUAUCUUCCAUCCACAACCACAAGCAGAGUGAUUUUUCUAGUCAAACAAGAUUAUUUUACUCUUUUCUUCUAAAAAAAAAAUCAUUUCUAAGCUAGAGUUAAAAUUGCCAGGAUCAUAGACCUUCUGCAAGGCACAUGUCAGCUGUGCAUACAAAAGAGGCAUAGAAUAUUUUCAACAUGACAGAAGAUGGAUGAGUGCUGAGUAUAUGACAGGAAUUUCCAUCUCCUUUAAAUGCAUAAUAUGAACAUAACUGGCAUAUUUGUGAAAUAUUUACCUAGUCUGAGUUCCACUUUCUUUGGUCAGGAUGUAUUUUUCUCUACCUCUUUAUAUAUAGGGAGACACAGAGAGAGCCCCAUUAAAGAUAAUAUCAGAGCAUAUCUGAGUCAUAAUUACCCCAGCACUGCAUCAGAAUUCAACUGACUACAUAAUGAAAUCAGUGUAUGUUUUCAUGUGGAAAGAGGCAUGGAGAACAGUGCCCCACCACGCAGACAUUCUGGCCUAAAUGAUCCAGGGCAAGGGAGACCAGCAAUUGCCUGAAGAUGACCAAAUGCCACACAGCAUUUGAGAGAGAAAUUGUCAGCAUCUCUAUCACUUAAAGAUAAGACAUGAGAUUGCAAGAUUUAUCAUGAAUAGAUAUUUUUACAGGUACUUCUUUAAUAAAGAUGUAUUUUGUCAUAUAUCCUUCUCUUCUUCCUGAGGCGGGGGGGGGGGGUGGAUCCACAAAACUUUUCCUAACCACACUUCAGGAAGAUUAUAAGAGCUAGUGAAUUUUAUGAGAAGUGGAGGAGACCUAUCUCUAUCUCUAUCUCUAUCUAUCUCUAUCUCUAUCUCUAUCUAUAACUUUAAAUAUAUACUUAAUAAAUAUAUUAAAUUCUUUAUUCUAUCUCUGUCUCUCUGUCAUAUAUCUAUUUCUCAUAGGAACUCAGAAUAGAGAGCAAGGCAAUAUUAGUAAAGAUAUUGCUUAAAUAAACAGAAUUGUUUAGAAGUCCUACUCCUGUCCUGACUAUAGGGGGAGUAUAUUUCUAACCAGUUAGUCAGUUUUUCUAAUUCCACUGAGAUGUUGGAUUCAUUGUGCAUAAUAAGGAAUGUCCUUACUCAAAGCGAUUGUGACGUCACAACCAUUCCAUUGUUUCUGAGCAAUGUCUAUUUUAACUCAGCACAUUUCAAAAUCAGCAAUUAUUGCAAAGGAAAUCUGUAUUGUUCAUGACAGUUCCACUAUUCUUCUCUAAAACAACGGAGACUUUAUUAAAAGCAAAGUUGUAUAUGGCUAUUUUUUUGAGCCUUUAUUUUAUUACCAGUAAAAGAACAAAACAUCAGACAAGACUAUUGUCUGAUCCAUCUGGUGCUAUAUUUCCUCCACACAAGCCUUGUAUAACACACACAAUAUUUCAACCGCAAAUAUUGUUUAGCUUUUAAAACAAUUGCCUAUCAAAGCAUCCAGGUCCCAUUGAUAAUGUAGCAAAGCCUUUCCUGCAAUUGUGAGUCAGGAAAUGCUGGCCCCCUUGGCAAGUCUCAUAUGUCCUGUUGCUUGUAAUCUCCCUCCCUCCUUGCUGGAAUGUGUUAUUUUUAAGCAGCUAGACUAACAGGAAGAGAAAGUUGUUACUUCUUUUCAUGUGAUGGAACAACCAGGGGAAGGCAACUGUGUUUUAAGAAUAUGGGCUGAUGAAAUCUUAAAACCACUUACCAGGUACCAAGCUACUGCUGUGAGGGAAAUCUCCAGUUCCAGGCAUACUUUUGGAUGGAUGGUAACUUCCCCAUUCCAUAGCCCCAAUACAUUUUGCAGGCACCUGAACUGAAAAAUAAAGACACAAACUGUAUUGAAGGUGCAUAGAACUUCAUUGUUCUGUAUUGCAUGGAUGAAAGAAUGUGUUUCAUUUUGCAGAGAACUACCCUGAAAAUAAAUCACUUUAAAGAGAACCACAGAAAUAGAGACACAUUUUAUUUCAUGAUGAUUACUGAAUGUUGAAAAAAUAUUCAAUGGAACAUUUUACUGACCAGCAUAAACAGAAUUUCAUAAUUUGAAAAAGAAACACACUGUCUCAUACUUACCUAUGUAAAAACUAAUAUUAUAGAUUUAAUCUAUCAAAUCUACUUAUAUUAAAAUUAAUCUGUAGCCUUACUUAAUCCCUUUUUUUGCUCUGUAAGAAAGUUUGCUUUAAAAAAUAGAUAAGUUUUGGGGUGCCUGGGUGGCUCAGUCAGUUAAGCUCAGGCUCAGGUCUGACUUCGCCUCAGGUCAUGAACUCGUGGUCUGUGAGUUCAAGCCCUGAGUCAGGCUCUGUGCUCUGGGCCUGAAGCCUGAGUCAGAUUCUGUGUCUCCCUCUCUGCCCCUCCCCCGCUCAUGCUCUGUCUCUCUCUCUCAAAAAUAAAUAAACGUUAAAAAAAUUUAAAAAAUAUAUCAGUUUUGGGGUACCUGGGUGGCCCAGUUGGUUGAACAUCCAAUUUCGUCUCAGGCCAUGAUCUCACAGUUCUUGAGUUCAAGCCCCAUGUCAGGCUCUGUGCUGACAGCAGGGAGCCUGGAGCCCAUUUCCAGUUCUGUGUCUCCCUCUCUUUCUGCCCCUCCCAUGCUCCUGUUCUGCUCUCUCUCUCAAAAUUAAUAAACAUUUAAAAAUAGAAAAAUAGGGGCGCCUGGGUGGCGCAGUCGGUUAAGCGUCCGACUUCAGCCAGGUCACGAUCUUGCGGUCUGGGAGUUCGAGCCCCGCGUCAGGCUCUGGGCUGAUGGCUCAGAGCCUGGAGCCUGUUUCCGAUUCUGUGUCUCCCUCUCUCUCUGCCCCUCCCCCGUUCAUGCUCUGUCUCUCUCUGUCCCAAAAAUAAAUAAACGUUGAAAAAAAAAUUAAAAAAAAAUAGAAAUAUAAAAAAUAUAUCAGUUUUAAAAAAGCAGAAAAUAUCCAAGGACAUGUGGAAUAUGAAAGACAUUUUUCCUCGCUCCUGAAGAGAGAGAACAUGUUUCUGCUUUAGAUCCUUUGCUCUUGCUGUUCCUUCCUUCUAAAAUGCUCUUUCCCCAGACUUUGGCGAGUCCCCUUCUCUCCCUUAAUUAAGCCUCUGUUACAAUGUGACCUUCUGAUGACUAUAAAAUCACACACCCCACCCUGAUAAUCAGUCUCCAUGUCUUUCCUCACUUUAUUUUUUUUUUCAUAGACUUUAACAUCACUGAUAUAUUCGAUACCUUUAUUUGUUUAUUUAUUUACAACUUCUCCUCAUAAGAAUGUCAUUUCCAUAAGAGUGGAGACUUUGUUCUGUUCACUGCAGCAUCCUGAGCACCUAUGAGAGGGCUGGACCAUAGCUGACAGUAGACAUUCAAUAAGCAAAUGUGGAAUGGUUGAAUGAAUUGAGUUCUAGGUACUUCCUCAUUAAAUUCUCAUGGUGUACUGUUGGUUCUAUAUGUCCUACACAUCCAAAUAGUUCAAAUAAAUUGAGACUAUGUUAUGGAACACUGUUGUCUAGUUUACAUAAAAGAUGUCACCAGGGGCUCCUCAGUGGCUCAAUCAGUUAAAGGUCUGACUCUUGAUUUCUGCUCAGGUCAUGAUCUCAUGCUUCGUGAAUUUCAGCCCCACAUGGGACUCUGUGUUGACAGUGGAAAGCCUGCAUGGGAUAUUCUCUCUCUCCUUCUCUCUCUGCUCCUUCAGUUCUCAUUCUCUCUCUCUCUCUCUCUCUCAAAAUAAAUAAACUUAACAAAAAGAUGUCACCAGUAUAUCAUAAAUCCAUAAGCAUUGCACACAUGCAAAUGUUUAUGUGUGUAUGUACCCAUAAAGGUACUGAACAUUACAAAAGGAUCUUGGAUGUAGUUAAUUUAGCAUUAUUCUUGCCCUCCCCCACCCUUUAUUUUCUCUGAUAAUUGAACAUUAAAUCAUUAUUGUUAGAUAAUGCAGCUGUCUACAUCUGCAUACCAAGGAGCCAGCACCCUUUUAAUUCUACAAACUUUGCUAAUAUUCAUCUUCCCUCCAUUGCUAGUAAAGGCCUUCAGCAUCUAGCCCAGAUUUAAACAUCCAUUCAUGGCACUGUUUUUUUUUAUUUUUUCUUUGAGAAGUCAGUUAUAAAUACUAGUAGAUUCCAAGCUAAUCGAUUAGCAUUUAGAACAUUUCUAAUAUCUCUCUUCUGCCAUCCCUUAGCACUUUUUAAUACUUUAUCUUAGAAAGUAACAGAAAGGGGUGUAGAAAUAACAAAUAAGUAUUGAAGAGACACUAUUUUAUUGAAAGUGAAUUCUUAACUUGAUUUUUAAGUCCUCUGUAUGGGUUCAUCAUUAAGGAGAAAAGAGAAAAGGCAAUACUCCUUGCAACAUUUUACCUAUUUCAACUCAUGAGGCUGGUGAUCCAUUAAUUGCCUCUGGGUCCUCUUUCCUUUAUAUCACAAUGAGGCAGAAUUCAAUACGUGGUGUGGUGCAGCAAGGAGGACAGUGAGUUUGUUGUUAUUCUACCCUCCUCAGCAGCGAAAGGUUCUUCAUUAGAAGUCUCAAAGGAGUUAGAGGUUCUCCCAAAUCAGCCAUUGGUAUUGGUUUACCUCUCCACACUGUCUUCAUUCUCCCAUUCCCACCCCUAAAUGAUUAAUGAAGAUUUCCUGCAGGGAGAAAUUAAAGAAAUAAAAUUUGCAAGAAUGAGUUAAACGUUUCUAUUUUCUUCAGGAAUCUCCACACCUGAGCCUUGGUUUGGCAAAACCCAAUCUCUAGGAUGCAGUAUUGUCAUUUCAGUCACAUGGGCCUCCAGCCCUCCCAGAUGUUUGCACUGAAGACGUGCGGUUAUUGAACAGGUCAAGUGCCUGGACCACCCUUAUAAAACUUCAUUUAGUCAUAACCCAGUGUGAACUCGUAUGCCCAUACCUAUAUCUAGUCCCUGCACAGGAAGCCAGUUUCAACUAAAACCUGAGAAAAGAGCAGCAUCUUUUUAUGCAUCCGUUGAUUCAUCAACUCUGAAUGUUAAAUGCCUAGCACUCUCUCUUCUCCUGGCCUUGUUCUGUGCGUACUGUCUACAGAGCUAUGGUUUUGUUCACUGUCUCUGUGUUUUGUGUUUUCUUGUUGUCUUAAACCCUGACCAGUCAAUUAGGAUCCAUAUAUCACCUAACUGACCACUCGUCAUUUCCCCUUGACUUUCUUUCUCACUAACACCUCAAACUUAACAUGUCUCAAAGUAAAAUCAUAACUAUCUUCUUCCCUUCAAAAAAUGUUUUCUUGGAGCCCCUGGGUGGCUCAGUCGGUUAAGUGUCCGACUUCGGCUCAUGAUCUCACAGUCCAUGAGUUUGAGCCCCGCGUCAGGCUCUGUGCUGACAGCUCAGCCUGAAGCCUGCUUCGGAUUUUGUGUCUCCCUCUCUCUCUCUGACCCUCCCCCGUUCAUGCUCUGUCUCUCUCUGUCUCAAAAAUAAAUAAACAUUAAAAAAAAUUAUUUUUUAAAUGUUUUCUUCCAGUGUCCUCUAGGUCAAUACAAAGCACAACUAUCCAUCCAGAUGUUUAAUCCAAAAUUCUAACUUGUCCUUACUUCCUCUCUCUUAUUCAUCCCAUUCACAAUCAAACACCAAGUUCUGUUGUUUGUUUCCCUCAUAUUGCCAGAACACGUUCUCUUCUUUCUUUUCUGAUUACUAAAAGCUCUCAUUAUUUUUUUUUAAUUCCAGUAUUUACACCGUUUCUUAAAUUCACUUUGCAUAAUAUUUUCAGGACAUAUCUUUUAUAAAAUACAAAUCAUGUCUAUCAAUUCCAUUGUAUAAAUCCUUUGUUUCCAAUUUACUAUGGAAACCAAUUCAAAAUUCUUAAAAUGGCCUACAAUACCCAUUACAAUCUGGCUCUCCCUACUUUAAUCUCACCCCUUAGCACAGUGCCCUAUAUUCUCUCAGCUUUCACUACAAUUCCAUGAAUAUUCCAAACCAUCUGCUGGAAAUGCUCUCCCACGUUAUUAAGACCUAGGUAAUCAGCAUGUAUUGUUCAGAGGUCAGCAUUAAUACCAUCUCCUUAGAGAAGCCAUGCUGAUUGCUCAUGACAUAAUUUGCCACUACAUUCUUGAUCUUGGUAGUUUUUGCUUUGUAUUAUUUUUUAAUUUUUUAAUGUUUAUUUAUUUCUGAGAGAGAGACAGAGUGCAAGCAGGAGAAGGGCAGAGAAAGAGAGAGACAUGGAAUCUGAAGCAGGCUUCAGGCUCUGAGACUGGAGCACAGGCUCUGUCAGCACAGUCUGAUGUGGGGCUUGAACUCAGGAACCACGAGAUCAUGACCUGAGCCAAAGUCAGACACUUAACCCACUGAGUCACCUAGGCUUCCUGGAUCUUGGUAGUUUUUAAAAUUCAUAACAAUUGAGUAUGUUAUUCACAGUUUUGCUUAAUUCCCAAUUUCCCAUUCUAUUGCAAGCUCCAUGAAGACAUGAAAUCAUGCCAAGCCUGAUCACCUGAAUGCCUCAAAAUAUCUGCUGCAAUGCCUGAUAUCUAGCAAAGACCCAAAUGUUUGAUAAUUGAAUGAAGAGAAACAAUCAACGAACAAUUGUUAGAGCCAAGUCUAUGUUCCCCAACUGAUAUUUCAAUUUUAUGAAGUCCAUUCAAAAUUCCAGCUGCUGAGAGGAAAUUUGAGUAAUGUCUCUUGGUGAGUCACUAUACCUUUUUUUCAUUUCUCUCUGUUUAAAAGUGUUUUAAGUCUCAAAAAAAAAUUUCAGUAAAUAGUCCUAAUAAAUAGCAGCUAAUAAAAGAAUGAAUGUAGCAAACAAGCAAUUGAGAAAGACAAACUAAAGAUAAAUGGAGAGAAAGAAAAUCUAAAAUGACAUUAAGAGACUCUUUGAAUUUUGAAUCUAAGGAAGGUCUAAAGAACAAAUAUUCUAUUGGAAAUGUAGCAGAAAGAACAUUAGAUUUAGUUAUUUAAAAACUAGAGAUAAAACAGGCAAAAACAGUGCCUUCCUAGCUGGAGGAAGACAAUAAGCUGGAAAAUAAACAGAUGGUGAGUAUACCAAAGAUCUAACCUAGAAAGGUGUGUAUCAAUAGGAAGAAAAGCAUUAUGAUCUGUUAUAUAUUUGUCACAUGUCUCAAGACAGAAGCAUCCAUUAGCAUCCUCACAGUGGAAAAUAAGUAGCCCAGUAGGAAUGUCAAACCAGGAGGAUGAGGCUUAACAGAGCAACACUAUGCAGGACCAACCAGGCGGUUGUGUUGUUAAAAAAUCACACAAUGGCAAAGCUGAUAAAAACACAUCUGCUUUCUUUCCUUGAACACAAGACAAUAAAUGUUUCUAGCUAACUUCAAGUCUUACCCCUGGAAACUUUGAUAUCACAUAUGUGAAAUAAAUUAAGACAAGACAAAAGGAGGCAAAUUUAUUGGGACCAAAACACAAGCACAAAUUUAGAAAGCUCAGCAUGUAGAUAAUUGAAAGCAGUGAAGGAAAUUGUUUCUAGAUAGUGUUCUAAUUCACAUGGUUUAAUUUUCAACUGAUAAAGUAUGGCACAGCCUUGACCCUGAAACAUUUGAUUUAACAAGCAAAGUGCUUUGGAGGAAAAUGAUGUCUUUUCGUGGCUCUCAUAGGGAGCAAGUCUAUUAUACCACUCAGGUAGACUUUUCUAGGUAUUAAUUAGUUUUUAAUUAAUUUAUUUUCAUCAUCAGGCUUUCCAAAUUUUCUUAAUUUUACUUCCUUAUUUUAAACCCUUUACUAGUUUCUCAUUGGGUAUGUGCACCAUGAUGUGGUGAUCUGGGUUUCUACCUCCCCCAACCCUUUCCCUCCCACUCCCCCAACUCGUUCCUUCUGCCUCUUCCUUGCUGAUCUCUGAGCUGUCCCUUGAACACAUCAAGUACAUUCCUAGAAAAGGGUUUUUUAUCUCCAUUCCCUCUAACACAGGGGAUCUUAACAUUUCCCGCCCCGGAGCCCUCUCUGGAAGUCUAGCAGUCAGGCAAAGCCUAGAAUGAUGUUUGAUAAUGCAUAAAAUACAAUUCACAGGAUUUACAAGUGUAGCCAAGUAUAUUAAGAUGAAACUACCGAAGUGAUUUUUAAGCUAAAUGUGUUUAAUAAAAACAUAUAUGUUUCUGUAUUAGUUUAUCAGAAUAACAAAGAUCCAGUAGCAGAUAUAACAAUGACCACAGUGUCAAAAUAGUAGUCAGUGUAAAUAUUUUUUUUACAAUAUCCAAACACUGUUCUCUAAAAUGAAAAUGCCUUGAAGUUAUUUGGGUAACAUUACCGCUGUUGCUAUGACUCCUAUGGAUUCUUGAUAAAAUUCAAAAUUAAACAGAAUAGUAAAUUUCAGUUAGAGAUUAAUAAAGUGACAUUUUAAUUUUUUUUCUAAAUCAAGUUCAUAGACUACCCAAAUUCUAGGGGGACAUCCAGAUUGAAAACUCUUGCACAACAGAACAUUCUUUUUCAAGGUAUCUACUCUAUUCGCAUCUCAAAUCCUUUAAUUCUCUACCUGAGUGUCCCUUAUAAUGACUUUUUCCCUGAGCAGCUUAGGAGAACAGCACCUUUUGUGUUAAGUUAUUGCCUAGCAACCUAAAGCUAUGUUAUUUUUCUCAGUAGGAUUAUUGGCCCACUUUAUAUUACUCAUUUAUUUAGUAUUUCAGCUAGUAUUUCAGCUAGUAUUUCACUAGUAUUUCAGCUAUGUACAGAUAGUGUUUUUCUUCCUCCUUCAAUCGCUGCCAUGUGUCCAGCACUUAGAACAGUGCCUGAAUAGAUUGAGCCUUCAGUAGAUAUUUGUUGAAUGCAGUGGAUGAGUGAAUGAUCUUUUAGCAUGCCCUAUGAAACGCUUUAAGAUCUCACUUCUGAUAGUUUUGCUAGUUUCAUCUGGCACUGCUCCCUUUCUGUCCUACCAUGUCCCAGCCACCCUCAUCUUCUGCUUUCAGGAAGAAGCAAGUACCAUCCUGCCACAAAGCCCUCAUCAAGACAUCUCAAGCUCCCCAGAGUGGUUCUCCUUCCUCCAUCCCUUUUUCACUCUACUUGGCCUGGUGAACCCCAAAUCACCCUCAAGUAUGCGAACACUUUGCAUGAGGAAGAUCCCUCUUUAUAAGUGUAAUUUAAUAAUUAUUUGCAUAAUCUGUCAUUUAGUGUCUGUUGUUUAAGCUACACUAUAGCUCAGUGGAAGCAAGUCACUAGCAUUUAGAAGUGCCCAACCAACAUUUUUAGGGGUGCAUAGGUGGCUCAGUUGGUCGAGUAUCUGACUUUUGAUUUCGGCUUGGGUUGUGAUCUCAUGGUUCAUGAGCUCAAGCCCCAUGUUGGGCUCACACUGAGAGUGUAGAGCUGCUUGGGAUUCUCUGUCUCCCUCUCUCUCUCUGCCCCCCCCCCCCACCUUGAGGACACACAUGCCUGCUCUCUCUCUGUCUCCCAAUAGAUAAAUAAGCUUAAAGAAAUAAAACCGAAGUGCCCGAUCAAUGUUUUAAAAAAUAAAAUGAAUAAACCAAAGAAGUCACCAAGACCACCAUCUACAAAUUCUUCUAAAUGUAAAACUUGGAACAUAACAAAGUUAGUUGGCCUAGCUUGAGCAAUCACUGCUUGCACCUGUUGUCUUUGAAUUAAAUUCUAAUGAGAUGGCAGAGACCACUCAUAAAUAUUUAUGAAGAGAAGGAGUUUGGCACAAACUGCCACUGGGCUGCAAACCCCAAGUGAUGUUAUUUCUUGUUCAGUAGCUUUCCAGUAUCACAGCCACCAGUUCCAUCCUAAAGUGUUGCCAAAAAUUUGAUCUCCAGAAGGAGCUUCUUUUUUCUAGCUUGAUUGUAAAGCCUGAAUUUAGAACAGACUCAACAUUUUCAUAUAAUUUUAUCUUAGGGGCAAUAAGCUUCUUCGUUUUCUCCUAAAACCACUAAUUUUUAGUAAACAAAAUACUAUGUAAGAGAUAUGUUUCAUAUAAAGUAAGCAGUGUAAACAAAAGGAACAGCAGUCUCCUUUUUCUUAGUCCGAUUGUUUACAGUCCUGGUUAGGAGAGUGAUGUUGGAUCUUAGGAGUGAAGAAUAUUCAGUGCAGAUGUCUGAGUUAAAGGAGGAUUUGUAAAAACCCAAACCAAACCAAGUUAACAAAAUCAGAAAUAUUGUUGGAGUCCUCAAGAAGUGUAAGUUAAUACGUUUGAGGGGCAACUUCUAAAUACAAUUUCAUGUCUUCAGAACACACUUUCAGGUUUUCUAUCAUCAAUACAGAUAUUUUGUCACAUUUCUUGAAUAUUUCAUUACUAUCUGUCUGGUUGUGAUUAGCUGGUUAGAAUGUUUUUUUAUGCCAGUCCACUCUGUCCUUAUUAACUGUCAUAAGACUGUACCUCGGUGCCAGUAUUUGGCUAGCGUUCUCACAAAGUAUUGAAAAACUGAUAGUUUCAUCAACGAACAAGGCAGAAGAUGUCAGUAUUUUUAUAAUACAAAAAAAAAAAAAUUCAGGAAAGUUAAGUAGAUUAUUCUGAAUUUUAAUUCCAGGUAAUUAUUUGAGAGCAGAAAAAUAACUUAAUUAGUGUCAACAUUGUUACCUGGAAGUAAUUUUUGCUUAUAUCUAACAUUCUAGAAAAUGAAGCAAACACACCCAAGGAUCUCUUCAGAGUCACAGAAAUAUUGAUAGUUGUAAGAGAGAAUUUUUUUUCACAAAUUUGGAGCUAUUAUAGAGGGUUAUUUUAAAAACACAUAAGCCUGUUAUUGAGAUGGUUACUAGUAAAAUGAAUUAAAGCACUGAAAAGAAAGAAAUUAUUUUGGAUAAAGAUUAAUUGAUAUAUUCAUGAAUUAUUUUUAUAAGAGCUUGGAGCUUUUAAUAAAAAUUUCCAUGACAAAUGGUAUACCCUGUCAGUAUACCUAUAAAAGAGAGAUGGUGAUUAAUGAUAGAAUUCUACAUCUCGGACCUGGGUUCCAUUGAUCAUAGUAAAGUCAUGACACUGUUGCAUUUCACUAGAAGGAGCCCCAUGCUUGGCCUGUUCAUGUGUUUGCGUGCACAUAUAUAAUUGGCACUGGCCAUUGUUUAGCGAACUCUAUAAUGUGAUCACUGAAGCAAGAGGCAAUUUUGCUCUGUAUAUUCAUACCCAUACUCACAAACAUUCCUUCUCUCUUUCACUCUCUGUCUCUCUCACAGAUACACAUACACACGUAGGUUCACAAAGCUAGUUUUGAGAAAAGGCAGGCAACAACUUUUGUAGUUAUCUACACUGCACAAUAUAAACAACUAAGCUUCAUACCAGUAGGAAACAAGUGAGCAGUCGUUUCUUAGCAAUGUACUGAUUUUGAAAAAAUCUUUUUGGUUCAUCUUUGUAAAAAAAUAUUUGCUUAUGGAUAAUUUUUGCAAGUCCAACUGUGAGUUUUGCUCACUUGUGCCCAUCUGCAUGCAAUGCGUUUUGCUCAUUGAGUAAGAAAUCAGUUGCAAAACAGCUACUUCUUGAAAUUAACAUCUGAAAAGCCAAACCAGUAAUCUCUCUCAUCAGCUUCAAUAUAUUCCAUUAACAUCAAUCAUGUUCUAUGUGGCAGAUAUUUUUUAGGCAACAGGAAUAUAAAGCAUCUGUAAGGGUGGAAGAGAAGGAAGUUUAUAUUAAAAUAAUAGGAGAAGCAAGCAAUUCUGAAGAGGCAGUGAUUAACUCAUCUUAAGCAGGGAAAGGAAGGGCUCAGAAAGAAUUGUACAUUUGAAUAAGAGUAUAUAUUUUGAGGAAGGAUAAAUUGACAACAGGGUGAUAAAGCAUUAAGACCAUGAGAUCAUCAUAUCCCCUUUUGAACCAAGAUCACAGAGUAGCAUCCGGAUAUGCCAGAAGGAAGGGAGCCGGGAAUAACAUAUAUGUAUGUGUGUAUGUAUAUAUGUACAUACACACACACACACACACACACAGCAUGUCAAACUAGAUGACAUGUUAAGGAAUAAAUCAUGAAACAUGAAUACACAUUAAAUCACCUAUGUACUUUUCAAGAGAAAAAAAGUAAACCACAGUACUAUUUAUUCUUCAUCCAUGUAAAUAGCAGACCAACUUCAUGAAGAAAGACAUUUAAAUUAGAAAUCAGCUUGAGCACCUUCUCAUCAUGUUUGAUCUUGUUGUCUCUACUCAUGCUGGUGGCUGGAGGGCCUGGUCACAGGUUGCACAGACUGUGUUCAGGGCCUCCCAGACCCACUCUGAUGCUGUUUUACCCAGGAAGACACUCAAGUAGAGAGAAAUACAACAGUAUGUUCAAAGCACGUGAAUAGGUGGAAAUGGCCAUAGCUUCAAACAUAUUUCAUAAGGAUUCCUAUUAUUUCUGACCGAGGCAAUUUGAAUGGAAUAGGUUGCCUCUGUCAGGGUGGGAAUGGGCAGGGAAUGUUGGAGAAAGGGGACUCAGCGCUUUCUUUUGUCUGUGCUGUUUUCUAAGGAACCUCCCCUAAGAAAUGAACUAAUUUCAGGGUUUUGUUUUGCCAUGUAGAUUAUUUAAACUAAGGUUGGAAUCUCUGGAAAAUAAAAAAAGAUUUGGAGAGAUUCUCUGGGGAAGAAAGGAAUGAGACUGCUAAUAACCAGGAGGGUUUCAGUGGGUAAAACUAACAGAAUUUCAAAAUAUACCUUAGAGAAUUUUCCUGUAAGGUGGGCAUCUCUCCCUGAAAUCUUUAGUUAAAUCUGCAUUACUUGCCAUAACAUACUAUGGUUGGAUUGUUGGCUUUCUAACGUGUCAUUGUACGAACCACAAUGUGAAGUAAGAGCUGAGAGUAUUGAUGGGAGGCCAAGCAAAUAUGGAUUUUAACUGGAUUUUGUAAAUUAUAAAGUAUUAUGUUCUUUAUUGAAAGAAAUAUAAGCUGUUAAUUAAAUAUGAACAAUUAUAUAUGAAGCUUUUACUAGACACACGUUAAGAAAAUAAACUCAAUCCUGCACUGUUUAGAAUAUAAUUAAAAAUGCUGAAAUAAGGAAUUCUAAUGAUAAAAAAUGUUUAAUUUUAGCCAUUUUUGGUGGGAUAAAGAGAUUUCUUGCCUUUUUUUUAAAAUUUUUUCUUUUCAGAAGGAAAUAUGAUGAUGCUACAUGUAGCCAACAAGUCUUGUUUAGAACAUGGCCACUUUGGGGCGCUUGGGUGGCUCAGUCAGUUGAGCAUCCUUCUCUUCAUUUCAGCUCAGGUCAUGAUCCCAGGGUCAUGGGAUUGAGCCCCCUGAUGGGCUUAGGGUGGAGCCUGUUUAGGAUUAUCUCUCUCUCCCUCCUUCUCCCUUGCUCACAUUUUCUCUCUCUCAAAUUAAAAAAAAAAAAAAAAGUUAAUUAAAAAAUAAUAAAUAAAACGUAGCCAUCUUGUUUUGUUUGUAUUAUAAUAAUUUAUUCGUGAGUACUUACUAUGCUCUUGUCAAUAUAUCCUGCAAUUUUACACAGGGAUUUAAGGAAGAGCUUUGAGACACAUCUGUGUUUUAUAGGUGUGGAUGCUGAAGUACCCAGAAGAGAAGUAGGAAGCAUUCCCACCAUCCCAGGGAGACAAUACUGCUAAGUGAGGAUUCACACCUAAGCCGUUCACCCCUAGUCCACAUGCUUGCUCCAACAGUGCUCUGCCAGGUCAGGAAGGGAGCUGCGGUUGGGGGCUGGGGUACGGCCAGGAACCAGCCCCGGAGGGGAGCGGCAAGGCUGCCUGUAUGUGAGGCUUGAAGAGAGCAGCCCAGUAUCAAGACUCAGGUUCACAGUCAAUAUACAUCCAAAGUUUAAUUGAAAUUGUAAAAGCAGGGGCGCCUGGGUGGCGCAGUCGGUUAAGCGUCCGACUUCAGCCAGGUCACGAUCUUGCGGUCCAUGAGUUCGAGCCCCGCGUCAGGCUCUGGGCUGAUGGCUCAGAGCCUGGAGCCUGCUUCCGAUUCUUUGUCUCCCUCUCUCUCUGCCCCUCCCCCGUUCAUGCUCUGUCUCUCUCUGUCCCAAAAAUAAAUAAAAAAGGUUGAAAAAAAAAAUUAAAAAAAAAAAAAAAGAAAUUGUAAAAGCAAAAUGACAUGUUUUGUUUUUUCCUCUAGCGAAUGCUAGCUAUCUCCCACGCAGAGUGACUGGUACAACUCCAGCCAAGUUAUCUACAAAUAGAAACAAUUUCAGAUUCCUCACGCGUUAGUAUUUCACAAUAGAAACUUUGUUUCAUUUUUCUUUUAUUCCAUAUACAUGUAUGGUGCACAUAUACAUUUUGUAUUUGUCUAUGUUGUGGGUUCCAUGUCCAUUACUGCCAAGCUGAGCAUCUUUUCUGAGAGAAGUAUCUCUGAAAACGUAAUUCCUAAAGUUACUUUUUAAACAGUCUUUAGAUUUUAGUUAUUUUUUCUUAAUCUUCAAGGAGCUUUGCUGGUAUUUCUCUUCUGUUUUUGUGGGGGUUUUUUGUCUCUUUUCGCUUCCUAUACUGUAAAACUAACUUGUAGAUGUUUCUCUCUGCCUUUUCAGAAACACCAUGACUCCUCUCUGCUACCAGUUUUUCAGUGUUGCACUAAAUUUCUCGCUUGGGGCGGUCUUCAUUCCUGCUUUCUUUGGGUACGAACCCCGAGUACACCACUAACCUCAGACCUGUCCCAGACUGAUUUUCAGCUCUCAGCUCUCUCUCACUCCCAGUGGGCUGAGAGGGAGAAUUUCUUCUGCCUGACGGUUUGGGUGAAAUAAGGCAUAUACCACAGGAAACAGCAUGUUCAUUUUCCUGUGACCUUUUCCUGAUUUCCUUUCCAAAGAUUCUUCGGCCCCUAAUGUUUUCCAAGCCCCAUUGCUCAGUACAUUGAAGAUGAACUUUAAUCCAAAUUAUUGCUCUAAUCCCUAGCCCUCUCUUUGGCUUUAACACAUUUUAUUGCUGCUCCACCAGAGACCCUUGAUAUUAAGAACGAACUUUUCCUCAAGGCAAAGUCAUAAUUAAGCAAUAAUAUAACCAAUGUUUUUUACCAAAAGCCUGGAUUAAGGUGCCCUAGAAAGCCACUCAGUGUGUUUACUGGAAAUAUCUUUUUGAGGUGGAAAACAUUACAAGUAUAUAGUUGCAGUCUUCAUGAUGGAGACCACAAAAAACAUUUCUCUCAUGAAUCAAAAUUAGAAAUUAUUCAUCACACUUUCAUCUCUUGAACACUGAUCCGUCUACCUGAUUGUGUUUCUUUCUCCACAUUAACUGUUUAAAUGGCUUUGAGACAAAUAAUGUUUCACUUCUAGCACAUGCACAGAAUUUCGUGACCUCUCAUCCUGCUGCACCUUGUUUUGCUAUCUCACUAUAACCCCAUCGUGUCUCAUUUUUCUCACCUAUUUUAAUUUUAUUUUGUCCUGCAGACAUCUUUGCCAGCCUCCGUAAAAAUUUUGUAGAAUACAACAGUGUAUAUAAAUUAUACUUAAUUAAAGAAAUUCAACAAAGGAAAUUCCGAGGGGAGGUUCCAGUUUGAGCAAUAACAAAUAACAUUUACAUGUCGUUAUAUCAAUAGUUGUAAAUAUUUAAAAAAGUAACUAAAAAUAUAAAUCUAAAAUGACACUCAAAUGUAUGGGUAAAUAUAAGCCAAACUCCUUAAUUUGGGCGUGGGGGUGGGAGGGGGGAGGCUUUAUGAUGUCUGUAUUAAGUGUUGGUGGGCUGAAUCUACAUAAAGUUUUACUGGAACUCAGCUACAUCCACUCAUUUAUAUAUUGCCUGUGACUGCUUUCAGCCUACCUACAAUAGCAGAGUUAAGAAGUUGUGACAAAGAGCAUUUGGCCUACAAAUUCGAAAAUAUUUACUAUCUGACCUUUUGAAAGAAAGUGUUUGCUGACCCCUGGUCUAGAUGAUUGUGUUAAAUUUGCUGAGCUAUCUUCAGUCAGUGACUGUUGCACCUGUGCGGUGCCACCUAUGGGGAGCUGGCAGGCCGAAGCUGGAAAUGUGCUAUAGUGUAUGUAUCUGCUAAAGAAAUACCGGAAUCUGGUUUUUCCAUCAGUAUUAAUUACAACACAGUCCUUUGGGGUCAAACAUACUUAUCAGGGACAGUUAUUUAUUUUAGAGCAUGUGUGCAAACGUAAUUCACAUAUCUAUCUUUGUGGGGUGAAUACCCAGGCAAUAUAUAAUAGAUUCGUUAUGUAACAAAACAAUCUCCAUGUACAUGGAGAAAAUAUUCAAUUGUCCUAAUGGACUCACACAUGAUGCAGUUCAUAUACUUAAGAUACUCUUCUACUUAAAAAAAAAAAUGAACUAAAUUUGUCAGGAGACCAAACAUUCCCUAGUAUAAACAAAAUGGGUAACCUCUGUUUUGAUCAGCUUAAUCCAACUACACAUCUCACAAAAGCAAAGCCAUCUUUUUCCACCCAUAUCAUAUGUGUCUGUCUGCAUGUUUGGGAAAGGGCUAUGAAACCUAAGGGGAGUUAUUAUGUUACUGAUGAAAAGCUCAAAUCUGUAACACAUAUGUGCAUUUCAGUAUAUAGUAUCUGCUUAUUUUCAUUAAAUUGCAUUAAAUGCUUCAAUAUGUAACGGAGUCAUCUUCCUUAGGAAGCGUACACUUGUGGAAUUCUUUGUGGUAUCCUUGGGAAUCCCUUUACCAUGUAUCCAUGGCAUUCUGCCCCUACGAGGCUCAUUCCUUCCUGUCCCCUGGUAUAUUUAUUAAGACAGGGGAAUUUUUCCUUUCUUACUCAAAGAUUUUGCUCUUGUCCCCAAGCUACUGUUUUUGAACUGAAAGAAAAGUCAAAGUAUGAUAUAUCUGAGGAAACAAUAUAACAUUACUAGAAAUUACUGCAUGAUAUCUGUUUUUUUACUUAAAGACAGAAACAGAAGUUUUCUCUCAUUUUUUCCCCCUUAAACUACUGUACUUCAGACCUAAGCUGAGGCCUGAAGUAGCGGAACAAAGAAAGCUGGUAUUUUCCAAGAAAGGGGAAUUCACUGUUCAUACACAUUCACUACAGUAGUCUAUGGAAAUGAAUAAUUAUCUUACAAAAUUCUAUUCUCUGCUGUAGGGCAUGCAAGUCUACAUAUGAAUGUUUUUAAAAAGUAGUUGAUUUUAAAAUUUCCUCUUUCAACAUUCUUUGAUUAUGUUAUUACCAGAAAAAAAAUAAAUGCAAACAUACCUCAAUAUUUAAAUAUUAUUUUAUAAAUAUGCUUUUGUAAGCAUCUGAUAACGCACAGCAGUUUAUCUUUUUACUUCUUCUAAGUUAAUCAUUCGUCUUUAUAUCCACUUUGACAUUAGUGUGCCAAGAGAGGUAUUAGAUACCAGAUAUAGAGUUUCUUUCUUUUUUUUUCUUAAAGUUUAUUUAUUUUUGAGAGAGAGAGAAAGGGAGACCGAGCGAGAGCAGGGGAGGAGCAGAAAGAGAGGGAGACACAGAACUGGAAGUGGGCUCCAGGCUCCGCAUUGUCAGCAAAAAGCCAGACUCGGGCUCAAACUCACAAACUGUGAGAUCGUGACCUGAGCUGUAGUCGGAGGCUUAAGUGACCGAGCCACCCAAACGCCCCAUACAGGGUUACUUUUUUUUCACAUUUAUUCAUUUUUUGAGAGACAAUGUGAGUGGAGGAGGGGCAGAGAGAAGGACACAGAAUCGGAAGCAGGCUCCAGGCUCUGAGUUUGUCAGCACAUAGUCAGAUGUGGGGCUUGAACUCACGAGCUGUGAGAUCAUGACCUGAGCUGAAAAGUCAGACGCUUAACCUACUGAGCCACCCAGGCACCCCUACAGGGUUUCUUUUUAACCAAACUUAACUUCAUGUCCCAAAUCCAUCUUAUUUAUAAGUUUUCCACUUUAUUAGCUGAAAGUCAUCUUCGUGUUAAUUUUGAGGGCAAAUAACCCAUUUUUCUGAAAUAUAGAAAUCAGAGACACAAAGUGCUAUUUAUUUUUUUGUGCACAGAAAAGCAAGUGAGAUAUCAGGAAAAGAUCAUUCUAGAUAAACUUUAAUUAUUGCUUUUUAAUUUCAAUUACAAAUAUAUGGAGGAUGUUUGCCUCCUAGAAAGAAUAAAAAAUUGUGUGGCUGGGAGGCAUAUAUGAUACUGUGGUAUAUACUAUAUGAUCAAUAAGUGUAAUCAGGAAAAUACCUGUAAUUGUGAAAAUCAAGGAAGUGCAGAGCUUGAUAAGACUGUUUUUCUCAUCUGGGUGAGUCAUUAUAACCAGCAAACUUACACUUAAUGGUUUAUAGACCUGUGUUUACACUCAUCCCAGGAUUGAUGUAGCUUUGCCACAUUUUAUACCCUAGUGGGGGAUUUCCAGGAAGGUAGCAGACAUGAAGAGAUGACUAUCACAGCACUAACCUGUAGGCACUUGUCAGUCACGGUCCACAUAACUGACUUUCUGAUUUUUUCUAUUCUACUUUUAGAAGAGGAGAAUCAGUAUCAGAGAGCAGGAACAGGAAGAAUUUUGUCCUAAGUCUAGGUGCUUAUACCAAAAGGAAAUAAGCAAUUCUUCAUCAAGUUUAGGUGGAAGAAGUAAAAUAAGUAUUAAAAUAAUAUUUGUUUUUAUGUAUAUAAGUUGAAUGUCUUUUAGAAUAGCUCACUUAUGUAAAAUAUAAUUCAGAAUUUAUUAUUGGUAGUAAUGGCAAUGAUAAUAUAUUUUUAAAGUUUAUUUAUUCAUUUUGAGAGGGAGAGAGAGGCAGAGAGAGAGAGAGAGAGAGAGAGGAGAGACAGAGGAUCUCAAGCAGAUUCUGUGUCAUCAGCACAGAGCCCCAUGCGGGGCUCGAAACCUUGAACUGUGAGAUCAUGACCUGAACUGAAAUCAGGAGUUAGAUGCUUAAAGACUGAGCCACCCAGGCGCCCCAGUAAUGACAAUAAUUAAUAGCAUAAUAAGAGUAUAUAUGUCAGUCACUGUUCUAAGCAAUUGUACAUACUUAACCUGUAAAAUCUUCAACCUUUCAUAAAAAGUCUGAAACAAAAGAAAGUAAAUAAUUUGUCCAAGUUGACACAGAAAGGGCAGACACUCCAGAUCCAAACCAUCUCUCCAAGCUCUUAUUCAAAUAAACAUGUAUGUAACUUGAAGUCUUAGAUUUUUAUCAAAAUCCUUCCAGCUUUAGUAUUACACACAGUUUCUACUGCAAAAGAGGUACUCAAAAAUAUUUGCUUCAGUGAAUGAGUCACAUAUGAUUUAAGAGCUAUAGACUGUAGUGUUUAAAAGCACCAACUCUUCACCUAGGAUUGGUGGCCCUGAGUAAAAUCUCUCUGCUCUGCUUCACUUUUCUGUUGUGUGGAGAUAAUAAUAGUACUUACCUCAUAGUAUCAUAGAUGAUAUAAUGAACUACAUUCACAAAGUGCUUAGAAUAGUACCUGGCACAUAGGAAGCACUACGGAAUGUUAUUGAUGAUUAUGAUUAUGCUUUUGUGAGUUACAUGUGUCCCUCCAAAACAUGUGUUGAAGUCCUAAUACCCAAUGAAGAUGACCUUGAAAAUAGGAUCUUUGCAAGAUGUAAUCAGGUUAAAAUGAGGUCAUACUAGUAUUUAGAGUGAGCCCUAAAUUCAAUACUUGUGUCCUUAUAGAGAGAAAGAAAUUUGGAGUUACAAAGAGACACAGGGAAGAAGGUCAUGUAAUGACAGAGGCAGAGAUUGGAGUUAUGGGGUCACAAGCCAAGAAAGGCCAAGGAUUGCAAGCCACAAACUGGGAAGAGACAAUAAAGGACUCCUCCCUUCAGAGGGAGCAUGGCUCAGCCAACACCUUGAUUUUGGACUUGUAGCCUCCAGAACGGUGAGAGAAUAUUGUUAUUGUUAUUAUUGUUACUAUUAUUUAGCCUCAGGACAAAAUUUAUUAAUUCAGUCUGAACUCCCUAUCAGCCAUUAUAUGUUUAAAUUUAGUCUACUCAUCAUAAGUCUUGAGUGUUUCAGAAUCAGAAUGCAAAAUUUGGAAGUGAAAGUGAAGUUUGUGAAUUUCAAGUUGUUCACACCAGGUAGUGUGAAUAUUUUAUUACUGGUCCCCACCUUACAUCUCACAGAUGGUAAUUAUCAGACUCUAUCACUCUGAGAAACCACCCGAAGAAUUAAACUAGAAGGAAUUCAGCACAUAUUCCUAAAGGAUUGUGCCAUUUUGAAAUCUGGAAAUUCAUUUUAUUACUUGGUUUCUUCUGGUUAAAUUAUUUUAAAGAUUUAUUCUCUUAUCCCUGUAUCAAGAAUGUGUUUUCUGCUGCUCAUUCCCAGAGAAAAGGCAAUGAACAGUCCUGGCAAAGCUUAUCACUUUUGCUGAAUUAUAAUAUGGUAAAUUAAAUACUGAGAUUUAAAUUAAACUAUCAGAUGAGAUGAUGGCAUGGUUUCCAGACCUGAGAAUGAGUUCAUGUUCUCUUUUUGGGCCAUGACCGAAGAAAAGUAUUUCAUCCAUGGGGAGGAGUAUGGAGAAAUAAACUUUUUAUGUUAUGGAGCAGAAUUUGCUAGCUAUGCACUCCUAUUUCGUUGGAGCCAGUGUAUGUUUUGGAGGUAUAUGUGUUAUAUCACUUAGCGUACUCUAAAAAAGAGAGAAGGAAAGAGAGAAGGAGAGAAAGAAAGAAAGAAAGAAGAAAGAAGGAGAGAAAGAAAGAAAGAAAGAAAGAAAGAAAGAAAGAAAGAAGAAAGAAAGACACAUUGUAAUGUGUCUUCUCAGUUGGUCAUGACAUCAAGUAAAACAAAUGAUACAAAAAUAGCUAGAAUAAGAAAAAAAAGAUAGAGAAAAUUGAUGUAUUUUGUAUUCCUGUUAUGAGUUCUAUUUCUUUCAAUUCAGCCUCAAAGGUCAAACACCAUUACAUCAAAAUUUUAAUUCUUGGAAAGAUAAGAAAGGAAAUUUGCUCGCAUAUGUGUAGGAUAUGUGUUUAUGUGUGCACUCUAUCAGGUGAUUCUAAAAUCAAUACUGUAAGUUGAUAUGUGCCAUCGAGAGAAAAGAUGUAAUUCAAUCUGAUAACAUAGCAAUAUAUAUAUAUAUAUAUAUAUAUACACACAUACAGAGAGAGAGAGAGAGAGAGAGGAGCACAGAGAGAGAGAGAGAGCCUUUAGCAGGCUCCACACUCAACACAGAGCAGGCUUGAUCCCACAACCUUGGGAUCAUGACCUGAGACGAAAUCAAGAGUCAGAUGCUCAACCGUCUGAUUGAGGCUCCCCUAUUUUUCUUUUUACUAAAAAGUAGAUUAUCACUCCCAUUUUUUCUCAUUCAAUUCAGGUUUCAUAAUAAUGAUAAAUCACUUGAAAUUAAAUCAGAUAGAUGACAGUCUUCAGAAAUUAAUGUUGUGAGAAAAGAAAUAUGCAUAAAUCAUAUAAAUAUAGGGGAAAAUAUGUUGUUUUUUAUUUUUUAUUUAAUAUAAGUAAAUAUCUCAGAUCAAAUUUCAAGACACAUAGUAAGGAGUAUGGUAGCUAAGCGGUCAAUUUGGUUUUGCCAAACACUACAUUCCCUUACAUAAUUCUCUCCUCAUCGUACUCUUUAUAAUCCACUCACUCUUCCAGAAACUGAAAAAUAAAGAAAUAAUGGCAGUCAUCAAGUUAUUUAUCCUUUGUUCAUACAAAACUCUUUAUGAAGUCCCAAUGCAUACAGUGCAUUAGGAAAAAUGAAUGAAAUAAGACAACUAAGAGAACAGGUACUCAUUCAAUAGGUUUUACGGGAACAUACAAGACAAUCCAUCUACAAGUGAACAGAUAUUUCUCUUCCCUGGUGGUUUGGCCUUGACACAGGUGAUCUUCCCCUGGCUAUCUCUUCUCUCACAGCUAUUCUCUCCCUGAAAUUCACAUAUCUGGAAAACAAGGGCAGAGAUAUAUGCUCCCACAUUGUGAAGCAGAUGUGCAGACUACUGUGAACUGCAAUCACAUUAAAUGCUACCAAGUACACAUAUUUAGUGGCUUUUUAGGAAACAUGAAUGAGAAAUGGCAACGGUCUCAAUGAUCUAGCAUUUGAAUCUCGAUCAAAGUCAUAGGGAAAUUUCCUUAUUAUACCUUAGAUAGUUUGCAUGUGGGUCAUUAUAGGAUCAUUUGAUCUGAAGCUGAUGUAAUUAACUAAUUGGAAAUUAUUUAGGAAUUAAAAAUACUAAUUAGAAAUUAGUAUUUUGUGCUUUUAAAUGAAGAUUAUAAUAAGUUAGAGUGUGAAUUUUAAUUUACUUUUAGACUAAAUGGUUGUGUUAAUCUACUAGAACUACCAUAACCAAGUAACACAGGCUGGGUGGCUUAAGCAACAGAAAUUUAUUUUUUCACAAUGCUGGAUGCUAGAAGUCCAAGAUUAAUUAAAGGUGUUGGCAGGUUUGAUUUCUUCUACAGGGGAUGGAAGAUUGGCUUGCAGAUGGUGAUCUUUUCUCUGUGUCCUCUGUAGUCUUCGCUUUAUCUUUGUUGUAUGUGUCUUAAUCUCUUCUUUUAAAGGACACUAAUCAUAUAGGAUCAAGGUUCCCCAAAUGGCUCCCCCCCUUUUUUUAACUUAAUUGCCUCUUUUAAGGCCCUUCCUAUCUCCAAAUGCAGUCACAUUCUGAGGAGUUAGGACUUUAACAUGUGAAUUCUGAGGAGACACAAUUCAGCCCAUAAGAAAGGUGUAACUCAAACAUUCAGAUAUUACUGUAAAGUUAAAUUUAGCUAAGAUGUGAAACUAAGUACCCCUCUGAAACAUGAAAGAUGAAAUAAAACUUUCUAAAACAUUAAAUUUAAUCAGAUUUCAAAUUUGGUAGCUAAUUAGUUUAGCUAGGCUUAUAUUUUUCUUGAAACUCUAAGCUGUAAAGGAUCCACUCCAGACAAAAAUGAAUUUCUCAUAAUAUCUAAAAUGAAAAAAAAAAAAUUCCAAAACCUACCAGAUCGGUAGUACUUGUUUGCAUAUAUAGAGGACUUUUAUUUUUUAAGAUGUAAAGGGCCAGAGGUGGGGGAAGGAGGGGGAAGAGGGGAAGAGUGACCCUCAGGCUCUUCCCUACCAGCAGCUGGUGUCUCUUCAGCCCUCUUUAGAGGGCUUUUAAAUGCUGUGGUAAUAUUUUUAAACUAAUUUCCUCCUGCUUCAUAAUUAGAGAUACUCAUUUCUCAUGUAAUCUCUAACCAGUCACAAUUAUUUGAGCUGUUUUAUGACAAUGAUUAUUUUGUUCAAUAUAAAAUACAAAUAAAAGAAUCUCUAAAGAUUGAACUAUGCUGCUAAGAAUGAGGGGCAUUUUUGAGAACAGAAAAAGAAACAAAAAAAGUGGUAUGUAAUAUGAUAUGCUUUUGUCUCUCAAAUAUCUCAACUGUCCACAGGGAGAGGUUUGGGGCAGUAAAAUUAUAGAGUUUAAUUUUUUUUAAUUAUUGCUUUGACCUAAAUCAAACUGAAAAAACUGCUAGGGUAAGAAUUUAGGCUACUUUCUGUCAUGUGCUUUUUUUUAAGGAUACGUUUUAUUUUUUUUUUUUUAAUUUUUUUUUCAACGUUUUAUUUAUUUUUGGGACAGAGAGAGACAGAGCAUGAACGGGGGAGGGGCAGAGAGAGAGGGAGACACAGAAUCGGAAACAGGCUCCAGGCUCUGAACCAUCAGCCCAGAGCCUGAUGCGGGGCUCGAACUCACGGACCGCGAGAUCAUGACCUGGCUGAAGUCAGAAGCUUAACCGACUGCGCCACCCAGGCGCCCCUAAGGAUACGUUUUAUAGGAAGGAAGAAUGAGACGUUAACAUCCAAGGCCUAAGUGAAUGUGUGUUUGAUGGCGAAUGGAAUGGUUGCCAAGGGUUGAGGUGUCUAAGAAGAGUUGUUGGGCAAUAUUGGCUGGUGGGUGAAAUGGAAGAAGAAACAUGCUAGAGGUGCAAGUGAGAAAAUGUGAGAAUGUUUGAGACGCUGAACAAAAUACUCACUUAAGGGUAUUAUUUCAGAUCAGCACUUUAAUCGUACAGACCUAAGAGUACCAAACAUUUUAACUGUGUUCAUUUUUUUAUCUUUAAAAGUUUCAAAAGUCUCUCCUCCAGUUGAUAGUUCCAGAAUCCUUACAAAUUAAUUGUAAUCAGUUGAAUCACUGAAGAUUAGGCUUGGUCAUUAAAAAUUUUUAUUUUUAUUUUUUUAAGUUUACUUAUUCAUUUUGACAGAGAGAGAGACAGAGAGACAGAGAGAGAGCGUGCUUGUGCAUGCGCAUGAGCAGAGGAGGGGCAGAAAGAGAGGGAGAAGAGAGAAUCCCAAACAAGCUCUGUACUAUGGGCACUGAGCCCUGUGCAGGGCUUAAACUCACAAACUGGGAGAUCAUGACCAGAGAUGAAAUCAAGAGUUGGAUGCUUAACCCACUGGGCCACCCAGGCGCCCCAAUCAUUAAAAAUUUUUAAACAAAGAUAUUCUGGGGAUACAAAAGUCAAUUUAUUAAUUCAAAUAAAUACAUUUAAAAAACCAACAGUAGCAUUUUGCUAUCAAAAUUCUGCAUAGCCCUUCAUACACCUGCCUUCACAAGCAUGUUUCCAAAUGAUUUAGUACUUUUUGGUGCUCUCAUUGGUGGCUUUCUCAAAAGUAUUUUCAUCUUGUGCAAAUUUUAGAAUCUGAAGCAGAGCCUUAUUUGAAUGAAAUUCUUACUAAGAGUAAAAGGUUUUUUUCCUGAUUCUCCUUGAUAUUAUCUUUUUUAUCCUAAGGGCAUAUAUCAUAGCAAUUGAAAUUAGGGACUUUCCAGUAAAAUAGACAUGGCUCAGGGAGCCCCUCUUCCUUUAGUUACAUGUGUGAUUUUUUAAGCAAGUUACUUAACCUAUGUUAUUUAAAAGGGUUAUUAAGUGGAUUCAAUGAGAUAGUGGUGGUUACAUUCUUUUCAGAUCACGUUACUGUUUCUAACUGCGCAGAGUUUAUUCUACAUAUGUACAUUAUUUUAAGAUAUGUUUUCAAUAAUACAUAAAGUGACAGAACUGUUUGCUCUAAGAAUUCCUUCAGCAGAAGUACAACUCAGUUUAUCAAAGACAAUUAAAAGUGCACUUGAUACUGAUUUAAGCUUGGUCUAUGGAUGAUAAGAGGCUCAGGAAACCAUAGGGAGAUUUUAAGGUGGACUCUGGAAGGUUAUUCCAGAUAGGACCAAGAAGCACAUGUCUUUUGUGACUAAUGAGAGCCGAUCCCCAGAAUAAGCAGCAAUAUGGAAGAAGAUGGCUGUCCUUUGCAGCCUUAGACUCUCAGUGCACAUGAAGGAAAGGCUUUGAAAGCCACGGCGACAAGCCUCCAUCCUGGUGUCAGAGUUGCUGCAAAGGCUGCGGUUGUUUGCAACCACGCAUGUGUUUGAAAGUAACAAACACUUAUUAGAUGCCCUGUUUAGUUGCUGUGGUUGCUGGCGUUACAACAGUUAAUACACAGUUCCUGCUCCCCAAGGCUUUAGUUUGGCCAAAAAGAAGACAGUAACAUUGUAAAACCAAUGGAAGGGCACCAGAAGGUAAUGCUUAAGGAAAUAGAUUUAAAAAAAAAGAGGGAAAGAAUUGGUAAUCUUAAGGUUGAAUUUAUUCCAGUGUUUAAGUUUUUGAAAAUCUGUCUUAAAUAUUUUAUUUUCCAAAACCCUAUUCAAGAAUGUAAUUAGUAUUCAUAUUAAUUGUCUAAUUAAAGGGAAUUUUUUGUUUGUCUGUCUAGAAAAGUCUGUACUAGCAUCCUUGCUUUUCAGACUUCAGUGGCAAGGUGAAACUAAUAUGCCUGGUUGUGAGAGAAGUUACCUUGCUCUCCAGUGGAUGUUAAUUACUUGAAGGCAAAAAGCAGAAGUUCUUAUCUUGGGCCUAUAGCCUCCCAGAAUUUCUUAGUUAAAUGAUGUGUUUAUGUAAAUAUUUUAGGUAAGAGGAUCUUAACUCUUACCAGAUUUUCCAAGUGAUGACCAAAAACUAAAAAGCAACAUUUACUUAGGGGGAUAAUGCAAAACUAAAUGCCAAGCCUUUAAAUUCUAUUUUUCAUGAUAAAAACAUCACAAUGACUCAUAGUAGUUUUGCUAACCUUUUGUCCCUAAGAUCAUUUUUACACUAUCCUCAAAUGAGUCCAACUUUCCCUCAUCUUUAUUUCUGGAAAUCGCUUUUCUUAACUAAAAAAAAGUUGCAUUUUCCAUAAUGUCUGUCUACUUCCUGGAAUAUCAAAGUCAUUUUUCAUUUCAACACUAUUCUCUAAAUUUAAUUCCCACCACAUUCUACUUUACAAUAUUGUGGCCAUAAUCACUAAAGCAUUAUAACAAUACUGUUUAUUCCAAAAUCAAGCUACAACCAUUAUUCAUUUCCCCAAAAAGAAGAACUAAGAAGAAAAUUUGAAAUUUACUAAUUUAUUUUACAAAAUUUUAUUAUGUCUUAUAUAAAAUAAUGCAUUAAAUCACAAAAUGGCAUUUUUCCCUAUUCUUGCAUUGUAUGAAUUCACCUAUGCAAAUUUUGACCUCUAUCUUUGUUAUAAGCCAUUGUCAUCUCUAGAGUGUCUUUUUGGAAUAUACAACACAAUUUUUAGGUGUACCUUGUCUUCAUUUACUUCUAAAAUGCUUGGAAUAUGACAAUUUUGAAACAUGUGCAUGUUGAAUUACAAAUUUUAUCCCACACCACAAAUAGCCACUUACAUUUGUGUACUCCACCACCUUUUUACUACAUUUCUUUUAAAAUGACUGGCAAAGGGGUGCCUGGGUGGCUCAGUCUCUUAAACAUCUGACUUUGGCUCAGGUAAUGAUCACUGCAGUUUGUGGGUUCAUGGGUUUGAGGCCAUGGGGCUCUGUGCUAACAACGCAGAGCCUGCUUGGGAUUCUCUCUCUUUCCCUCUGUCUCUGCUCCUCCCUGACUCAUCCUUUCUCUUUCUUUCAAAAUAAAUAAAUAAACUUUAAAAAAUAUAAAAUAAAUAAAAUAAAAUAAAAUAAAAUAAAAUAAAAUAAAAUAAAAUAAUAAAAUAAAAUAUUGGUAAGAGGCAUCCGGGUGGGCACAGAGCCUUGAGAUUCCCUCUCUCUCUCUACCCUUCCCCACUCACUCUCUCUCUCAAAAAGAAAUAAAUAGACUUUAAAAAGAAUAAAAUAAAAAAAUUAAAAUUAAGUGACUGGUAAAAGACUUCUUUGCAAUAUUUAACACUUAAUAAUUACUAUAUCUAUAUCAAAAUUUUUUUUUUUUUACUUUUUUUAAUGUUUGUUUAUUUUCGAGAGAGAGAGUGCGAGCAGGGAAGGGGCAGAGAGAGAGAAAGACCCAAAAUCUGAAGCAGGCUCCAGGCUCUGAGCUGUCAGCACAUAGCCCGAUGCAGGGCUGGAAAUCAUGAACCAUGAGAUCAAGACCUGAGCCGAAGUCAGAAGCUUAACUGACUGAGCCACCCAGGCGCCCUAUUUUAUUACUUUUUUUUUAUGACUACUUCAGAUGAUGUCUAUAAAUACCUAAAUAUAUACCUAAAUAUCUGAAUAUCUCUAUAUUUGUACUAUAAAUUUAUACAAAUAUAUUAUAUUAAUAUUAAUAUAUAUAUAUUUAGAAACUAGCAACAGUAUGAGCCAUUUUCGGCUGGUGUGUCUUCCCUGAGUGGUACUUUUUUAUUUACAAAAAGUAAAUAAACACAUAGGAAUUUGAGAGAUUUGAAAGGGCAUUAAAAAGUAAUUUCAUAAGAAUAAUUGUGGAAAAAUACAACUUGGUUUAUUUUGUGAUGCAUAAAAUAUAUUAAAUUCGGCAGUCACUUUGCUCACAGUAUAAUCCUCCGCUAGUUGUAAAACUGUCUCUAACAAAUUAUUUCUUAUUUUUCACACAUAGCAAAAUAAUAACAGUAAACUAUAAAUGUAUAGAAACUGAUCUACUCAAUAUUCUAGAACUGACCUGAUUGAUACUCAAAUACUUACCUAAGUAGCACUGGGGGAAAGUAGACCAUGGAGUACUUUUGAGUGUAACAGAGUUAAUCAUCCAUGAUAUAGUGCUCAAUGUGGGUAUGAUUUUUUAUUAUGUUUCCAUUUUGCAAAAACAAAAUUCAUACUUCAGUUGUUUUCCUGAUUAUUCUCUUAGUUUCUUACAUUCUCUUUGUAACUUUUUAGAAUAUUUUGGAAUCAAUUAUAGUUUCUAUUUUCCCUUUUAAUCGUUCCUCACAAUUUUACAUGUCUUCUAUAUUUUUUUCAAUACAGUUUUCUAAUGGUGGUAAACACUGGGUCUACCAGAAUAUACUUCACAUUCAUAAUAAUCAGUUUUAAUCUCAUCCACAUUAGAACAUCAAUCAAGCAAUACAUUUUCUAGUAGCCAUUAACACUCAGUAAUUCAGUCAAUACUUCCACUUUCCUUACAAUUACAAAGCCGGAUAUUCCCUGACAAUAAUAUAUUUUAAUCUUUAGUUCUUAUUAGUCUUCAUAUUGCAGGAAAGAUUACAUAGUACUGUGUAAAACCACAAUCAAGGUAUGAGGUGAUUUGGGCCAUAAUAAAACACUAUAUUUAGUAAUGCCAGUGAAGAUACGGUGUGCUUAUGUUCUCAUUUUUAAAUUUCAGCCAAUACAAUUAUUUUGAAGUGUAGAAAAUUUCCAUGUAAAAAUGUUUUCUAAUUUUCCUUCAGGUCAUCAUUUCUAUCAUCAGAACGAGAAACCAAGAAUGAGUCACAGACAAGAGGAAAUGAAGACAAUUGUAGCACAGUUUAUAUGUCAGAUUUGUGGUGCCAAGUCCUUUACAAGCCUUUUACAUGUGUUCUGGUAUUUUGCUAAUGUAGCUACAAUAUCUCCAGGGCCUUAACAUCCUUUCUUUCGUCUCUCAAAUGACCUAUAAAAGAUGGUUAGAAGAACAUAGAAUAAAAAAAGAAAAUGACCAGAGGGGUUUUCUGGUCACUUUUUCCAGUUUGAUCAUUUAAACAAAUUCCUUUUCGUUUUCAUCGGUUCUGCUUAUUUUAGAGAACAGUUUAGAUAUUACAGAAACCCACAGGCUAACCAAAUAUCUAAGAAAGUUCCACUCCCUCUUCUUGAUGUUGACAGUGAUUUUAAAGGACCCCCAGGUAUAGACAAUGAUAUUCUUGAGUUGGAUAUUUUAUGAGCAAAUGGAAUAUAAGCUUCCCUCUUUCUCUCCCAUAAGCAAUGAAAAUAAGCCUAAAAAAGGACUGAAGUUCAAUUAGGGAUUGUUUAAUUGACCUACUGUUGAGUCAAUCCUGAUUUUCUUUUCACACAUUAAACUACAAAAUUUAUAGCGUCUGAAAAUGUUGCUUUUUACAAUGUGUGUGAAAACUGUGAGCCAUAUCCUCCAGAGCUGCUGAAAUCAUACAGACUGAACAUUAAGUUUACCCUCCUCAGAGAAAGGAAUUUUCUUUCAAUGGAUGGCUUACUUACUUUUACACAUCAAAAUGGUUACAUUUGGUAUCUUUCUUUCUUUUUCCUUUUUUC